UGUCAUAUGGUAGUCUUAUUCGUUGUCGUUUUGGGGUCGUUGUUCGGAUGAAACUUUAGGAGGGGUGAAGGUGAAAUAUCAUCGUCACUGACUUCGACUUUAUUGUUCUCACUCUGAUUUUCGAACAUCUAUGAAAAUAUUGUUCAUCGAUAAUACUUAUGAAUCAUGUUAUGAAAAUUCAAUCAAUAAAAAAGAGAGAUUGUUUUUAAAAGGCACGUCAAAGAAUUAAUAGAAGAAGCUUCUUUCAUCACUGCAUAAGUUUUUAAUGUUUUUUUUUUCUAUUCCCUUCCUUCAAUCACAAGGUCUUUCUUAAUUUUCUUGGGCUUAUAGUUCUUUAUUGUAAGAUAUUUUGACCUACUCCCACCUUCAACAUUAAUGAGAUAUUAUGAGUAAUAAAAAGAGUUCCUCACACAACAUCUCCCAUUUUAACCUCCAAAUAAUUUUCCUCUUAUUUAUUGUUCAAAUUAAAAUACAUAUAUUAUGUUUUACUCUUUUAUAAGAACAAAUUCUUAGACUUCAGAGUCUUCCUCCAAAGCUCAAGUUCAGCAUUCCUCCAUUAAAUUUAUAUCAUUAAAAAAAUAUAUGCAUUUAUUAAUAAGUUUUUAUGUAAUUUUAUCCUUCUAGAAAAUUCCUUACUCUUGCUUUUAAGACUCACAAUAGUUACAUUAUCGUACACGCCAUGUACAACCUCAAUUCACUAUCUCUGAUGCGACAUCUUCUUUUAAUCUAAACUUAAUUACCCUUUUUUUAACAAUUUCUUUUCUAAUAUACACCAUUUUAAAUAUCCCCUCUGAUUUUAAAUACAGGAACAAAAAAUGUUCCUCUACUUACCUACCAUUUUUUUGGUACUUCAAAUUUCGCCAAAUAACUUAGCGGAACACAACUUUCAUUAUAAUACAAAAAAAGACCAACAAAUUUACAAUUUUCAUCGUCAAAGUCUUAAAAACUUCUUUUAUAUCUCAAACUUGAACUCUAUGUACUAUAAUAAGCAAAAUUUUGUUCAUGAUCUAUAAACAAUUUUUUUUGUUUCAUCAUCCAUAAUGGCACGUAAUCCAGAUAUUUUUUUUUUCUUUUCCUAGUUUUGGCAAGCUUAUAUAUUUUACGUUCUCCAUUUACUAUCUUAAGAUCUCGACAAAUUGUUUCAAAAACUUUAGAUCUUACCUCACAACUUGUCUCUUUUUCAAUCACUUCAAUACUUUGCCUAAUUUGAUUUUAGAUGAGAUAAAUUCAAUGAUUAAAUAAAGAGUCAGUGGUGUCAAGAGAAUCGCAAAUUAGUAGAUUGAACCAACUUUAUCUAAGCAAAUGAUCCUAGGAUAACUAAAAAAGUCAAGACAACUGAGGUGUAUAUGAACCUUCACCAUUUUCAAGUAUCAUAAUCUAGUUGAAGCAUAUAAGAUUAACGUUAACAACAUCAGAAGUGGCUGUUGGUGAGGCCCCUGUUAUCUGUUGCCUAGCUUGGACAUUGUCGAUGCAUUCUUUGAUUCUAUUUACAUAAUAAACAAGGGAUUAAAACACUAAAUACUGUGCAUGGUGAGCAUAAAUUAGAGUAUGACACGGUGUAAAGAAUUGCAAUACACCAACCACACAGUUAACCAAGAUCAAUAUCAAGUCGCUCUGGCUUUCCUCUUUCAGUGUGGUUGGCACCAAGCUCUACACCUAGUUGUCCUUUGUCCCCAGCCCCAAAGGCAUACAACUUCCCUGAUUCAGUUAAGGCAAAGGUAUGAGCAUUCCAAUAUAUGGAAUUGGUCAGACUAAUCUGCACCACCUUUUCAUUGAUCUCUUUCAUUGAACUCACAAGCUUUGGACUUAACACAUUUGCAUGCAUGUCUCCCUGCACAACAACAAACAUAAGAUUAAACUUUCAUACAAUGCAUUGUAGUCACCAACAUAAAAUUAGGUUUCUGAUACUUGUGCCUCGGUUCUAUAGGCAUUUUACAAGCAAAUGUAAUCCAUAUUGCAUAAUAACCAGGUCUUAACAACGGGAGCUUGGACUGUCACAUCAUGAUUGCACAAAUAAAAGGAAGGCAACUUCCUUUUAACCAAGCCAAACAAACAAUUCACAAAUAAAUACAGUGCAAGGCAUGAGCAAGCAGACCUGUUCAUUAUUCUCAGGGUUAUGGCCAAGACUGGCAGAUUCUCCACAACCAAAUGAAUACACAUCACCAUUAUCAGCCACUACAAAGGUGGUGUAAUCUCCUGUAGCAACAUGAACUGCUUUGACAUCUCUCAACUCUUCCACCACCUUAGGUACAGAUUCACAUUCUUCAUUACCAUGACCCAAGCAGCCACAACGACCCCAGCCCCAUGUGCAAAUCCGGCCGUCCUGCCCCACCACAGCUGCAUGCCAAGCACCAGCCGCAACCACCUUUGGCUGAAGGUUUAACACUUGGAAUUGUUCGAUCAAACGAGGAUACUUCUCAUCAGUUUUUGAGCCAUGGCCAAGCUUCCCACCCAAACCACACCCAACAGAGUAGACAGACCUAUUAAGAUUUCAGAAAAGGAUCACAUAAUCAAUCAAUAAACAAAGACGCGCAGACACACAUAGUCAUUACAAUUAAAAUGAAAGGUAAUGUAAAAUCUAAAAGAAUAAAAAUCAGCAAUGCUUAAGCACUUUCAUAAAUCUUGAAGUUGGGAACUUACGAUGAAAGUACAUGUAGACAAUUAAAGAAAACAGUAUGGAAGAUAUAUGGUUUGCCAUUAGAGGAAUAAAUCAUAAUACAAAAUAUUCUCUUUUCGAUCUAGCAAUAUGCAUAGAAAAAAUAAUGAUGGAAGAGUGCCCAACUUGCAUCAAUGAUAUAACUCUCAAUUCUCUUCUUGCCAAAAAGGAAUUCCAACAGUUAAGAGAAGGAGAAAAAAAGAUGAAGCUCACAUUCCACUUGGUUGACAAACCAAACAAAGGAGGUAGCAGAAACCGGCAGCUAUCUGCACUACUGGCAUGUGCUCCAGAGCUCCUAAUAAAGGACGAGGUUCCACAUCAUUAGGAUCUGUAUGGUGGCAGAGUUUUCCAUCACUACCCCAAGAAAAAGUAUAAACCCUGCCUUCUCUUGACAAUACGGCUGUGAAAAAGUUUCCAAUUGCAGCUUGCACAACAAAUAUGUUUUUCAAAGAUUCAACUAACUGUGGAGCUGUAACCAUUUUAGAUCCUUGAAUUCCAUUCUCAGCUUCACCAAAAGAGUCUUUCCCAAAGGCAUAAACCUGCCCAAAAUCACUGAUUAACAUUGUUCUCCCUGUCGCAACAGUAGCUUGUAUAAUCCGGAUGCCUUGUAAAGCUCUGCAGCAUAAUGGAGUUAUGUUAUCCUCAAUUCAACAAGAACUGUGGAAUGCAAUAACUAAAGUUCCAACCUGAUUGGUCGAGGUUGCCAUUCCUCUUUAGUUGUACCAUGCCCAAGUUGUCCUGAACUAUUGGACCCAAAUGAAUAAACAACCCCUUUUGAUGUCACAGCAAUGCUAUGACCAGGACCUGCUAUUGCCUGUGAUUUCUCUCUUCUGCAACAUGCUUCUCCAGCCAUCAAAAACCUCAGAACCAAUUUCCAAGAACCACCACAUCUUUGCUUCAAAUCUUGCUGUUGUUCAGUCGUCAUUGGCUUAAAAAUGGCUCUCUUCUGGCACAUGUCCAAUGCAGCAAGCUCUGACAAGGACAAAUCGAAAUCCGGAGCAAAGUUUGCCGGCUUCUUGAAGAAGGAGCAUGUUGCCUAAAAAAUACACAAUAAAAAAGAAACCAACAGUAUUAGACUUAGUAAUUACAAUUAAUUAAUUAAGAGCUGAAAUGCAGAUAAGCACUGCACUUGCCUCAAGUUUAGCAAGGUCUUGAGGAUACAAGCUACAUGAUGUAAGGACAUGAAGGACAAUUGAAGGAUUAGCAGACAAGGGAAACUCUCCUGGACUGGAGUCCCCAAAGCAAUGGCGUAGUUGGCGCUGAAAUGUAGGCAAUUGUGUGGCAACAAUGGUAGUAAUUGGCUGAUCAGGGAUGUUAUGGUAUUGUAUAGUUGGGGUUCCACUGGUAGUGGCAUCCAUGGGCACUGCCAACCUUAUACAGUGCCCAAACACAGCAGAAGAAAGGAUCUAACACUUCUGGGAAUUAUGAAAAUAUGUGCAAAUGCAUUACUACAUUAUUUAAUUUCUAUUUCUCAGUUUAUAGCAUCUGAAACUCUACACAUUGUUCUAACUUGUAACAAGCAUGUACCUCAAGAAUGUAUUUGACUAGCAAAUCUCAGGUCUCAAACCUACAAAGAAAAAAAAUAUACUUAUAAAAGAGAAACAAGUUUAGUUUUUUCUAAUGCAGUUGAAUUACAUGAUUGUCUGUCUCUAUUCACAACAGCACUAUAUAAAUCAAAGACACCAGAAGGCAAGAAUUUAGUCAUGAAACUUAUAUACCACAAUAAAAAAAAAUUUGACCGAUCGUAUAAUUGAUUAAGGGUGAAACCUUAUGAUCAAAAUUGAGGAUCCAAAUAAAGUGAUGGAAUCCAAAGAAGAAAUCUUUGAGAAUUACACUGUUCCCAGAUUAUGGGAUAUUCUACAAUCAUACACCCAAAAACAGAAAACUAAAAAAGGAAAAAAAUUUCUGAUCAAAGUUGAAAUAAUCGCAUCAAAGGUUGAUCAUCCCAAUCAAAAUGAAUCAAAUUGCAAAAUACCCUCUUCCAUACGGAAAUCAAACAUCCCUUUUUUUUUGUUGACUUUCCCAGAUCAGGGAAUCACAAGUAACCCAAUGAACAAGUACACUUGCUGGAUACGCAACCAGAAAAAGGGAAAAGCAACAAAAAUUAAAAAGAAUAAGGAAUCAAGGGAAGGGAGAGCCGAAAAUAAAACAUGGUAAACAAGUUUUGGGUGAAUGGAAUUCAUUAUGAUCGUUAUAGAUCGAAACAGAGACACGUGGAAGCGGUGAUUACUUAUGAGAGGGAUCAACAGCGAUUCCUCAAACCGAAUCUUCACCAUCGGUGCAGAAUUGUGGAGAGAGUUGUGAAGUUUUUUAAAUGAAGGAAAGAUCAAGUGAGUAUAUGAUCAAAUGGGCAAGAGCUGAAAAUCAGAGUGAGAGAGAGAAAGAAAGAGAGUUGAGGUUUUGUAUAGCUUUUGAGAGUGAAAUGGAUGAAUCAAUAAUUUCUUGUUUCUGAAAUGCAAGGGUCUCUUUUAUCUCUCUUUUAUUUAUAUGAUUAUUGCUAAUGACGAUGUGGUUAUGAUUGUUGUUACUCUUAAGUCACACCAAUUUAUUUAAUUCUACAACCCAUUUGCAACUAAAACUAUCUUAGUGUAAUUCAUCAAUAUAUUUCAUUUUUUACUUUAUUCUUUAAAUUUUACAAAUUCUUUUGAAUUAAUUAACUACCCACAAUAAAAAGCUACCUGUUAUAAAAUUAUAAAAAGAUAUUUGUUUAUUUUAUAAAUAUAUUUUUUCAUAAAUCUAAAAAUAAUUACAUAAAAAUUAUUUAUUUUAUUUUUUAUCAAAAAGAGAAAAUGAAUACACGUGUAAGCAGAUGUGUUUCCACCAAAGAGAAUUUUAACUAUUAAUGUAUGGUUUAAUUACCAAUUAUAUCUUUAUUAAUAUAAUUUAUUUCAUAACUAUUUUUUAAAAUUUAAUGAACUAUUUAUAAUAAAAAAAUUACCCAUAAUAAAAUUAUUAAAAAAAUAUUUUAUAAUUAUUUUUAUAAAUGUAUUUUUUAUAAAAAAAUUUAAAAAAUUAUGAUAAUUUUUUUAAUUUUGUUAUCAUAAUUUUAUUAGUAGUUGAUUCUUAUUAAUAGGGAUAUGACUUGUUAGUUAUUAACUAGAAUGAUUUAAUAAAUUAAUUAUUAAUUAGAUUGAGUAAAACUAUUCAAAAUCUUGAAUAAUAAAAAAAUAUUUAUUAGUGUUCUCGCCGUCCAUCGGAUUACGAAUGAGUUCUUCUUGGUCUCUUUUUUAGUACUCGAUCUAGCAAGACGCUGGUAUAACUACCUCCAAGCUUUAGCGAACCGUUCUUUUGGGAUGAGGGGGGUUCCACCUGUGAUUACACUACGACGCUCAAGUCAGUAAGAACACAAAAUAUAGUGUAUAUAGUGGAAUAUAUUGCAAAGGUGCAAGUUGAUAUACUCCUCUAGGUGGUUGUCUAUUUAUAAGCCUUCAUGAGCUUGAAUUUUUGACUCUGGUUCCUUUAGGCAUCAAUGUGUCAUAUUAUGAUAACUUUACAUAAAAUCUGAAUAUCAUAUAAUAUAAUCGAAGUAUUUAUGUAAUAUAAUAAGGGAUAUUAGGCAAAUAAGUUAGGGCAUUUAUGUGAUAUAAUCAGAGGAUAUUUAUAGUGUAAUAAGGAAUAUUGCGUCAACAUUUAUAGUGUAAUUAGGAAUACUCUGUUUAGCAUUUAUAGUAUAAUCAGGAAUCCUGCGUUUAACAUUUAUAGUGUGAUCUGGACGGACUCUGAUGAGCCUCUCAGUGGUAUGGAGACACGGGUAGCUCGGCUUAAUUCCUAGCCAUUUAUCGGGACGGUACACAACCCCCAGCCUUGAGCCAAGCCUGCUAGGUGCAAAGGCUAACGUCCGGUCUGAUAGUGAGGUUGGUCGGCUUAAUUCCUACUUAAUGAGUGUGGUAAGCUCGACUUUCAUGCAAGUAGGACACCUAAGUCGAUCGGUUUUCUCCCAACUCCUGAGCCUGUUAUAGGCUUCAUUUUUUACGCAAGUUGGGGAUCGCGUCGGUUGGAUUUCUCCCCACUCUUGAGCCUGUAUAGGUUUCAUUUUUUAUGCAAGUUGGGGACCGCGUCGGUCGAAUUUCUCCCAACUCAUGAGCCUGUUAUAAGCUUCAUUUUUUACGCAAGUUGGAGAUCACGUCGAUCGAUUUUCUCCCUAAAAGACCAUUUUUUUAAAUUUUGUUCAAAAAAUUUCCCUUAAAUAAAUUAAUUCAAAGAAAAGUUUGAAUUACUCGUUUUUUUAAAGAAUUAAAGUUUUUCUUUUAAGUUCAAUUCAUUCCCUUUUAAACUUAGUCCAUUUUCUCAACGAUUAUUAGCUAUGAUUGUUGAACUUAAUCUUAAACUGAAACAUAUGAACAUUAAGAUUCAUUCCAGUAGGAAAACUUAGAAGAAACCAUCUAUAUAAAGUAACUAGAAAGAUUUUAGGAAUGAGACAGAAAGGAUAUGUAUGGUCUGAUAAAUCUCGAAAAUAAUGGAACAAGAUGUAUGAUCUUAAAAGAACUAACUUUGAAAUUUAAUUUGUUUAAGAGUAGAAGUAGUUAAAAUGACUUGAACCUUGAAUAUUUUAUUGUUAAAGUUAAAAAGCUUAUAAAUAGUAAAAUUAAUUAUUCAAACUUCAUUUUAUAAAAAUCAUCAUUUCUUUAAAAAUAAAUAUUUGUUCUUCUCUAUAGAUUUAUGAGUUAAUCGUUCAUUUUUUUUUUCAAAAUUUGAACCUACAAUAAUGAAGCUAGCAUAGAAUAGAAAAUAUCCAUUUGAUCAUAAUUUCAUUUAGAGUAAGUUCUUUUUUAUUUUUUACUUGGGUUGUUUAUAAGCAACGUAAUUUACAUGAAUUUUGAGGUACAAAGAUAAAUUUUUGCUAGUCCAAGGUCGUAGUGGUAUCUUCAGUUUGAUUAUCAAAGUUUUAUGUUGUCUUAUUUGAGUUUAUUGUGUGAGCCAGACCGUUGAAGUUUCGUCGGGAUAACUAGAUUUUUGGCUAAGAGAAACUAUUAAUUAUGCAAAAAAAAUGUAUAUUUGUGUUUUGCACAGGUCUUUGGUGACCAUUUUGUUCGCCUAAUGAAAUUUGAUUUAGUGAAAACCCGAAAGUUUUAUUUGUUGGGAGACCGAAAAGUCACUAUAUGAGUAGACCUUUGGUUGAGCAAGCAAAAUGGUGGUUAGACAAAUUUAUACAUGUGCCUAAUUCGCCAAUCGAGCAUAAUGGUGGUUAAAAGAGACAAUGUUUUCUAGACUAUGAAGAAAAUAUGUUUGUAAAUGGUUUUAAAUCUAAAAAUUGUUUAUAUUUCACUAAAUUGUUAUAAUUUAUCAACCUUUUAUUCUAGAAUAUUGUUAUAAUGUGAUGAAUGGUAAAUUGAAAUUUGCUAAUAUUAAUUUUAUGUUGGAGUAUAGGGUUUCAAAUGAUAAAUUUGAUAUGUAUGUGACUUAUUAUGUGAUUGAUGAAGUACAUGAUGAUAUGUAACAUUUGAAAUGUAUGAUGUAAAUUCUAUAUGAUGAAAGAAGAAAUAUGAUUUGAGUUUAAAUUUAUACGAGUAAGAAUAUAUGUUGAGUGUGUUGUGAUAUAUAUGAAUGAAAUAUACGAAAGUUGAAGUCACAAACUUGGGAUGUUAUAUGAAUACUAAUAAUAGUAUGAGGUAUUAAGUGUAUGCAUAUAUGAUAUAAAGAUCUCUUGCUUCACUAAUAGUUAGGUCACAUAAACAAUGACAUUAUGUGGUGCAAAACUGAAAGAGAGUUUAUCAUAUUAUCAUAACACAUAUUGAGGUAUGAAAAGUGAAUCAUAACACAUGUUUAGAUUUGUGUAUGAAUGUAUUUAUAUUUUCUUGAUUGAUAAGAUCAAAAUUAUAAACCUGAGAGAUUUUGUUGUAGGUUAUGUGUUGAUAAUAACAUAUGGUUGAGAUGCGAAUGAAUUUUAUGAAUUCUGAAAAUGUAUGUAUUGUGAAAUUUUAAAAUACUAACUUAUCCUUAUCUUUUAUUGUAAAUAUGAUAUGAUUAUGAUGACAUAUUCUUAAAUAAUAAGAGAUGCUUGUAAAACAAGGAUAAUCUAUACUAUAUAUAUACAUUUAUUUAUAUAUAUAUAUAUAUAUAUAUAUAUAAAUAAAGUAAGUGUAGCAAUAUUUUGUGUUACUUAUUUUGUUUGGUAAAGAAUAUACAAAUAAAUUAGAUAGAAAAAAUUUAAUAGAAAUAUAUAUGAAAUAAAUUCAAAAUUCAAUUUUAUAUUGAAAAGAAAUAAAAAAAAAACAAGAGAGAUAGAAAAAAAAAUAUAAUAAACUUCAUUUUUUUAGUUAAUUCACUUUGUAUUACACCUAACAUUAUAUUAAAUUUAUUUCCAUUCAUACCUUACUAUCUCAACCAACUCCUUGUAGAAGUUUUUCUUUGUAUGAGGUGAAAGGGAGGAGAAUAUAGAAGUUUUUCUUUGAAUGAGGUGAAAGAGAGAAGAUAAAAGAGAAGAUAAUAGUGUUUUAAUGAGUGGGUUUGGUUGAGAUGAAAUUGUUGUAAAUGCCCAUGCUCUGCCCUUCUUGUUGGAUUCAAUGGAAUUAAGGUGAAUGUGAGUUAGUUAACCAUGACACCAGAUCCAUAAUUAAUUAUAAACUUAUCACAUUAUUAUGUAAGUUACCUAGGAUUCAUAAUAAUUAUACACUUAUCACAUAAUUAAUUAGGUAAGUUACCUAGAAAUUCAAGUUAUAUACAAAAUAUUGACAUGCAUUACCUAUAUUCAAUUAUCAAAUAAUCAUAUUGGAUUAUAUAAUUUUUAUAAUAACAAAAAAAUGAAAGAGAAGUGUAUAUUCAUCCCAAAUUUUUAAUUUUAUUUUUUUUCCAAUGAAAGAUAUAAUUAUAUAAAUUUCCUUUUUUUCAAUUUUUUGCACUAUGACAUCAAACAAACAACUUCAUUUUUUUUUUUCAUUCCUUCAAUUCCUUUAGCAUCAACAAAUAAGAAGGCUUAGUUAGGUAUGCUAAAAAAAAUUCACUGAAGUGAUAAGAAGGGGGAUAUGAGGUGGAAAUCUCAUCUAAGUCACUGUUUGGAUAAGAGAAGAAUAAUAUUAGAAACCACAAUCCCAUUGGAGCACGUUUCUCCAACGUGGCUUUUCCAAAUAUUAAAGACGUCUUUGUAUUGAAAUUUACAACUGAGUUCAUUAAAACAAUAUAAGUCUUGCAGGAAUAAAUUUUUAACUAAAAUUUUAUGGUAAAACUAUAUUUUUAAAAAUAGCCAAAUAUACCACAACUCUCCAAACUAGAUUUGAAGUGUCCAAAACUAAAAACGAAACAGAGCUUAAGUGUUAAUCCUCACUGAGAACCACUAUUCCCAUUCUCUCUCCACUGUCAUUUUUAUAUAGAAUUUUAGUCAUCUAUAAAAAAAAAUAUUUUGAAUCUAUAAUAAAAAAAUAUAAAACAAGUUACCUCUUACCGAAAGAAGUAGUACCUCUUACCUAUAAACAUUAAAAUAAGAAGUCAGUGAUGUCAAGUGAAUCGCAAAUUAGUAAAUUUAACCAACUUUAUCUAAGCAAAUGAUCCUAGGAUAACCACAUUCAAAAGUCAAGACAACUGAACUGUAUAUAAACCUUCACAUUUUAAAGUAUCAUAAUCUAGUUGAAGCCUAAGAUUAAUGUCAAGAACCUCAGAAGAGGCAGUGGGUGAGGCCCCUGUCAUUUGUUGACACUAAAACUGUACGUAGUGUGCAUAAAUUAGAGGAUGACAUGGUGUAAAGAAUUGGGAGUACACCAGCAAACAUAGUUAACAAAGAUCAAUAUCAAGCAGCUCUGGCUUUCCUCUUUCAGUGUGGUUGGCACCAAGCUCUACACCUAGUUGUCCUUUGUCCCCAGCCCCAAAGGCAUACAACUUCCCUGAUUCAGUUAAGGCAAAGGUAUGAGCUUUCCAAUAUAUGGAAUUGGUCAGACUAAUCUGCACCACCCGUUCAUUGAUCUCUUUCAUUGAACUCACAAGCUUUGGACUUAACACAUUUGCAUGCAUGUCUUCCUGCACAAGCACAAGAUUAAAUUUUAAUACAAUGGACAACCAAUACAAAAUCCAGAGUUCAUUUUGCACUUUGCAACAGUGCACAUGAAUUCAGUACUUUCAAGUCAUGCUGGCCCGUCAUUCAGAUUUAGCAUAAACUCGGGCAUUUGUAUAAUGCGAUCAGGUCUUAAAAAAAGAAAAGCUUCAACUACAAGCUACAUUCUGAAACUGAAAGUUCCAGUUCUUGCAAAGCAAAAACCGCUAGCCAGUUCAUCAUAUCAUGAUUGCAUAAAAAUCAAAGGAAAGCAACUUCCUUUCAAUCAAGCCAAACAAAUCAGAGUGAAAGGCAUAAGAAAGCAGACCUGCUCAUGAUUCUCGGGGUUAUGGCCAAGACUAGCAGAUUCUCCGCAACCAAAAGAAUACACAUCACCGUUAUCAGACACUACAAAUGUGGUGUAAUCCCCUGUAGCAACAUGAACUGCUUUGACAUCUCUCAACUCUUCCACCACCUUAGGUACAGAUUCACAUUCUUCAUUACCAUGACCCAGGCAGCCAUAACGACCCCACCCCCAUGUGCAAAUACGGCCAUCCUGCCCCACCACAGCUGCAUGCCAAGCACCAGCUGCAACCACCAUCGGCCUAAGGUUUAACAGCUGGAAUUGUUCAAUCAGACGAGGAUACUUCUCAUCAGUUUUUGAGCCAUGUCCAAGCUUCCCACCCAAACCACACCCAACCGAGUACACUGACCUAUUAAGAUUUCAGAUAAGGAUAACAUAAUCAAUAAACAUAAAGUUACUUAUUACGAAUAAAAUGAUAUGAAAUGUCAAAACCAGUCUACGUAUGUUAAAAAUAAAAAAUCAGCAAUGGCUAAACACUUUCAUAAUCUUGGAAAUGUGGACUUCUGAUGCUAAUAUAUGUUGGCAAUUCAAGAGAACAGAACAAAAUAUGUUUUUCCAAUCCAAGAAUAAAUCAUAACAUACAAAAGAAAAUUCUCAUUACACUCCAUCCACGUUAAUAUGCGCAGAAAAAAAUGAAGUGUGGAAGAGUGCCUAAUUUGCAUCAAAUGAUAGAACUUUUAUCUCAAUUCCUUUUGAAAAAAAAUGCAACAGUUAAGGAAAGGAGAUCAAGCUGGUGCUCACAUUCCACUGGGUUGACAAGCCAAACAAAGCAGGUAGCAGAAUCCAGCAGCUAUUUGCACUACUGGUAUGUGUUCCAGAGCUCCUAAUAAAGGACGGGGUUCAACAUCAUUUGAAUCAGUAUGGUGACAGAGUUUGCCAUCACUACCCCAUGAAAAAGUAUAAACCCUGCCUUCUCUUGACAAUACAGCAGUGAAAAAGUUUCCAAUUGCAGCUUGCACAACAAAUAUGUUUUUCAAAGAAUCAACUAACUGUGGAGUUGUAACCAUUUUAGAUCCUUGAAUUCCAAUUUCAGCAUCACCAAAAGAGUCUUUCCCAAAGGCAUAAACCUGCCCUGAAUCACUGAUCAGCAUUGUCCUCCCAGUCGCAGUAGUAGCUUGUAUAAUUCGGAUGCCUUGCAAAGCUCUGCACCACAAAGAGAUAAGUUAAUUCAAAAAGUUCACUUUCUUACGUUUGCAGAAUAAGAUGUAAGAACUCUGGAAUGUACUAACUAAUGCCCGAACCUGAUUGGUCGAGGUUUCCAUUCCUCUCCAGUGGUGCCAUGCCCAAGUUGACCGGAACUAUUGGACCCAAAUGAAUACACAAUCCCUUUUGAUGUCACAGCAAUGCUAUGACCAGGACCUGCUAUUGCCUGUGAUUUUUCCCUUCUGCAACAUGCUUCUCCAGCGAGCAAAAACCUCAGAACCAAUUUCCAAGAACCCCCACAUAUUUGCUUCAAAUGUUGCUGUUGUUCUGUUGUCAUUGGCUUAAAAAUGACUCUUUUCUGGCACAUGUCCAAUGCAGCAAGCUCUGACAAAGACAAAUCGAAAUCUGGCUCAAAGUUUGCCGGCUGCUUGAAGAAGGAGCAUGUUGCCUACAAAACACCACAUCAGAUAUGAAACCGGCAGUGUUAGAAUUAGUACUUCCAAUUAACAACUUAAAAUCUGUAAAACAGACAUCACUUGCCUCAAGUUUAGCAAGGUCUUGAGGAUACAAGUUACAUGAUGUAAGGACAUGAAGAACAAUGGAAGGAUUAGCAGACAAGGGAAACUCUCCUGGACUGGAGUCCCCAAAGCAAUGUCGUUGAUGCCGUUGAAAUGUAGGCAAUUGUGUGGCAACAAUGGUGGUAAUUGGCUGAUCAGGGAUGUUAUGGUAUUGGAUAGUUGGGGUUCCACUGGUAGUGGCAUCCAUGGGCACUGCCAACCUUAUACAGUGCCCAAACACAGCAGAAGAGAGGAUCUAACACUUCUGGGAAUUAUGAAAAUAUGUGCAAAUGUAUCACUACCUUAAUUAAUGUCAGUUUUUCAGUUUAUAACAUUUGAAACUCUACACAUUGUUCUAAUUUGCAACAAGCAUGUACCUCAAGAAUGUAUUUGACUAGCAAAUCUCAGGUCUCAAACCUACAAAGAAAAAACAUACUUAUAAAAAUGACACUUUUUUUAAUACAGUGAAUUAUAUGAUUAUCUGCCUUCAUUUAUAAUCGCCCUAUAAAUCAAAGACACAAGAAAGAAAGCAUUUAGUCAUGAAACUGAAGAUGAUCAGAAAAACAAAUAGAUUUUACUUUUCAUAGACACCAUAUUAAAAAUUCAGGUGCUGUUGAAAUUGAGGAUGAAAUUAAGGUGAAGGAAUCCAAAGAAGAAAACUUUGAGAAGUAUACUAUUCCCAGAUGAUGGGAUAUUCUACAAUCAAACAAAAAAAAACAAAAUUUCCUGAUCGAAGUUGAAAUAAUCGCCAGUAAUAAAAGGUUGAUCAUCCAAACCAAAACUAAUCAAAUUUUAAAAUACCCUUCUCCAUGCAAAAACCAAAAUUCCUUUUUUUUUUGUUUUUUACUUUCCCAGAUCAGAGAAACACAAGUAACCCAAUGAACAAGUACACUUGCUGGAUACGCAAACAUAAAAAGACGAAACCAAAAAAUUAAAAAGAAUAAAGAAUCAAGGGAAGCGGAAAAUAAAACAUGGUAGACAAGUUUUGGGUGAAUGAAAUUCAUUAAGAUCGAUAUAGAUCGAAGCAGAGGCACGUGAAAACGGUGAUUACUUAUGAGAGGGGUCAACAACAAUUCCUCAAAUUGAGUGUUCACCAUCGGUGGAGAAUUGUUCAGAGGGUUAUCACUUUUUUGUUGAUGAAACAAAGAACAGGUUGGCACGUGAUGAAAUGGCGUAGAGGUGAAAAUCAAAGAAAGAGAGACUCGAAGUUUUGUAUGGUUUAUGGGAGUGAGUGGAUGAAUCAAUAAUUUUAUGGUUCCUCAAAUGAAAGGUAUCUCUUUUCUUUGUCCAGCGCUAUUAUGUGCUUUCUGUUUAUUUAUAUUUGUUUAUUUCUGAUGAAGUAGAGAUGAUGAUGACGAUGAGGUGUCGCUACACGCUAUCGUUACGUAUUUUUCCUUAAUUCAUAUACAUAUUUUAUAUUUUGAGAAUAAAUUAUUUAUAAGUAGUAUUAUAAUAUAGGAUAACAUAUAACAACAUUUUAAAAAAGAUAAAUAAUUAUUUAUUAUUUGCUUUAUAUAAUUAUAAUUUAACUUAUAGUAAAUAAAUAUUCCUAAAAAUAAAAAAGUUAUAUCCUCUAUCAAAUCAAUUUAUUUAUACUAUUUUUUUUCAAUCUUUUAAAAAGGGUUAAUAAUGUUCUCAUGCUAAACAAACUGAGUAAAUAAUAAUAAUAUAGUCCGACUUCUUAUUUAAUUACAUUUUUAUGUAUCAUAUUAUUUAUUGUAACUGAAUAGUUUAGAGAUGAUAAAGGAAAUAAUAAAGUUUGUUAAAUCUUAACUUUUCUUACUUGAUUUUGUUACUAAUAACUUCCCUAAAAAAUCCAAAUAUAUGGAAUAAGAAUAUGUGCAACUUGAAAUUGGUUACCACUAAAAACAUUCUUAAAUUUAAUGAACGGUUCAACUAAUAUUAAAAUUUAUAGUUGUGCAUCUUAGAAGAAUGGAGUUUACAUGAACAUUAGAAAAGUGAUAACAUACCACGUAGGAAUAUCACAAUAAUAAAAUACUACAAUAUCUUCUCUCAUACAGAGAGAGAAGUUGAACUAAGCGGCGGUAAGUUAGAAAACUUCAAUCUUCAAUGGAAUUGGUUGAUGGAUUUUACUCACUAAAUUUUUAAGAAAAUAAAAUAAAAAAAUGUUUUUAAUUGAUGGUGUCUCUCUCUCAUAAUUAUCAUUCAAACGAAAAAUUUAUUAAAGCAAUAUUUCUUUUCUAAAACUUAUUUUGUUGAUUUACAAUCAAUUUUUAAACGAAUUUUUUAUUUAUUAAAUCAUUCUAAAAUUUAGUAAUACAUUAUACUAAUUCCUUUCUAAUAGUAUUAUAUUCAAUAAGUAGGCACGAGAGUAUAUCUCAGACUUUGAAAUGUUAUCUCAAUGAACUAAUAUUGUCCUUUCUAAAUUUCAAAAUAAUAUGAAGGAGAUAGUUAUGCAAAAUUUGCAAUAAUUUAUUAAAGGAAAAUUAGUUUAAAAAAGUGUUUAUACUACAACUUUUAAAGUCAUUAGAGAAUGAUUUUAAAAUCUGAACGUUGUUUAAAAUAAUUUAAUAUAAACAAUUCUACAUUAAAUUAUGAUGGUUAUUGUCUUAAUUAUCAUUUAUUUAUAUAUCAUAAAUCAUGAUUACUUGAUUAAACGACGUUUUAAUGUAUGUCAUUUAAAAGAACAUAGUAAGAAAAUAUAAGCGAGGUAACAGUUUUAGUUAAAAUUGUCGUUUGUUUCAAUGAUUUUAGUUAAAAUUGUUAGGUAGUUUUUUUUUUCAAUUUGUUUAUUAUGUUUUUUUUCUAUUAGUUAACUUGUAUUGUUUAAUCUAACUAAUUAAUCAAUUAUAAUUUUACAAUUAAAUUAAUAAUCUAACUAAUAAUUUAAAUAAUAACCUAACUAAUAAUCUAUUUUUACAAUUAAACGAUGAAUUUAAUUAAUAAUUUAAAUAAUAAUCUAACUAAUAAUUUACUUACAUAUAAAUAACAAUCUAACUAAUAAUUCAUUACAAACAAUAAAAAAAAUUAAAAUAAAAACUCUAAAAUUACUAACCUAAUAAGGGAGCAAAGGUUGUGGAGCUAAGGAACUUCGAAGGUGGCGCACAACUGCAACCGGCAAGCAGAAGAUGAGUAAGCAGUAUCAAACUCCAAAUCUCAAUUCGUUCUACACUGAAAGUGGAAAAAAAUAAUAAAGAAAGCAUAUCAAGAAUACAAAACUGUACAUAAACACAAUAAAAACAAGAUAUUAAUGACAACAAUGAGAAGUAAAUAAAAGGCGCACAAAAAAAAAAACAACAAUAAUGAAGAAGAAAGCAAGAAGAGAAAAAAGUUGGAAGGGAAAAUAAUUAACCAUAUAUAAAGGUUAUGAUCUAAUAACCAUUAUGUAUGGAAUAAUAUAGAGGUAUAAGCAACAAUCCCCCACAUUAUAUAAUAACAUUAUCUUAAGGAUGAUUUUUUUUAUAAAUAAUUAUCCUAAUUAUAUAUAACAUUAUACUCGAGAAACUCUAAAUUCAUAUAUGUUAUAAUUAUAAACAUUGAAUCUUAUAGCACUAUUUACACUUUAUUCUUCAUCUAAAUUCUUUUAUUUUUAUUUUUCUAUCUAGUAUCUUUUUGUGUUUACCUCUCUAUUUUACACAGUUUCAAAAAAAUUUAAAAAAUUAUAAAUUAAAAGAAAUUAAUAAUUUAAAUUUUGAAUGUAUUAAAAAAAUAAACAUUUAGUUAGGAGUAUGAUGAUGAUUUAAGAACUAUGUAUGAUAAAUUCGUGUGAGAUAUUUUAUUGGGAUGUAUUUAGAUGAGAAUAAUAUAAUAUAUAUGUUAAUAUCUUUACUAUGGUACAUUAUAUGUGUGAGCCUUUUCUAUGUGUAUUGUGAUGAUUACAAAGAUGAUAUUUUAUUUUAAAGGUUUAGGUAUUAAACAUGAAACUUGUUAAAAAAAAUAGAUAUCUUAAUUUCACUAAUUCACUAGUGAGAAGUUAAAAAUGGUUUUACAUUUAACACAAGCACGUGUAUAAGUCAUCCUGACAUAAAAUCCUGAAGUUGACUUUACAAUAUGAAAUAAAUCUAGUAAUAAAUUACAUUGCCCAUUAAAGAUGUGGAUAAGGAUUUCCAAAGUCCUGUUGCAAAUAUUUUAGUUUAAACUGUUUAUUAGAAAUGUUUGUUAAUGAUUACCUUUAUCUUAUUAACAAUAAAUCAGCAGUGGAAUUUGUAAUAUAUAUUGAUGAAAGUGUGAUAAGCAUAAUAUGUAUUAUGUGUAAUGUUUAGUUUCGUUAUCAUACAUAAUACUACGUAUGUUUAUAAAACAAAAACUAUAACAUAUAGCACUUAUAAUCUAAACAAUAAUACAAGUUAUGACAACACAAAUAUAUAUAUAUAUAUAUAUAUAUAUAUACCUUAAUGUAAAAGUUGUUAUAAGAAACUUAAGUAUGAUUUUAUUUCACUUUACUUUUAAACAACUCAUUAUAUUUUUACAAAUUUCACUCUAAUAAUGAGAUCUUACAAGAAUUUAUAAUUUAUACUUCAGUUUCUUAUCACAAAAAAUUAUUGAAAUAUUAAAAUUAAUAUUCUAAGGUUGAUAUUAUUAAGACUCAGUCUUGUAUAAAAGCAUAUUCAAUAACAUAAUAAAGGUCUUAAAAUUAAGAAUUUAGUUUUAUAUAAGAAUACGGGCCUUAACAACAAAAAUAAUAUUUGAAUAUCAAAAGUCAUCUUCACAAUCAAUUAAUAUAUAAUUAUAAUAAUUAAAUUAAUUUUUUAAGUUGUAAAAAAAUAAAGUACAAAUAAAAAGUUAUAAAAUGUGGAUCUUGUAAAAUUUAUUAUUGGAUCAAAAUUUAUAAAAAUAUGUUGUGAGAUGAUUAAAUGUAAUGUAGCAUAAUAAAACUCUUUUCAAAUAUGAAAAAAAACAAACUCAUAAGUUUCUUAUACCACUCUUGGAUGGUAAAUGUUCCAUAGUCUAGUUCAUAAUUUUAUAGCAUCCACUGUGCUAAUUAACUUACUCUAAUAAAAGUUUAACAUAAGACUUAAAUUUUAAAGUUAAGACUCUUCUUACUACUUUUGUACGAGAUGUACUAAAAAAAACAAGUUGCCUAGUAAAAUAUACGUUGAAAAGUAAAGUUCGUCUAUAUUAAUGUACAAGUUCACGUUAACCUACUAAAAAACUAAAAAAUAAAUAAGGUGAAAAAAGGAAAAUAAAAUAUAUAAUAACCCUUUUGUAUCUACACUUUACAAUUUUAAUUAAAGUUCGUCUUUAUUAAUGUACAAGUUGACCGUUAACAUACCAAAAAACUAAAAAAUAAAUAAGGUGAAAAAUGAAAAUAAAAUAUAUAAUAACCCUUUUGUAUCUACACUUUACAAUUCUAAUUAUUUUGACUCCAACAUUACACAUAAAACAAAUUAUCCAAUAAAUACAUUCCAUCUUCAUUGAUCCUCCCAUCACAAAUAUUUAGUACUAAAUACAAUAUUACUAUUAUAACAAAAAUGAAAACAGAACCACCCAAAAACUUUUAUAAAUUUGUAUUAUUAAUUAAAAAAAAUAAAACGGUUGGUCUUGCAGAUUGGUCUAUUGCAACUUCAGAACAUAUUUUUUUAUGACCAAAUGAGACAAGACAAAUAAACUUGCCCGCUGAAACUUACAAUCCGACCCACCUAAAAACAGGUUGAUUAAUUGUUUCAAAAUUCAUUUUGCAUUAAUAAGUGUACCAAUCUACUAUUUACUCUUUUUAUUUUAUUAACAUUUAAAAAGUGUCUCUCUCUGUGUAUAUAUAUAACACUUGAAAAGAGCGUAUAAAUUCAUUGGAUUCAAUUACAUACUCGCUAAUAAAGUAAUUAUUGAUUAAAUUUAUUUUAAAUUAAUGAGACAUGAAAAAGUUAAAAGGAAUGAAAACAUGAAUGAUGCCUAAUUUAGAUAUAUUUUCCUACAUGCAUGACACGCCAUCCAAUACGUAAAUAAUCGAUAGCAUAGAUUCAUAAAACCAACAGAAACAAAACAAUAACAACAAAUAACAAAAAUUCCACACCAUCAGAGAGGAAAUAAAUAAAUGAAUAACAAAAAUUGCAUGUUAGGUAUAAAGCUGGCUAAUUUUUUUGUUAAUAUCCUUAAAAAUAUUUUUAAUUCAUUUAAAUUUCCUUUGUCACUGAAAUUUUUUAUUUGUUUUCAUUCCCAUAAAAUUUGAAAUUACAUUUUUAGUCCUCCUAAAAGACGUGAUAUUUAGUUUAAAUCCUUCUAAAAUAACUUUCUCUAACUUUCAUCCCUCCAAAAUUUUAAAUAAUUAUUUUUAGUUCUUAAUAUUCUUUUCAAGAUAGAAAAUAAUAUUUAGUUUCUGAAUUUUAAAGAGUCUUUAUAAAAUUAUUUAUGUCGAUAUUAUACUAUAAGAUUAGUACUUAAAAUAAUCAGUUAAUAUUUUAUUUAACACAUAAAUGAUUAAUUAAUAUCGAGUGGUCAUUUUAAUUUAAAAAAAAACAAAAAUAGAAAAAAAAAUACAUUUCUAUUUAGGACUAACAAUAUGUUUAAACCCUCUGAUUUUGUUUCUUUAUCACAUUUACUCGGCUUCUAAAUAUAUGAUGUCACCAAUUGGCAGUUACUUGAUAGUUGACACCAAAGCCAAUUCACUAUUUAAAUUGUCAACAAUUCGUUAAAAAAAAAAUAUAAGUAAAUUCAGGAGGAUCCAAAGCCAGAUACCAGGUAGCAGGGGGUUCAAGGCUUAAUAAGCUUAAUUAUUUAAGAAAAUAAGCUGAGUUUCUUCUUUUUCCUAAAAAAACCCAAGAUUUGACCUCAAUCCCUGUUUUCUCUCCUAUAGCAUUGAAACCGAUAAUUAACAAGUAGACUGAAGGAUCAAAUGGCAUACUAUUAAACAUACUGAUACAGAUUUGGAUCACCUUUAGUUGCCUUCUUCCUAUUCUACACGUAAAAAAAUGCAGUUUUGGAAAAACUGAAGUAGAAUGCUUAGUUCAUUUUUUAUAUCUAAGAAAGGGAUGCAGUGGAUAAUUAAUAAGAAGGUGGAAACAAUAACGAAUUGACCCAACCCCAAGACAGUCAAAGCUCUAGGGUUUUCUAGGUUUGAUGGGAUAUUCUUGGAGAUUUAUUCGUGGAUAUGGAAAGGUAGUUAGACCUGUGACAGAUUUGUUAAAAAAGGGAAAUUUAGUUGGAUACCAGAAAGUAUUUGAACAACUUAAGGAAGCAAAUCACCUCUGCCCCGGACCUUGCGAUGCCAGAUUUUUCUCAACCUUUUUCCCAUUGAAUGCUAUACUUCAGGAAAGGGAAUAGGGCCAGUGUUAGCUCAAGGUAGGAAUCCUAAAGCGCUCUUCCGAAAACCAUUAUCCGAUACCGCAAGUCUAUAUGGGAAGGAAUUGAUGGCUUUAGUAUUGGUUACUUAACAUUAACGACCCUACUUAUUAGGACAAAAGUUCACAGUUUACACGGAUAAAAAAAUUUAAGAUAUCUAUUAGUGUAGAGGAUUACAGCACAAAAUCAACAAAAUUGGUUGUUCAAGUAGUUGGGAUACGAAUUUGACAUUGUAUAUAAAUGGGAGCUUCAAAUAAGGAAACAGAUGCGUUAACGAGAAAAGUGGAAGAUCAAGAGUUGCCAGACCUUAUUGGCAGGAAGUUUCAGAAAUAGACAAGGAACUAUAAGUUGAUCCUGUUUAGUCAAAAAAUUAAAGAUGAGCUUAAACAGGAUACUGACUCCCAUGGUAAAUAUACCCUGGAACAUGGCAGCCUCUUCCAUUUGAAUACAGAAAUUAUUGCAAGAAUAUCACUCGAAUGUUUCAGAAGGACAUUCAGGGGUUUAUCACAAGUAUAGAUGUCAUAUAGGAUAUCCGUAUGGAUUUUGUGGUGGGAUUACCUAAUUAUAAGGAGUAUGAUGCAAUUCUGAUAGUGGUGGACUGAUUGGGUAAAAUGACCAUUUUAUUUUUCUCAAGACUCCUUAUUCAGCUCGUUCUAUUGCUGAUGUUUUCCUAAGAAUAUCACUCGACUAUUUCAGAAGGACAUUUAGGGGUUUAUCGCACGUAUAGACGUUGUGCUCAAUCUAUAUAAUGGAAAGGGAUGAAGAAGAUGGUAACUGAGUUUGUAGCAGCUUAUCAUACGUGUCAACGUAGCAAAUAUCAGGCUUCGUCACCCGCAGGACUACUGAAGCCAUUUCCUAUUCCAAAUGCCAUAUGGGAGGAUAUCGGUAUGGAUUUUAUGAUGCAAUUCUCUUAGUAGUGGACAGAUUGAGAAAAUGGCCAUUUUAUUUUUCUCAAACAUCCUUAUUCUGCUCGUUCUAUAGCUGAUGUUUUCCUAAGAGAGGUGGUCAGUUUGCAUGGUAUUCCAACUUCAAAGGUAAGUGAUAUUUAGUAUUUCUUAGUCUCUUUUGGACAGGAACUCUUUAGAAGACAAGGCACUAUAUUACUGAACAGAACUUUGAAAACUUAUUUACGAUGUUUCACUUCUGAACAACUGAAGGCUUGGGCGGAGUUUGUUCCAUGGGCAGAAUAUUGGUAUAAUACCCCGUUAUUAACGACGGCAAAGUGUACACCAUUCGAGGCGAUAUAUGGAAGGGCUCCUCCUUCAAUAGCUAGAAUUAUUCUAGGAGAGAUUUUGGUAGAAGCAGUAGUACAAGACCUAAUGGAGAGGAACGAAGCUUUAAACAGUUGAAAUAUCAUUUUGGAAGAGCCCGGUAUCACAUGACGAGAUAUGCUAAUAUGCAUGGGAUCCAUCAAAAAUAAAGGUGGGAGAUCGGGUUUAUUCAAAUAGUCGUCCUUAUUGACAAGUUCAAUGCCUACAAGACUGCAUCAAAACUGGCAGUUGGCUUCUAUGGGACCUAUGAAGUGUUCUAGGCGAUAGGAGCAGUGGCUUUUCAGUUACAGCUUCCAGUGCAGGCCAGAAAUUAAUUCACCAGUUUUUCAUGUUUCUCAGCUAAGUUGGCAGUAGGAGAUCAUCCAGUAGAAUCAGAAUUUCCAGUAGGAUUACAGUGCCAUUCCACAAGACUACAACCAUAUCAAGUGUUGGGAACUAGGAUGGUAGAGCAAGGAGAAGAAACGGUACGGUAACUGCUGAUUCAAUGGCAGAAUACAUCACGGGAGGAGGCAACUAUACAAUAAUACAACAAAAAUUUCCGGAAUUCAACCUUGAGAACAAGGUUUUUGUGGAGGGGAAAUAUUGUUAAGAAAGGGAAUCAAGGUCAUUCACAAGCUGACCCAAAACCUUUGUUAGUAUAUCAAAGGAAAAAUAGAAGACGGUAGUGGGCAAAAUACAGAAGUUGGUUAGGACUGUUGAGGCAGUAAUGGCAAAGAGAGAGGAAGGGUAUACUAUGGAGCACUUGAGGGUUUAUGGGGGUAUGAAAAAGACUAAAUUGUUGUGACAGGGAUAGGUCCUUCUGUGAAACGAGAGCAACCUCCUCUCUGAAGAGCCAUUAUACUUGUGAGAUUCAAUCAAUAAAAUUCUCUUUCUUCAGUCAUAUUACUCUCCUUAUCUCUUUUGAAUCCUUAAUUCCUAACACUAUAACCAUAACAAGGUCAACAUCAACGACAACAAUUGCAAGGAAAUAACCAAGGAAUCACAAAGGUACGUGUGGGAGACCCCAAGCACAACAAGCAAUUCAACACGAUACUAAGCUAAGGAUAGGAUAGACAAAAGCAAUCAUGGAAUAUAGAAGGUUUCAGAGCUUACCUUGAUUCUGAGAUUUCUGAGCCAAAACUCACAAUCAGCAUAACCUUCACUUCAGCCAUUGUCUCAAACAUAAACGGACUGAUUUCGAUGAUAAUUAUCUUGAUAGAUUGCGAUACUGGAGAUAGCCAAUACUAAAAAUUGAAGAACAAACGCCACCAUAAAUAAAUAAAACUCAAUCGCAAGUAACAUAAAAAGUGUGGCUUAGCGAAAAGAACAAAUAAAAGUGGAGAUGAAAUAAACCUAUUUUGAACAAAAAAAUCCCGAAGAGGAUGCAGAGGGUUCUGAAGCUGAUGAAGCAAACGGCAACGGAAACGAGGCAACGAACGAGAUGUGUAGCAGAGCAACUCAACAGUAGCGCGAAGAUUCCAGAAACCUGUUCCACCGUCAAGAAACGUCGACGAAAAAACAACCUCCAUCUUCUUGCUUUCUUUCAGAUGCAAGGAGGAGAAGGAAACGAGAGAGAAUAGAGAAUUUUGGAAUUGGUGGAAGAGGGAAGACACGGAAAAAAUGUUUUUGAAAAUUUUGGGUUAAUUUUUAUAUUAAUAUAAUUAAUAUUUAAUUUGGGAGAGAGAGAAAUGUAGUAGAACUGAAAAGAAUAACUAUUUUAAGGAAGCUUUACUAGUAUUUACUAUAUAGCAUUUAAUCUUCUGAAAUAUUUUUUUAAUAAUAUCCUUUUAUGUGAUUAAAAGAUGAACUAAUACUUGCAUUAAGAAAAAAUUAUUACAAAAUGAUAUUUUUCUCUUGUUAUUACUGUAAUAAAUUAUCACUCUUUAUUACUAUUGUGAGUAGUUAAAAAGUGUAAAAGUAUAGAAUGAUAAAACAUUAGUUGACAUUUUUAAAAAAUUAUUUUAUCUAAAUUUAUAUUAAUUAAAUAUUUUUAAUUUGUGUGUCAAAAUCUUAAUGACUAAUGUUUUUUUAACAAAGGAUGUAUUUUUUCUAAAGCAAAAAGUUAAUGUAUCUUCAAAAAAUAUAAAUUACUUUUCUAUAGCAUUUAUGUCUUUUACUAUUAGUUGGAGAUUUUAUAAAAUUAUAUUUUUUGUGACCUUCAUUUAUUAUUAAUGAUAUUGUCUUUUAUAUAUUAAAAAAGUGUAUUUUUUAAUUCUUAAAUAAACAAUAUAUAAUAUGUUUUUCUCUUCCUUUUUAUCUAUUUUUUACAAUAUGUAAUAAAUAUAAUAAAUUUUCUAGAUUCUCAAAAAAAAUAUAACUUCUAUUGAAAAAUAUAAAAAAAAAAAUUUAUCUCACAAACCAAAUAAACUAAAAAAAUGUUCAUAUUGGAGAACUGAAGGUCAUAAUAGAAGCAAUUGUCAGCACAAAUAAGCCUGGUAAUAAAAUUCAAUUUCAAGUUUGAUUAUUAAUUUUCUUAUUUUCUUUACGUAAGUAUUUAUUCCAUCAUAAAAAAAUUAUUUAUCAAAUUAAUUUCAAAUAUUACAUUAUAAUUAUAAUUGUAAUUAAAUAAUUAUAAUAUAUAUUUAUUUAAAAACAAGAAAUUUUAUAAAAAAAUACUAAAAGGAGAAAACAAUGUAUCCCAUGAACCUUCUCCUCAAUUUUUUUUACUUGAAUGCAAGAAUUAAGAAAAGAAAAAGUGUAGAAAAAAAGGACGAGUGAAGGUUAAAUAACUCCAUUAUUAUUCCAUUAUAUAACAAAUAUUAAGUUUGAGUUGAAUAUAAUUCUAGCAUAAUUAUUGGAAUUUUUCUUGAUACAAAUGUGACAUUUUUUUUAGUGUAUAGAAAACCAUCACGCAACACUUCACUUUGUUUCAAUUUUUUUUUUCAAUUUAACAAAGAAGUUGUCUUCACCAUUUGCAACUUUGGAAGAAGUUCCCAAAAUUGCAUUCACCAUUGACAACUUUGGAUGAAGUUCUAUUGAAAGUUUCCUUGGCUAUUGACAACUUCUAAUGAAAGUUGUUUGACAACUUUGGAAGAAGUACUCAAAGUUGCUUUUAAUCAUUGACAACUUUUAUUGAAAGUUGUAUUCACAAUUGACUACUUCUAUUGAAAGUUGUUCUUACCAUUGGCAGCUUUGGAAGUUGUCAAAGUUACAUUAAACAUUAACAACUUCUGCUGAAAGUUGUAUUCAUUAUUGGCAAGUUCUUGCCAGAGUUGCUUUCACCAUUGACAACUUUAAUUUAAAGUAGACUUCAUCAUUGACAACUUUAAUUGAAAGUUGCAUUCACUAUUGACAACUUCUAUUUAAAGUUCUUUUCACCAUUGUCAACUUUGAAAGAAGUUGUCAAAGUUGUAUUCACCAUUAAUUCUAUUUGAAAAUUAUAUUGGAAGAAAUUUCCAAAGUUACAUUAUCCAUGAACACUUCUACUGAAAGUUGGCUUCGUGGUUGACAAUUUUGGAAGAAGUUGCCAAAGUUGCACUCAUCAUUGACAAUUCCUAUUAAAAGUUGCAUUCACUAAUGAUAAGUUAUAAUGAAAGUUACAUUCACCACUGACAACUUGUAUUGAAAGUUGCCAACAUCAUUUGCAACUUUGGAAGAAGUUGUCAAAGUUGCAUUUACCUUUGAUAAUUUUUAUUGAAAGUUAUUUUCACCAUUGAUAACUUAACUUAUAAAAGUUAUCUUGGAAGAAGUUUUCAAAGUUGUAUUUACCAUUGGUAACUUCUAUUGAAAGUUGUCUGUGAUUAACAAAUUUCGUAAAAAGUUGUCAAAGUUGUAUUUACCAUUAACAACUUUUAUUGAAAGUUGUUUUCAUCAUUAACAACUUUGGAAGAAAUUAGCAAAGUUGCAUUCAGCAUUGAUAACUUCUAUUGAAAGUUGUCUUUGUCAUUGGCAAAUUUGGAAAAAAUUGUCAAAGUUGUAAUUCACAACUUUUAUUGAAAGUUGUUUUCACCAUUUACAAUUUUGGAAGAAAUUGUCAAAGUUGCAUUCACCACUCACAAUUUUUAUUGAAAAUUAUUUUCACCAUUGAUAACUUUAGAAGAAGUUGUCAAAGUUGCAUUCACCAUUAACAACUUCUAUUGAAAGUUGCAUUCACCAUUGACAAUUUCUAUUGAAAGUUGCUUUCACCAUUGUCCACUUUGAAAGAAGUUAUUAAACUUUUAUUCAUCAUUGAAAACUUCUAUUGAAAGAAGUUUCCAAAGUUGCAUUCAUCAUUGACAACUUUCAAUAGUUGUCUUCGUCAUUGACAAUUUUGGAAGAAGUUGUCAAAGUUGCAUUCACCAUUCACAACUUCUAUUGAAAGUUGUUUUCACCAUUGUCAACUUUUAAACUUAAACUUGCAUUCAUUAUUGAAAACUUUUAUUGAAAGAAGUUUCCAGAGUUGCAUUCAUCAUCGACAACUUCUAUUGAAAGUUGCCUUCGUGGUUGACAACUUUGUAAGAAGUUGUCAAAGUUGAAUUCAUUAUUGACAACUUCUAUUAAAAGUUGCCUUCAUCAUUGACAACUUUGGAAGAAGUUGCUGAAGUUGUAUUCACCAUUGACAACUUCUAUUGAAAGUUACUUUCACCAUUGAUAACUUCUAUCGAAAAUUUCCUUGGAAGAAGUUUCCAAAGUUGCAUUUACUAUUGGUAACUUCUAUUGAAAGUGACAUUCGUGGUUAACAACUUUGUAAAAAGUUGUCAAAGUUGCAUUCACCAUUAACAACUUCUAUUAAAAAUUUGAAAGUUGCUUCAUCAUUGUCAACUUUGGAAGAAGUUGUAAAAAUUGCAUUCAUCAUUGACAACUUCUAUUGAAAGUUGCAUUCAUGGUUGACAACUUUGCAUAGGUUCCAAAUAAAAAAGUUUGACUCACCAUUGGAAACUCCAAUUGCAAGACCACCACCAGCUUUAUUUUCCCACAAGCAAUGAUUUAUUUUCUCGCCAACUUUAUCUUCAGAUUAUUUUCACAUGGCUACAAUUUUCACUUUGGUGUGGUACAACCACGUCAACCCGUGAAGUUGUGUCAACUUGACACAACUUUGUCCACGUCAUAUAUAUAUAUAUAUAUAUUAAUUUUCUUGUUUAUAUAUUGAGUAGUAAGUUAUGUAAUAUUUAAAAUUAAUUUGAUACAUAAUUUUUUAAGGGUGUUAGUUUUAAGCAAUAAAAAUUUGGAUAAUUGUGUAUGCAUCAUGUUUGACGGUAAUGUAAUAUAUUAAUUUGGAAAUAAAUAGAGAAAUGAGAAUUAAUUAUUUGGAAAAUAAAUAGAGAAUUGUGAGGGAGUUUCGUCUGCCUUGUUCACAUAUAAAUUGACAAUAAAUCCUCAUAAGUGUCUAUAUUUUAAUAUGAAAUAUUAAUGAAAUUAAACUCUUAUCGAAUAACAAAUCUAAUUAAUUAGGUUUUGAAUUAAGAAAAAAAUUAAGUAACUUAUGUUAUGUUAUGCCCUACCAAAAACAACUUGCUUUAAUUUUUAUUUUACUUUUUUUGUGCAGGUUCGUGGGUGAACCCGUCCCAACUCGGUAAUGGCUCACACGGGCUUAAGCAAGUCAGUGGGUUAGUGAGUCCGCCCCACAGUUUUUGCUAGUGGGGUACGGGUUGACCCACAUGGUCCAUCCCACAUUGGCAUCCCUAAUAAAAGGUAGUCUGCGAGUCAGCCCACAUAAAUAAAAUAUUUUUUAAAAAUAGAAAAAUUCAUUAAUUAUAAAAAAAAAACUAUUUCUCCUGCUGAAAAAUUAAAAUUUUAUCCAUAUUUUAAUUCAUUUAAUUAAGAUAAAAAAUAUUAUGAAUUCAAGUAUGAAGGUUGUUAGAAGACUUGAUUAAAAAUAAUUAAAACUUUGUUUUUGCAUUUAUUUUCUUCUACGUAUGUAAAUGUAUGAGAGAUCUUAACAAAGUUUUGGUACUAAAUAUUUUAAUGAAGUUGACUAAUCUUUUAAAAUAAAAUAAAAUAAAAGUCACACUACAAUAAUAAGUAGGUGAGAUAUGAUUUUUUUUAAUAAAAUAAGAUAAAUAUUUUUUUAUUUAUGCGGUCAACGGGCCAAUCCGUUUGUCUCACACGAACUGCGAUUUAUACAAAAUGGACCUAAACGGAUCAACGGAAUGAAAAUUGAACCAACAAGGUUGAGAGGUUGUGGUUGAGUGUUAACAUAACUUAUUUUUGUUCUUGAGUUCUUUUAGGUUGUUUAGGCCCAACUUUUUUUCUGUUUCUGUUAAGCUUUCUCCUUUUCUUAUAUAUACACUGUUGCAUUUUACUGUUUAAUAGAAGUGAAUAUAUUUCAUUUUUCACCUUUUUCUUUUCACUUAGCAUCUUCUUCUUCCCUUUUACGUUUCUGUCGCAGUUUCUUUUCGUUCUUGCGAUUAGGGUUCAUCAGUGAUUUUCAUUUCCACUUCGAUUAGGCGCACCUCAUUGUUGGAGCGUCACCCAGGGCAAUACACAUACAUCUUCACGGAUUGUAAUAUUCACUUCCCAAGAUAAGAGCUCUCUUCACCAGAAUCUCCCGUUGCCGUCGCCGGCGAGACGUUGUAAUUUGUAUUCUCCAAUAUUUAGAGAAGAGUCCUUCCUUUACCCUCUAGCAGUGCCAUUUUAGUUAGCUCACAUCUAUCGUAUUUAUUAUUUUUUUAAAUAAUGAAAAUGAAUGAGGAGCUUUUAUAGAAUUUGAAAAUCUAUUUUCAUUGUUUUUAUUUUUUUUCUUCUUUUCUUCUCCCGCAUAUAUCCAAUUUUUAUUUCUAUUGCUUGGUAAAAAAUUUAAAAAAAAAACUGUGCACCCGUGUCAGGUUACGAUACAACUAUUUAACAUAUAUUGUAGCGAUGUGUUAAAAGGAAAGCCACACAACUGUAUUUCUAAAAUAAGUAAUACUUUCGUAUCUUCAUUUAAAGCCACACAACUGUAUUAUUAAAAUCAUUAAUCAUUUGGUACCUUCAUUAAACUGUAAAAUAAAUUAUUAUUUUAUUAUAAUAUAAUAUUUUAUUUAAAAGGAAAGCCACACAACUGUAUUAUUAAAAUAAGUAAUACUUUGAUACCUUCAUUUAACUGUUAAAUAAAUUAUUAUUUUAUUACAAUAUAAUAUUUUAUUUUAAGAAAAGGAUUGUGAAAUAGUUAUUUUAUUAUUUUACGUGCAAAACAAACUUUAUUGCUCUUCUUAAAAUAAUAUGGAUUCUUUUGAAUUGUGGAUAACCUUAAAAUCAGUACCCCUCAUGCAUUCUUAAUAGGUAAAAUCCUAAAUAAGUCUAAAUCUAUCCAGUAUCCAAAUUCUUAAUUAACUAAUUACCAGAGUAGCUAUUAAACAUAAUUAUGUCUACAAAAUAGAUGGAUUUGAUUAAUAAUGACAUUUGUAUUUAAUAUACUUAUAAAUUUUUGAGUUUUUUUUAUAUAUAAGGAAUUAAUUAAUACAAAAUUAUUAAAUUUGGCGUGAAAUUGAGGGUGGGGUGAAAGAGGCAUGUCUAAUCCCGAGGUAUAAGAGAAAUGAAAAUAUAAUAUUAGUGAAAGCAAAAAAGUAAAGAUGGAUUUGUCCGAAGAAAAUGAUUGGAAAGUAAGUAAACAUUCGAAAAAACAAAAAGAUUGGUUGUGUUGUGGGUCUACAGCUGUACGACUCACGUCACUCGUUUGAUCAAACACAUGAAGAGGAAGAGUGGUUUGUUAGGUGCAGGAAUUGUUAUUGGUUUCGCAUGCAUUAAUUAAAACCUCAACCUCCAUGCAUGUGACUAUCAUGCUAGCAACUGCCACAAUAUUUAAGGGCAUGGUGUUGUGCAAAUAUAGGAAAAUGCCAUAACAAAAACUAAGCAAGAAAAUGGUUAUAGCAGAAUGUAACAGAGUUGAUCACUGUGUCCUCAUAAUCUCAUGCCUCGGUUUAAUCGUCACGCUCCGCCUCCUCCUCUCCCUCUCCACCUGGAUCUUCCGAACCUGCUUCCGAUCCGAGAAGAACCUCAUCCGAACCUACGGUUCCUGGGCUCUGGUCACCGGAGCCACCGACGGCAUCGGCAAGGCUUUCGCCUGCCAGCUGGCACAGCGAGGGCUCAACCUCAUCCUCGUGAGCAGAACCUUGCAGAAGCUGGAAGCUGUUGCGCGUGAAAUCAAGGCGAAGCAUCCAAACGCGCGCGUGAAGGUGGUGGAGAUAGACUUCGCGAGCGGGGAUCUGUCGGAGGGUCUGCAGCGCGUGGAGGAGGCGAGUGAGGGGUUGGAUGUUGGCGUGUUGGUGAACAACGUGGGGAUGACGUAUCCGCAUGCGAUGUUUUUCGACGAAGUCGAGGAAAGUGUGUGGAGGAAGAUCGUUAGAGUGAACGUGGAAGGAACAACGAAAGUAACGAAAUGUGUUCUGCGUGGGAUGUUGGAAAGGAGAAAGGGAGCCAUCGUUAACAUUGGCUCCGGUGCUGCACUCGUUCUUCCUUCUCAUCCUCUCUUCACUGUCUAUGCUGCCACCAAGGCGUAAGCUUUCUCUUUCUCUUCUUUUCUUUCUCUCUAUUCAAAUCUUUUUCACAACUCAAUUUUUCUUUUCUUCUUAUUUUUCUUUCAGAUUAUAUAAACGGUAUUUAACUUACUAACCAAAAUUUCACAAAUGUUCUUCACUACGACCCACUAGCUCUCCUUUAACUGACACACCAACUAUCACAUCAGCACUUAACAAUAUUCCAACAGCAGUUAGGCAUCCAAAUAAAUGACUCGUACAUAUAAAAAAAAUGACUAUUAAAAUAUAGUAAAAUUGUAUUAAAAUUCUAAUACUAUAUUUUGGUACGAAAUCUUACCUAUUAUUUUCUUUAAAAAAAUUUAAGAGUUUAUAUAUAUAUAUAUAUAUAUAUAUAUUUUAUAAAUUUGUAUUAAUAAUAUAAAUUAUCUUAAAUACUAAUAAUUUUACAGUUUAUAAAAGUUUUAAAUCACUAUAAUGAUUAAUUAAUUUUAGUCUUUAAAUUACUCUCUAUUUAAUAAUUUUAAAUUUGUUUAGGGUAUAAUUUAAAUUUUUUUUUGAAGAGUAUGGAUUGGAAUAUAAAAGUGCCGACUAUUUUAUUUUACAGGUUAAAAAUUUUAUUUGAACAUAAUUUUAUUAUUUAAAUAGAAUUAAAAUAAUAUUUGAUGAUUAAAGAAUUAGCAUAAAAUUAAAAAAUUAACUAUCAAAACAACUACUUUAUUGAAUUAAUUCACAAUCGCUCUAAAAUCAUGCUUUAGCCAGCUAGUUUCACUUUAAUCAUGAUCCCAGUAUUAUACGUUGAGUUGUUUUCUAAAUUUCAAAAUUACCUUACGAUGUAUUAAUUAUUUUCUAUAUUCAUUAAAUAUUUAAAUUAAAACAUAUUUUAAUUAUUGAUUUACUUAUAUUUAGAAGACAAUAAUUAUCAUAUAUUGUCAAUAUAAACUUUUUAAUUCAUAUAAUCUGCAUGAUAAUUAUUAUAAAAUAUAGGCUUGUGAUUUUUGAUAUUUAUUAUUUGUUCUAAAUAUAAAUAUUAAGUUUAAAAUAUAAAUAUACAUAUACGAGAACUAAGGCAUUUAUAAAGCAUGCAGUUACGUGGAUCAAUUCUCAAGAUCUCUGUACGUGGAGUAUGGACAAUAUGGGAUACAUGUGCAAUGUCAGGUACGAAGUUAUUGAAAUGUCUCCUUUUCCAGUUACUAUCUUUGCAGUAAUUUUCUUAUAGAUGUUCGUUUUGACUUUGUUAGUAAGUAUGUGGUUAUAGGGUAAACUUUGGUACAGUAGUGAUGAUGAAUAUGAAGGUUGUUGUUGUGGAGUAAAUUAGUAGGACUAAUUGUUAACAACAUUAAUGAGUGAAGGUACCACUGUACGUUGCAACAAAUAUGGUAUCAAGGGUGGCUUGUAUUCAGAGAGAUUCGUUGUUUAUACCUACAGCUGAGGCUUAUGCAAGAGCUGCAAUUGCUGAAAUUGGGUUCCAAGCAACGUGCAUACCUUAUUGGGCUCACUCUUUUCAGGGCUUCUUAGCACACUUAAUCCCUCACCCUCUGCUUGAUUCCUGGCGAUUAUCCAUCGGUAUUCGCCGCCGGAACAAUCAAAACCAAUCCUCAUUCACUUCAACUUUAUCUCCAUGAAAUAUCUUUUUUAUUUUCUCAAAAACAUAUAUACAAAUAUAUACGUUAUGUUAUCUACCUUAACUGUUUCAGAUUUAUCUCUCUUUGCUGCUUAUCAUUUAUAUUGGGCUCCUGGGCUUGCUUUUCACACCUCUCCAUUACCUUCUUCACACCCCUUGCUGAUCCCAUGUUGGGCUUUCUGGAUUGAGUAUUGCGCUGGCCCACCUGACUCAGAAACGUGGGUCGUUGAGAGAUCCGUUGUCUUCCCCAAGUCACAGUGAUUUUUGUUCGUGUAUCUCUUCUUUCUCUGACCACAAUUAUAACUACCGAAGCUAAUUAUUAUUUUUUUAUAAAAUUAAUCUUCUUUUAAAGAUUUUAUUUUCUUACGAUAUAACCUGUUAGGGUUAAAACAACAUAUUUUAGAUUUCUCUAUACUUAAAACUCUCACAUUAUUUAAGAGUUAAUGUGAAUUUAUUUGAUAAAUAUGAUCAAUAUAAAGACAAAAUGGUGAUAAAAUCAUCAUUAUUUAAACGAAUCAAAUGUAAAUAUUAAUCAACAACAUUGUUUUUAACGAAUUUGAGGUGAGUACCACUAUAAAAAAAAUUAAAAUCCUCUUUUAAUAAUAGUAUCAAAAUCAUUAUUAUUUAAAUCAUCGUUGAAACCUAGGUUUUUAACAACUAUGAAACCAUCGUCGAAUAUAAUAUCAUAAUAUGUAUAGAUCCAUUUGUGUAUUUGUGUAUUGUAUAAAUGUAUAUCAUAUAUGAUGGUUAGAUGAGAACCUUGAACCUAUAGCAUAUGUAUAGAAACCUUGCGUUUUCAUUACAACUAUCCAUUUCUUUUAUAUAUUUUUAUGAUUACCUCAAUUUAACCAUACGUAUGUACCAAAAAUCUUGCACAUCCCACAAUGAACAUUAUAUAUAGUCAUCACUAUUAUUUAUAAUCAGAACACAAAUUGUAGUUUAAUUGUAUAAAAAAUAUAUAUAAUAUUCUUAUUACUAAACACCCUACUUUAAAGUGAAGAAUAAUUAUCCUUAAAAUAAUGGCUACUAACCUUAAAACCAUUGUUAUAUAAAUUAAGCAAAAUAUAAAUAUAAGGAUAUAGUGCUAAAAAAAGUAGGAGGUUUAUAUUAUCGAAUAAAUUGAAUUUGAAACAACAUUAUAUACGAAAUAUAGUUUAGAGAUGUGGUUUUUCGUUGUGGUCAAUAUGAUAACACAUAAAAUAUAAUUGGUAAGAAGGAAAAUAUUAUUAUUGAUCUUAUAAAAUUUACAGCAUGGCAUGGCUAUAUAUCAAAGUCAAGAGUUUAAAUUUUUCUUUUUGAGAAUGGUUCAUGAAUAUUUUGUAAAAAAUUAGUUAUUUGGUUAUAUUUGACUUGAAAGGAAGUAUACUAUGUAACUUUAAAUAGCAUAUGAAUAUGUCCAUUUUACUUCAUAAACUACUUCAUGCUUGAUUGAAGUAACUCAAAUAAAAGAAUAUGACAUUUCAAUUCGUAAUUAAAAUAUAUAAUUAAAUUUGUGAUCUACUUUUAUUUUUAUUGUUAGUAAGUACAACUUACUAGGCUCACUGCACAUCACAUGUUAGUUCUUUUAUUAUCAAAUAUAAUUAAUUUAAUCUAGAAAUAAAUCAUUUUUAAAUGCAUUAUUCAACUAAUUAAGUAAUAUUUUGAAUAAAUAAGAUAAUUACUUAAAACUUUUUAAAUGAAUCUAAUUCAAACCAUUUCAUGUUGAAUUGGAUGAAAGUUAAACUUUCAAUAAAAACAAUUACACAUAGAAAUGAAAAUCCUCUAAAAAAAUGAAUUCCUAUUAACUCACUAGAUACACAAACAUCCCAUCUUCUACUCAAGAUCCAUCGAAAAUCAGCAAAAUAAUAGUUUAAUUUAAAAAAAUAAUAAUAAUUUGGGAUGAAUUAAGUAGAAAAGUAAAAGUAUUAAUCUUUGUAUUAGGUUAACCUAAAGUGUUCUUACGAAAGGCAACCUCUGUGUCCAAACCAAAACCAUCAACGGCACGAACGUGAACCAAAGCGGAGUGGUUGAAGAGCGUGAGGAGGGGGUCCACGCUGUAGAGGUCGUUGGCGGAGUACUUAUCGGCGCGCCGCGACAGCGCCACGUGCAACACACACACGCCGUUGGGCUUCAACGUUCGUUCGAUCUCGCCCACGAAGCGUUCCGGGUAGAGCGCGUGGUCGAAGACGUUCGAGAAUUCGAAGUCGAACGUGCCGUUAUCAAACGGUUGGUUGUGAAAGUCGCCCUUAACCACGAGGGGAGGGUAGGGAACGAGGUCCAUUCCGAUGGAGUCGCUAACGCCGACGCGCCUUAGCGCCUCCACUUCUUGCCCCACGCGCGCGCCUACGCAAAGCGCCUUCGAGCCCUUCUGGAGAAGCUUCUUUUCCUUGAGGUCCUCGAAGAAGCGCGCAAAAACCGGGAUCUUGCGGUCCCAGUCGCGCGUGGUCCAUAUUUUCCGGAGGCGCGGGUUGAGGGUUUUGUUGAGCUGGCGCUGGAUGUAGGCGUCGUAGGAAGAGUAACCGGGUCGAAUUCUGAGGUUGUCAUUGCCGGUGGUGGCGAUGCUGACGUGGCGGUAGUGUUGUUGCGGAGAGAGGAGUAGGAGGAUGAGGAAGAGGAAGAAGGGGAGGGAGAGGAGGAGGGAGACGAUAAAACAUCUUAGGAUGAAUGGUUUUGUGAGUGUAAUGUUCAUUCCCACAUGCAUGUCGUGCUAAUGGAACGUGUUCUUCCUCAUGCUUAAUCUUGCUUUUGCUUUUUAGGUCUAUGCAUGCAUGGGACGUAACUUUUUGUGAUUUUUUGGAUAAGAUGAAAGCUUAAUUUUGAAGAAAGAGAGAAAGAGAGAGUCAAAUAAAGGAUUAUAGAUAAGCCAUUUAUGCUUUAUAGUUGCUAAAGAUAAGUUCUAUUUCACCAUCUACUCUAUAGGAUAUAUAGCAUUCUUCUAAUUUCUGUUUAGAUUUGGAAUAGAGUUAAGCUUUGUUCUUUAUAAUCAUUUUAGAGAUUAUAAAACAUUAUUUUCUGCAAAGGAUUUAAAUGUUUUUUAUAGAAUAAAUUUAUUCUUAAUAAAUAUUAUGCACAGAAACAUAAAGAAAGAGAAAAGGGAAGAAAGAAAUUAAAAUAAAAUGAGAAUUUAAUUUAAAUUUAAAUACAUAUUAUAUGAUCAAUAUAACUUUUAUAUAUCUAAUUUAAAAUGAAAUUUAAUUGAUUGAUAAUGUAAAUAGUUUUACUAUAUACAUGAAACAUAAAUUUAAUAAAAUAAUUAAACCGAUUUAAGUUAAAAUACGACAUCCUUUGUUUUAGGACUGGUUCGAUUUGUUAUUAUAUUUUGAUAAUAUGCAUAUAUUAGAACGUAAAUCCAUUUUCAUUCCGUUGUUGAUUUUUGAAUUCAAAUCAAAUCGUUGAAUUGAGUGGAUAAAUGUAUUGAAAUGUUGUUAAUUUGGUUAAGUUGUUGAUUUUGCAGAACUUUGGUUGUGUUUUUUUCUCAACACAAUGGAGGAAAGUGGAUAAAUGCAUUAAACUUGGAGCAUAUUCAAUGAUAAAUAUAAUGACAGUUUUUCAAAAUUAAAAUUAUUAAAAUCUCAUUUUCCAUUUACUAUGUUACAAAAUAGAUUACAUAAUUUUGGUUAAAUUUUUACUGAAAAUAAUUUUUUAAAGCAUUGAUUGAGAAAUAAUUACUCAUGAUUGUCAUAAAAAAUAAUACAAGAAGAACCAUAAUAAAAAAUAAUACAAGAAGAACCAUACUUAGAAAGCAUAAGUUGUACAGUAUGAAGAUCAAACAUCUAUGAGCAAAACUCAAAAUAUGAUUUUUUUUUUAAUUUUAUACUUAAAAUUUUAAGAUAAUAAAUUUGUAAAAAAAAUUAUAUAAUUUAUAGAAGCUCUUUUAUAUAACAUUUCUAAAUUUUUACUUUUAGCUCACCUAUAAACUAAUAACAUAAUGGGUUAAAUGCACUGACCAAACAGCUAAAGCAAGUUUUGUCACUCAUAACAAUGAUUGGUCCCCAACUACUUACAAGUAUUAAAUCCAAUAUUGAAUCAUUCCUCCCCAACUCCAAUCAAUAAUUGGUACAAACAUUCUAUAACAUAAAAGACAUAGUUUUCGUAUUAUCUUUCUUUGAAUUGAAAAUAAUUACAUUGAAUUAUAAAAUAAGAAUAUUGUUAAAUGGCAUAUUUAGAGCUUACUUGAUAUGCAUAACAGGAUAAGAGAAUUAAUAAAGAUUAAAGUUGAUACAUAUUUACCCUUUCAUGUGUUUGAUACACAAAAUAAUAGAACUAAAUAACAUUAAUAUUAUUCUAUCAUGUAUUGAGAUGGACCAAUGUGAUAUGAUAAAAUAAGAAGAGGAUAAUAAGAUAGUUAAGAGAAUUUGUUUUACUAAUUACUAAAAUAGUGUGUAAAAUGUGCAUCCAAAAUACAAAAUAGAGAACAUUCAGAAUGUUUGAGAUAAUGGGGGGUGUUUUACUUAGAAUACAAGAAUGAUAAAGUACUAAAAGAAGAGAAUUUUGUAAAUUUGAUCAAAUAUCACUUUCUAUGUAGCCAUUAACAUCUUGACCUGCUGUAUUAACCAUGUGAAACUGACUGCCUAGGAAGACUGCUGGAAUAAAAAACAAAUGCAUAUUUUCAAUGACUAUAUAUAUUUUACACUCACUCCUGCCACACCACGAAUACGGGUGGGAAGAAAGACCAGGAGGUGGAAUUGAGGGAUCAAAAUAACAGGAUAUCCAUUCAACUGUUUAUCAAGUAACUGCAUCCAUGAUCAACUAAUUCCAUGUUGCUUUAAUACAUCCCCUUGAAAACGGGAUUUGUACGGCAAAUGCUUGCUCCAUACUCCUCAUAUUCUGCCUUCGUAUGACAAGCCUGUUCAUUGGAACAUAAAUAGUAAUCUUGUUUUGUAUAGAGUCAUAUCGGAAGGAUUAAAGAAACAAUAAGAAAUUAUGGAUACUCUCACUACGAGAAAAUUAUUGCAAGAAAACUGAAUACACAUUGCCGUCCGCAAGGAUGACAAACCAAAAAAAAAAUAGUUUUACCCUGUUCAAGUUUCAUAAUUUUAAACUUAGCAAACAUUAACACUAUAACCAUAUUUUUUUUUACCAAAAAUGCAAUCAUAGACUGUUUUAACUGGAAAAGCAUACAAAAUCCAGGUUAUCAAUGCCAAACAAUAAGCAAGACAACCAACUACAGACGUGACAGUUAGGAGUUAGGAAAUUAGUUUAAAUGGUUACGAUAUUAAUAGUUAGUUGAGGGGUUAAUGAAUUAAAUAAAUAGGAGAAUGUAAGGGGAAAGGGCUCACUAUAUCUUGUAUCAUUAGAGAAUUGAGUUUUACUCUUUAUCAUAGGAGAAACCAUUGGAGGAGAGCUAUUCUGUUAUCUUCUGUCCUUUUUGAAAUCAAGAAAUAUCAUCUUCCUUCUUCUAUUUUCUAAUUUGAGUUCCUACCAAAUUGGUUUGACCCACCCACAAAUUUGACCAGAUUGAGAAAACCCCAUAUCCAAAUUUUGGAAAGAAAUGGAUAAUUCAUAAGGCUCUUGAAGGAAGGGACCACCAAGCUACUUGUGUUCAAGCAAUUGGUAAAGACGAAAAACAAAACCAGAACACAGCAAUGAACAAAAUAAGUUGAGUGUUCAAUGGAACUCUAGAAAAGAUCUAAUUAAUCAGCUUUUGGAGAUCAAGAAGUUUCAUGGAAUCAAAGAGAUUCACACACUUUUGAACAAACUCUCUACUAUUAGCUGAAUUUAAUUGGAAACCAGAAAACUACGAUAGAGCCUCGUAAGAGGUUCUCAUGAAAUUGUGAUUUUCAAUAAAAUUUAACCACAGAAUAGAGAGUCCAUUUUUAGCAUUUCUUGAAAAACUAUGAUGCAGUUGUUGAUGAAGAAAGAAGGCAUCGGGUAUAUGGGUAAUGUUGUCAUGGCAAGACAUUUCUUCAGAGGAAGAAUCAAACCACCUUUUGGGGAGAUAGAUCUUAAAGACCUAGUUGAGGGGGUGAAGUUGAGGAGCUGGGUGCCAAGAACCUGAAGCUGAGGAUUUGCAGCAGAAAAUGGAGGAACAAGGUGAGCAGGACAACAUCAGUAUGGAGGGGAGUUGGCCAGAAUGUGAUAAAGCACAGGCUAGUUCUUGGACAAGAAAGAUAGAAUUACCCACCCCUUAAUGGAAGCACAAAACAGAAAUAACUUGAAGGGUAGCAGUUUCAACUCAAUGUGACGGUGACCCAGCAAUUCUUGCAAGUAAAAAUAAAGACAUAAAGAAGGUUCAACAAUCAAGAAUCAUGCCUCAUGUGAUGGAAAGAAACCAAAAAUGAAGUAAUAUUAGCACGAAAAAAAAAUUCAAAAUAGUUAUGGACAACGAAGAAGUUGAUCCUUCACUGAAAAGGGAGAAACAAAAGGAAAACAGUAAAGAAUAUGGGCUGCGAUGACUAUUUUCAGGACAACCCUGUAAAAGGUGGAGUUGCAACCAGGCCUUCUCUUUCAAAACCCAAAUGUCCAGAAAAAGCUUGUUACUGUAAGACAUAAAUUGGACCAUAAAGGUGGAUGGAACAUCCAUGGCGUAGGAAUCUUGAAACUCACAUGCUAGGUGAGCCUUUAUCCUUAUAUAUUGGUUGCAUCUAAGGUUCAUAGCACGACAAUGGAGCCAAGGCAGGAGAGUCCAGAGGCAAUUAUGAUGAUUCAAGUUAUACAGUCAACCUCAUCACCACCACAACCAAAGCUGUUGGACCUGAGUUCACAUGCAGUGGUGACUGGCUUCACAGUUGAGCCCUCGUGAAUGGACAUCAUUGAGGUAUCUCUUGCUUAAAUAAACAAUUAGGUUCUGGAGAAUGGGAAAAGGGGGUAGAUUUGAAAUUCUUCAAAAGUGGAUCCAAAUUUUGACCAAUGGGUCAAGCACCUCUUCUUUCUUCUAUUUUCUAACAAGUUUCAUAUUUCUAAACUUGCCAAACAAUACCAUGAGGUGGAACCAAAUCCAUUUAACCUAGAAAAGCAUACAAAACUCAAGAUAUCAAUGCCAGACAAAAAGGCAAAGACAACCUACCAUGGCUUUUCAAGAACAAAUAACUAUACAUCUCAAGCCUACAAAUCCAUAUAUGCUAUCGCAGAAAUUGUAGUUGAAAAUAGAUUUUUUUCUGUUUUGGGGACAUGGUACUUAUCAGUCAUAGCAAGGAAGAAAGUUAGUCACAGAAAGUAAUUUCCGCCCCCCCGCCCCCCUCUAAUUACAUAAGCACGUUAUUAGUACACGAAAUUAGUCAUUAUGGGAUGCAUUCACUGUACCUCCUAACCCCAAAAAAGAUCAGAAAUGCAUACCGUAAAAAAUUCAGGUGUUGAUGCAAGUACUGAUCCUCCAAACCAAACUGCAAAUCUCUGGAUUGGAUGGCCGAGUACAUUUACCUCCACUGGCUGUGACUGUAGGCAAAAAAGUAAAAGCAUGACCAAAGCAAUAAAUAUACAGCAGUCCAGCAUGCCAUAACUACACCGGUGUGACUAGUUUGUCCAUGCAACUGUUGGGCCCUAGGGGAUGUGAAGACCUUCUGAGCACAAAUUACAUAACCAAACCAAUCAACAACCCACGCAACACUAUUUUCAAUACAAACAAUUGGAACAAAUGAAUUUAUGUAAUUAUUGAUUGUUGAUUGGUUUAGUCUGUACAACUUGGGCAAACAAGUUUCUCAUGUGUGCGUGUGAGAGAGAGGGAGAGAAAAUCAUCAAUUUAAAGAAGGUUUAAAGGUACCAAUUAACUUACUUUUAUCUCCCCGUUUAAGCGUGCUUCGGAUAAAAGGACACGAGCAUCCACUAUUUUUUUAAGAUCACGUUGCAACCUCCUAUGAAAAUCCUUGAACAUGGUUGAACCUCCAGACAACACUAUAUUCUGAAAUAAAUAAAAUAAGAAAGAAGUAAAGAGAUCAAUUGUCAACAACAUGUAAGCUGAAGGGCUUGAAAUUCGUAUGAUCAGAAAUUAAAUAUCAUGGCUGAAUUGAUAUGGUAUAAUAUAACUUAACACUAAUGUACUCCAUCUGGGUUAACAACAAAAAAUGCCCCAAGCUAACAUUGAUUCGAAGUGGCAGUUCACUAGAAUUUAAAGUGCUGUUGGGGCUUAUUUAUAUGCAUGUCAGUAUGGUACUUCACCUUAUAUAAGGAUCUCCUUGUGUCAAUUGGUGCAGACUGAAUACACUUGUCUAUUACAACUGGCAAAGGAGUCGUAAAGUCAUUGCCAUAUAUCUCAGGACUGAAAAAAAUCUGCAGAGGGAGAAAAUAAAUUAAAUUAACUGGUCCUGUUGAUAGAAUGACCCCAACUAAGCCGAUAGAUUAGUUCAUGAUUUACACAAAGCCACUACUACAUUUUCAUGAAUUCUUCAAUAGUUGAAUUGAAGGAGCUACCUCAUGUGGAACCAAUGGGCGUGACUAAAUGACACCAAGAUUCUUAGAGAUAGAAACCACGAUCUACAUCUAAGGUUCAAAUCCUUCAAAUCUCAGCCAGGCUACACUGCCUGCACUUAAGCCUACCUUGCCCCUUCCCACACUACUUCUUGGACCUCUUUUAGAGCCCAUAAAGGAAAAGGAAAAUGAAAAAAAAAAAACCUAACUAUCUAAAGAGAAAGACCAUAAAGGAAAAGGAAAAUAGAAAAAAAAAACUCUAAACAUCUAAAGAAAAGGUUUGGAUGAAGACAAAAUGCGUAAUAUCACUUUAAUAUUUACCAUUUUCCAUUAUAGGCCCCUCCGUUUCAGUUAGAUAUUAAUGAUAGGAAGUCAGGAACUAAACAAGUAUAUAUUUAUUUAAUUCAUAGUUCAUGGAAUAGGUUCAGGUAUUCACAACAAAAAAACCAUACUAAAACAGUUAUAUAAGGAGUGGCCAUCAAACAAACCUCAGGACCAAGAAAUCGUUCAUAGCCAAUAUCACAUGAAUAUGGUGCCCCUGUCUUUGGUUUAAUGCCUCUCCAGUGCUUGAUGUACUUGCCUGGUUCUUUGUCGUGCUUAUUGAAUUCCUGAGUGAAAUUGAGCUAAUGUUAUGUAGGAAAACUAAUGAGUUGAAAAGAAAACUUUGGUCACAUCCUUUGAUUCACAAAAGGAGCAAACUAAUUAAACAGGACAAUUUAUCAACACUCAACAUGCUAACGCCAGAGGCAACAAAACUAAUGGCAAAGGCCCACAACAAACCCCUCAUGAUUCUGUCAAAGAACCAAGUAUUGAUGAACUAAAGAGAGUAAAGACAACCUUCACAAUGUCAGAGCAGGUGUAGCAAUACAUUUCCUUUACUUUCCAUGCCACUUCAAAAGAGUCUUCCGGUGGUACCUUCUCUCCUCUUUCCUGUAUGAAGCAAUGUCAACAUAACAGUUCAUGAAUCUGCUUAGUAAAAUGCAGAUUGACAAUUGAAUACAGAUUAUUAUUUAUUACAAUCUCAGUCAGUUGAACAAAAUAUUCUAGCUAAAUACGCGAAUAACUCUGGACUAUUAAAUUUUUUAUUUAUAUUUCUUAACUAUUAAAAAUAUAGCAAUAAUAUCAUGCAUUCCACACUGUUCAUCCAGAUUAGCAUAACAUGAUUGGUUUCACUAGCUAGUGUGAAUGGUAAUUUGUGAAAAUGUUCAACAUUAACAACAACCCCACUAGGUAAGGUCAGCUAACUAGACAUUAAUCAGAGGUUUAAAAAAAUUCACAGAUAUUCGAAUAAGAGAACAAUACCAACAUAAUAACCUUUUAAUUUUAUACUACAGGGGUUACCCACCCGCAUAAGCUGCUGAACAAAAAGAGUAACAUCCUUUCCAGCAAUAGGAAUCGAUUUGAUGCUGCUACCAAUAACGUAGCCAUCUGCCACAGGUACAACAUGAGUUGCCCCAUCUCCAACAUCCACUACAACUCCUGUCAUCUCACACUAAGAAGAAUAUAAGAUCAGCCUAAAAGGAAAAUAUUCCUAAAAUUAGACAGAUAUAAUGAAAAACAAAAAUUCUUCAACAUUUUAUGUCAACACAAUGAGGGGAACUGCUGAAUUAUCCUAUGUGCUAGUUCAUGAUAUUUAUUCUACAGAGUGGUUAACUUUUGAUUUCAAGUGAACACAACCAAAUGCGUCAAAUUGCAGGAGCCGGUGAAACAUCCUGUGCAUUUUGCGUUUAAUAGCUACCAAGCAAACGGGGCAUUUCAUGCAUCAUACUUAAUAUGUAAAGCAUUCAAGAUUAAACAUCCUGUUCCAAUUCUAUACGCAACAUAAUUCCCAAUCUUUAUCCAGUGUAUCAAUUACCAACCUUAGAUGUUGUGUACCCAGCUGCAAGAGCAAGCACAGAAUUCACAGCAAUGUAAAGUCCAGGCACGUUAAAAGUCUCAAACAUGAUUUCCCCAGUAUACUCGCGACUCUCAGGUGCGGUCAAUGGACUCUCGGUCAAGAGGAAAUAGUGAUCCUCCGGAUCACACCUCAAGUAGUUGAAUAUGCACUGCUGCCAGAAGCGCUCCAUGGCAUCCCAAUUCUCAACCUGACCAUGCCGAAUCGGGUAGCUGAGAUUGUAAGUGCUGCUAGAUCGAGACUUGGAAAGUGCCUCAUCCCCAAUGAAGAAAUCAAGAUCUGCCAAAACCCCAGCAUUGUGCUGGGCCGCCCAAUUGCCUUUAGAAGAACCCCUGGAUUGAGUCAGAAACGACUCAUUAACUGCAACAACAGUCGGAACAAUAAAGGAUGGUUCAACAUUACCAGCAAACCCCAUCUUCGUAUACCUGAAGAAAAAUAAAACAGUUUCCAAAUUCAGAGUAAACCAUAUCGGAUGAAUAAAUUUUCCAGUCAAUCCAAGUCAAAAGAACUAAAGAAAACAUCAGUGGGGGCAUUUUAACAAACACGUGGUGUCCAAUAAAAAAACCACAACAUGUAGCUAAAAGAGAAAGUGGGUGAUAGAAAAGAAAGUAAAGGGUACCCGGAGCCAUUAUCGAUUACUACAGCUGGUCGAGAAGUAGAGGGGUCCAUGAGAGAGAGCGAAAAAGUGGCGGUGAUAUUGAAAGCUGAAGGUGGAUCCGAGAGUGAAUGUGAGGCAGAGGAUCAUGGUCGUGAAGAGGUGAAUAAGGAUGAAAAGGAAGGUAGUAUAGGUGAGAGUAAAGAUGACGUUGACGCAGACUUUGAUCCGAAGUGAAAAAAGAGAAAAGAGAAAUAGGAAUGGUUGGUUAUUGUGGAUAAACCCAUUUGAAGUGAAAACUGAAGUGUGAAGGUGGAAGUGCAGAUGCAGGUCCCAGUUACUUCAUCAUCAUCAUCAUCACCAUUCUGUUGAUUUCCCAAACAUGCUUUCCUUGGCAAUCAAACAACAACUCUUCCCUCUCUCUUUCUCUCUCUAGAUUCUGUCUCUUUCUAUUAGUAUUAAUUGUAAUUAAUUUGACGGCAGUAAUUAGUAGCUUUGUAUAUGCAGAGCAAGAACUUGACGGCAACAACCUGAAUUGUGGUUGAAAAGCGGUGAGAUUUGAAGGGCCACUUGCAGGGACCUACCAGCACGAAUAACAUGUAAGUUCUUUCAUUUCUUUCUUACACGCCAACCUUUUUCUUUCUUCCUCCUCCAUCAUCAAUUCAUCAACCUCCAUUAAGAAUACUUUCGCUAUUUUUUAAUUUACAUAAAUUUCAAACAUGCUCUUUCUUUCCUUUAACCUUAAAAGUUUAAAAAAAAAAAAACAAGAACACAAUAAAUGGUUUGAAUUUUAAUAAAAUAGUCAUGAUAUUUUCUGUACCAAAUUGUACAUUUUUAUCAUUCCAUUUUUUUUUUAAAUUUUAUCAUCUAAAGUUUUUUCCACAUGUUAUUAUUCUCUUUUUUCAACUUCUACAAAAUUUAUUUUAACUAAUGGAAAAGCAUCUCUAUAUAUGUUAAGAAAAAAAUAAUAUUAAUAAAAAUAUGUUUCAUUCUUUGGGUGGACUACACCCGCUUUUUAUAUAUAUAUCAAUUUUAACGUCGAUUUUGAUCACUCAAUAAUUUUAUUUAUUUUGUUACAUCAAUUACAUUCACUACUUUAAAACUUUAAAGUAUUAUUAAUCGAUUUUAGUUCAUUAAAUUAAUGUUAUUAAUAUCUAAUAUGAAGGUAAAUGUUAAUUAUGUAACUUCCAUCAUUUAGAUGUGGAUUUUUAGCUGACUCAAAGGAGACGCUAAUAAAUAACAUUGUAGUAUCCGCUUAUUUCCUUUUACGUUUUUUUUUUCUUGUCUACCCUAAUUUAUUAGUUAACAUAUUUGUAGUACAUAAAAUAUCUUGUUUUCGAUUCUUUGGUUUUUUCUACGUUUCAAGAUAUCACAUGCUUCUUUUGAUACAAUUGACUACCUUAUUAUUAUUUUUAUAAAUUUAAAAUUUAUUAAUAUUUAAAAUAUUUUUUAUUAUUAAUAAAAAUUUAUAUAAUUUCUAAAUUAAUAUUUAAUAUUGGUUAUUAAUUAUUUUAAAUUAAUCAUUAUAAAAAACUAAUUUAAAAUAUAAAAUAUUUAAUAGCUAAAAUAUUUAUAAUUAAUGUUACAUGCCACUUUAAAAAAUAAUUUAUGAUUUUUUAUUAAUAAUAAACUAAUUUAAAUACCAAUAAUUUUUUAAUUUAUAAAAUAAUAUAGUAAUUAAUUAUUUUUUGUCUUUAGUAAUUAUUUGUUUAAUAUGAAUAUUUUUAUUUUUUUAAAAUAUUUAGUAGGUAACUUCUCAAUUAAUAUGUGAUAGUGCUAGUUGAUGUUGUCUCCUUAGGCUAACUCUAAGUUCAACAAAGCUCUAAGAAUUGAGCUCUCAAAUGUGUGGAUAUCAAAUUCUCUAAUAAUUCAUUCAGUGACUAUUCAAUUCAAAUUUUCAUGGUUAAUAAAAUAAAAUGGCUUCCAUUUCUUCUUUGAGGUGCAGACUUUGUGCUAAAGUUCAUACCUCUCCAAUUUAAAGUCCAAGGCUCGUUUCUAUUUAUUAGACAAUACACACUAAAAAUAGAGAUCUGAUGAUAAAAACAAUAUCAUGUCUGCAACUUUGUUUCAGUUAAUAAUUAAGACAGUAUUUAAUUCUUACUUUUCAAAUUCUAUUCUGUUCAUAAUUAUUUGUUCUGAAUUAUUGUCCACAUAAAUUAUGAUGUUUAAAACUCAACAUAACUAAACUAACUAAAAAUAACAACAGUUGGUGUCACAAAAUCAGCCCUAAAUUGUAAGCCAGCCCUAGCAGCACAUGUGCAAAUAUGCAAAGGUGUUACAAUAAUAUUAUUCGGACAACUAAGUAAGUUCUCAAAAUUGCAGGCACCAUGUAAAUUCAACAGUAGUUAUGUUGUGACAACAGAAAGGAAGUACAUAGAAACUGGAACUGAAUGAGAUCUAUGAUGGGGAAAAGGGAAGGUACUAUAACAGUUGCAGCAAAUAGAAAUUGGAAAGGAAUGAAUAAAGGAAGUGACAGUAAAAAAGAGAAAUAACAGAAGAGAAGGUGAUAUAAUAUAGCAUUAGAUAGAUACAAGUUACAAGAGAAUUAUUGUAUGAUGACUAUUUCAACAUCACUGGGAUCUCAUCCUGUUGAUCUGGUUCAGAGCAGGCUGCAAGAUGUUGUACAGCACCCACCCAAUAGCCGGUGUCACCACAAACAGCAGAAGCUGGCCCCUGUUGUCGCUCGCGGCUUCGGCGAUCGACGCCACUUCAGCGGCAGCUGCAUGUGGCGGCGCCGCCAUGAGUCCUGCCAAGCCGCCAAGACCCAACCCGAUGAUGAGUCCUUUGGUGCUGCGCAUACGGUUGAUUUGGUUGAGCGCCGGCUGCAGGAUGUUGAACAGCACCCACCCUAUGGCUGGGAUUAUGGGCAGCAGCAGGGCCAGGCCGCGGUUGUCGCCUUCCGCUAUAUCCGCUAUCUGCUGGACGGCGAACGCGGCGUCGCAGGUUCCGAGGGCCGUGAAUAUGGCUCCCGCGACGGCUGUGGGAAUGGAGAGGUUGGUGGUUUCGGGUGAGGCGACAAGGCCCUUGGGAAGAGAAAGGAGAGAAGGUUUUGAGGUUGUGAGUUUGGUGGGGAAUUUGGGUGACGUGGGGUUGAGGCAUUUGGCGUUGAUCAUGGCCAUUGCUGAUAUUGUUGCUGCCAUUGGUGUGUUGGUGAGUGAGCUGAGAAUGGUGGUGGGUGUGGUGGAGAGGGAAGAUGGGGAACGUGGUUCUGAGUGGAGAGUGGCAAUUUAGCGUUUGGAAAAGCCACGUUGGAGAAACCACGUCCAAUGGAGUUGCAGUUUCUAGAUUCUUCUCUUAUCCCAACAGAGGCUAAGAUCACAUUUCCACCACAUAUUCUUCCUUUUCUUAUCACUUCGGCUCCUCAAAAUGUCCCAAAUCCAUUUUUUCUUGUCUUUCUUCGUAAAUGCUUGCCCCAAACACGCCUUUUACCGCACCAUGGAAGAGGAAUAAUUAAUAACACUUGGGUUUAAUUUCUUGUUUCUGACUAAUAUAAUAAAAAAUAAAUAUAUCAAAUUAAUAUAUUAUCAAAAUAAAUUUUGACAAAUUAACUUAAUUGAUAUAAACAUUUUAUUUUUUAAAAUUAUUUUGAUAAUAUAUAUUAUACUAUUCGUAUAUAUAAAAAAAGUUUAUCACUUACGUAAUAUCUGAAAUUUACAUUAACUGUCUUUCUUGAAUUUUUAUUUAAAGAAAUCAUUCUUAUUUUUUAUUUUAUUACUUCUCAUUAUUUUCUUUCUUUCUAACAUUAUAAUAUUUUUAAAUUUUAUUCUAAUAUAACAAGAAUACAACCAUAUAAUAAAAGCAUCGAGUCAACUCCUAUGUUACCCCAAGUGCUAAUAAUUGAGAUUUUUUUUUUCUUUCGGAUAAAGAACUGAACUUAAAUAUAUUGAAGUAGUGGUGUACAAAUUCAUGUCGAUCGGUCCAAAAAUAAAAAAUAAAACUGAAAAAAUAUAUAAUAAACUGUAAAUUGAAAGAAACCAAAUUAUUUAUAAUUUGUUGUAUCUUUUCUUAGUGAAACGCGAGUUUCAUUCAUUUUCAAUGGGUGUUCCUAAAAUUUAAACAUAAUGAACUAAACCAGUGAUAUUUAAAAUCUUCAAAAUGUAAGAAUAUAACAAAACAAUAAUUUGGUGUGUAUGAAAACUUAAACAGGAACGUUUUGACUGUUGAUUCAAAACUUGCUGAUCUGGUCUUUAAUUUUACCAUUAGGUGGAGGCUAAGGUAAAAAAAACUGGUCUUGUACACUACUACUCAAAAAUGUUUUUUUUUAUAUAUAUGAUGAUAUUAUUUAGUUUUAUAAUAACAAUUUUAAAAGUUUAUAAUGGUUUUCAAUUAGUUGACAUUAUAAUUUUUUUCCAAAGAAAGUACAUGAAAACUAAAUUCAUACUAAAUCAAUAAACUGCUUGGACGAGUAUUUUACACUAUUCUCAAUUAUGUGAAGUAUAGGUUAAAUUACAAUUUUUUUUAUUGAAAGAUACAUCACUCUGUUAUACUUUAAUCGAUUUUGAUAUAAAUAAGCUUCUUAGAGAUUAUUUUUUUAUUUCUCCUUUGGCUUUUAAAAUUAUCAACUAAUUUCAAGACUUUAAAAAUGAAAUAAAAAUCGUGUAAAGUUUUUAAAUUGAUUGAGUGCAUUUAAAGAAAUUAGUUAUCGUUGCAAAAAGUUUUAGAUCACUAUAAACUUACAAGUUAACAUAUAUAAUGAUUUUUACAACAACUAUUUUAAAUGUUUUUCUAGAUUUUACAAUAACUAUAAUGCAUUACAAAUUAAAAUUGUUAUUUUUAUAAUAACUAUUUUAUUUUUUAGAAUUACUCCAAAAAUUAUUUUUAUGAACAGUGCAAAAAUAUUUAUGCUGAGAAUAUAAAAACAAACUGAAUUGAUAAUUAAACUUCAGUUUGUCUUCAAAAAUCUUAAAAUCAGCAAUACCAAAAAAUAGUUAAGGAGAUGAAAACUAUAACUAAGACAUGUUCCAAGUAUAGCUGCAUACUAUUAUGAUAGACAUUUCUCUAUAUUGAUAUGUACUGAAUCAUGGAAGAUUUCAUAAUAAGAAUGUAAUCUUGAAAAAAUGAGAAGAACUUUCAAGAGAGAGAGGAACAUGACUAAUCCAAAUUAUAACAAACUAUUAUAUAAGUUCUACGUUUAGUAUUAUAUAUUCAACAUGCUUUAAUAAUUAAUUCAUAUAUACACAGAGAUAUACUUAGAUAUUAAAUCAUUAUUUUAUACCAUAAUCUAUUAUAAUAAAGAAGAUAAUUUACCGUUAUUUUGUUAAUUGUUACUCAACCGUUUCAUGCCUGUUUUUGCUUCUCUAUCUCCCUCAACCUUAAGUACCCCGAAAGAUCCGCCCCCAAAAUCUCAUUCUUUUGAAAACCAAAAAAAUCUACAACAUACAAAACAUAUUCAAUAAUCGCACUUAAUGAAACCAAGAUUUCAAUAGGAAGAGACAAAAACAAACUUUGUUCAUGCACACGUUAUUAUUGUUUUCUUCUCAAUGUUGUUAUUGUGGAUGUGAUGAACUAAAGAUCAUAUUAAGGGCAUGUUGCUAAUACGAAUGAAUGAAUGUCUUCGUCUACGGGUGCACGUUCUAAAUCAAAUGCUAACUCUGAAAUGACCAAAGCUAAUGACACUACCACCAGCCCUGUCAACACAACCCCUCAAUCAAAUUUGCCUGACACUAGUGGCAAGAAUGAGAAGAAAAAGAAGGUGUUUAUUUUUUAUAUUAUUUUUUUUUUUCCCAUGCAUUACAUUUUUCUUGUGUUUGAGUCUAAGGGUAUGGUGCUUUUUUCUUUACCCUUUUUCUUGUUUGGAUGAAGUCUAUCCUUCCAAAGAUUUUUGGAUCAAAGCGAAAUGGGAGAAGCUCAGACGAAGAACCAGUCAAGCCAAGCACGGAAGAAGAAGAUGGAGUUACUCUUGGUAUUCAUUACAUGCUUUCUUUUCUCUCUUUCCGUAGAAAAUCUAAAUUUCCAUGUUGCAUGGUUUCACUUUGAUUCAUGUUAUUUAUAUACGUUUUGUAUGGAAAGAUCUGGAGAAGAAGAUUGAGACAAGAAAAAAAGCAUUUUUGGAAGCUGCCCCCAUCAUGAGAAAGAGUUUCUCAGGUACUAACUUAUGCAUGAUGCAUUAAGUUGUGGCACAACAAAACACGAUUUUUACAUUCUCUAAAUUCGAAACAACAUAAUUUGUUUAAUUACAAAAAUAAGAGCAUUAGAAAUAAAUUUGAACUUCUAAAACUCAUUAUUUCAGAAUUAUUCUUAUAUUUAAUUUUCGGAAUAAUCAAUCUUUAAUAAACAUACAUGACUACUAGAGGAAGUUCAAAAUAUUAUUGAUAUAAAUAUAUCCAAAAUUGAGGAUCUAAUUUAACUUGAAAAAAUGGUAGGUCAACUCUAGAUUCUGACCCAACUUGUAAAAAUCAAUGUACCUAUCAAACAGGAAGAAAAAUCUACUUUGGUUGUAUUAUUUUGGUAGCUUACCUAACAACAAUGAAAUUUUGGUUAUUGGUAAGAUGUUUUCUAAUCCGGGGAAAUUUUCUUGUUUGAUGUGCACCAUAAACUCUGCACUCUUGCAAUGUACACCUAAUGCAAUUAUAGAUUUGGCAUGGCGUGAUAACAUGAAAAAAUUAAACCAUUGUUUUAGUUUCUUUUCAACUCACAGAAAGGGAGACUAGCCCUGGAAUCGAAGGCCUAAAUUUGUCCAAUUUUGAACGCCCUGCGAUAAUGGCUCCGGAAACUGAACUGCAGAGUUUCAGGUAUGUGUGAUUUCAUUUUCAAUUCAAGCCUUCAUUCACAGUUGUUUUGUUGCCUGAGAUAGUCAAGCUCACGUGCAAUCUUCAUUUUCAUGUCAUUCCAUUUGGUAACGUGGAUUGCAGGAUCUUUGUUGCAACGUGGAAUGUGGGAGGAAAGUCACCAAAUUAUGAUCUCAACCUUCAAGAUUUCUUCUUAGUGGAAGGCUCCGCAGAUAUAUAUGUCUUGGGGUACGAAAAUACAAGGAGUAACAUUUUCAUUUGAUCUUAACAGUUUAAAUAUAUGGUUAUUUUGUAGUGAUUUGCUUCCAUGAUUUUAUUGUGAAGUUUUGCUUUUCUAGUUUUGUGUAAUAAUCAUGGAAACAAAUUAGUAUGGAGCUAGAUACUGAUCUAAACAAAUUGUUAUUCAGUUUCCAGGAAAUUGUUCCUUUGAGUGCUGGAAAUGUUUUAGUAAUAGAAGACAAUGAACCAGCUGCAAAGUGGUUGGCAUUGAUAAGUCAAGCACUAAACAGACCAAGAAAUGAAUACAGUGAUUCUUCUGACUCAGGAAGUGGCUCCAAAACCAAUAGUAGUUCGAAGGAUGCAAAGUCUCCGGCAAGUUUGAAUUUCUUUCAGAAGCCUUCUCUUAAAGUUAUCAGUAAAAACUUCAGGGCAGAGGGUAGCAGCCUCCUUAAGGCUUGCAAUUGUCCAGUGGAUUCUCCAACCAGGGAAAGACGAAGGGUAAGAAAGUAUAGUGACCCUAUGAAUAAGUUAGAUUCUGAGCUUCAAGGUGAUGAUUCUGUGGAAGAGUUGCUUUCAAUUACAGAAAUACCCUCUUCUCCUAGCGAAUGCAGAUACUCCCUUAUAUCGAGUAAGCAAAUGGUUGGGAUUUUUCUCACCAUAUGGACUAAGAAGGAAUUAGUGCCACACAUUGGACAUCUUAGAGUUGAUUCUGUUGGGAGAGGGAUCAUGGGUUGCUUAGGUAACAAGGUAAGCACACAUUAUUAUGCAUAAUUUUUUUAUAUAUUGUUUUCAUGUAAGUUGUUUUCAGAAGCUAUCCUAUAAACUUCCAAAUGUUAGACAAGUACUUAUGCUAUAAGGUAGUUCCAGAUUGUAAAUAAGUUCUUCCAAAUGAGUCAUUAGUAAAUAUAUAUAAAAGAUGUUGCCUAGCCACUAAUGAAUAUUCAUGAAACUAAGAACUGUUAUUUUUGUCAUGUACUACUUACUAUGAAGACUAAUGGUGCACAUGGAAUCAAUAAUUGAUUGCAGGGGUGUAUAUCAAUGAGCAUGUCAUUGCAUCAAACAAGUUUUUGUUUCGUCUGUAGUCACUUGGCUUCUGGGGAGAAAGACGGCGACGAGUUGAAGAGAAAUUCUGAUGUAGCUGAGAUCCUCAAAAGCACACAAUUCCCUAGGAUUUGCAAGAAUCCGUGCCGUCGAGCACCAGAAAGGAUAGUUGACCAUGAGUGAGUUGAUAUAAUCUUCUUUAUACAACACAUAAUUUGCACAUCUCAUUGUAAAAUUCUAAUCACUUCUACCCUGUUCUGCAGUCGAAUAAUAUGGCUAGGAGAUUUGAACUAUCGGGUGGCUUUGAGUUACGAAGAAACAAGGGUUCUAUUGGAGGAUAACGAUUGGGACACUUUGUUAGAGAAAGAUCAGGUGUGUCAAUACAUUCAUAUUCUACCAAUACAAUAAAUAGUUCAAUGACAUUUUACAAACAUUCAGAUACUAAACAAAAAACUGAUGUAAAUCUUUAGACUUGUUCUGCUUAAUUUAGAUUUGCUCUAAUAAAAACUGGAGUGUUAGCAUCAACAUUUUCUAGUACUGUGUAUCAUUUUUACACAGGUAAAAUUUAUUGACUUGGGGUUUCAUUGUGUACAGUUAAACAUGGAAAGAGACGCAGGAAGAGUUUUUAACGGUUUCAAAGAGGGAAGGAUUGUUUUUGCUCCAACUUACAAGUACUCACAUAAUUCAGACUCUUACGCUGGUGAGACUGUCAAAUCAAAGAAAAAACGUCGAACACCUGCAUGGUAUUGCACGUCUCUUGAUUCUUAUAAUAUCUUAUCAAAGGUCAAUUAAUAAGAAGUGUUAGUUUAGUUUUCAAUACAAAUAAACCUAAAUCUUGACAAUUACUUUCUUCAAUUGCACAAAUGUCAGGUGUGAUAGGAUAUUAUGGCGUGGGAAUGGUAUUGAUCAAUCAUCAUAUAUUCGAGGAGAGUCAAGAUUUUCUGAUCACAGACCUGUUUGUGCCGUCUUUUCUGUGGAUGUGGAAGUAAGAAGCAGAAACAACAGGUUUAGGAAGGGUUACUCCUACACAAGCCCGAGACUAGAAUACGAAGACUUCAUACCUCAAAGGCAUAGUUUCUACGAUUAUUAAUUUAAGCCUCAAAUCAAACUUGUAUAUUUCCUUAGGGUAUAAAGAGGAAUGGUUUGUUACAUCCUACUUUGUCCCCACACUCACCAAGGUGACCAUAGCUAGUUAUUAGAGUCCUAACAUUAUAAGAGUAAAUACAUGUGGCCUGAAGUGACUGCAAUAUUUGUUAUUACAUACUAGAGAUCAAUGUAAAUAGAGUUUAACUAUUCAUUGAGAGUCAAACACCAAAUUAAGAACAAAAACUGAUAAUAUCUGUACAAAGCUAAAGGCUAUCUUUUGUUACAUAAGGAGAAGAUGCCUUACUACUUAAUAUUUCAAUAAUUAACUCUUAUUACUUAGUAUAAACAUAACAUGUGCGAUCCAAACAUGAGACCAGUAACCUAUUUGUAGGUUAAGUCCCAAAUUGAGGUUAUUUCUUGGCCUUGUGGUGUAUCUUGCUCUGAAUUUCGAUUCAAGUUCAUGUCGAUCUGAUCCAGUGCAGUGUGCAAUUCAAGAUCUUCAAGGGAAUUUAGCCAUAAGCUUCCAUAAUCUUCUGGUGUCUUUCCUACAAUAUCUCUCAAUUGAUCAUUUAGAUCUCCCAAAUGGUCAUUAUCAUUCUGAUUAGCUCUUGCUACUUCCAUAUUCAUCCAAUCAUCCUCACAUAUAAUUUGUGUGUCAUUGGACACAUUAUCGUGAAGGAGAGUAGGGUUUUGACUAGUGCGAUAACCACAAUGGGACUCAUGGUUCAUCCUUGAGUUUUUGUCCAGAAAUCCCAUACCCAUUUCACUUUGUGGACAGUGGUAGUAUUGACAAGCAUAUAGCUUAUCAGUAGUAGCAUCUAAGUCAAUCACACUCUUCCUUUUCUCAAUGAUCCCACCAAAUAAAUUGGAGUCACCAUUCAACUCAGCUACACAACUCCCUUCAUGGGAAGUGCUAGUGGAGCUUUCACAUUCAUUUUCAUCUUCGUCUAAUAGAGAUAUUUUGAGGCACUUGUUGGUUAGUUGCAACAGAGCUUCUUCUUGGUUCAUAACCUUGGACCAAGUUGCUGUGUCCUUGGCUGUCAUUUUGUCUUGCAAAGUUUUGGACUGAGUCACCAACCUUCUAAGUUUAUCCAAAUUAGGAGAUAUGUGUUUGAUAACUGCAGCCAGGAGAGAGACUUUCCAAACCUUUUUGAGGUCAUGAGGCUUCUUAUAAGGAGGUGGCCCGUGUUCUUGGGCCAAAAGACCUUGUUCACCCCACCAAGCUUCUGUCCCUGUUGGCCACCAGGGUGGAGCAAAGCCUCUCUCAAGAGGGAAUCUUCUUUGGGGAGGCAUACAAUGUUGCAUGAGAGCAGAAAGGAGUGAACUCAAAGUAGUGUCUUGCAAGUCAUUAAGGAGAUGCAUGUAGGAAGUUGGAUCCAAAUCAUUAAUUUGAAGGAGCGGCAUGAAUUUUGCAAGGGCAGUUGGAGCAUUUUGAUCAAAUUUGACCUUUUCUUUCCACCACUCACGUAAGCUGUCAGAAGAGCCUGUCACUGGCUUACCCUUCUCAGGGAUAAUCCCAUACACAAAACCUUGAGCGUUGCAAACUUCCAUGAUCUUCACCAUGUAUUUGAGGAUUGAAUCUUGUGCUCUUGACAUCUUCUUCCGCCUACAAGCUUCUUGUUUCGCUUCUUGGUCUGACUCUUCUUUGGGGCGAUUCUCCUUUAGCUUCUGCAGCAGGAUGCGGUCCUUCCACAUUCUCUUCUUAAGCUGGUCAUAGUUGAUCUCUUCUUCUUCUUCUUCUUCUUCAUUUUCUUCAUCAAAGGGGUUGAUGUGUUCGUGAAUCUCCACCAUGAUAUGAGAAAAAGGUGUGUUUUGAAAUACGUUUUUGAUAAGAAUACAAGAUAUGCAUGGAUGUUGAUGCGUACUUAAUUAUAUAUAGAUCGGAGUGAAGGUACUAGAAUGGCGGUGGUAGAAGGGUAUGAUCUAAUCUGAAUUAAGCAUGGGAAUUUCAACCAAUAAAUGCAUUAAGGGAUUAGGACAAGAAAGUCCGUUUGAAAGGUAGCAAGUGUUGUAGUGUGGUCAAUUACCUGAGGAAAUGGAACUGAGUGCCGCGUGUUUGGCAUAGGAAGUUGUUUUAAUGCACAUUUUGUAUGCAACUUCUUAUAUAUUAUAUAUGUGACAUCAUGAGCAUAUGCCAAACUGCAUGGAAAAUUUGCACAUUGAGGUGCUGUCACCAUGCAAUACUGAUCAUCUUCUGCUGAUAAAAAAAAAUGCAAUACUGAUCAUCUUCUGCUGAUAAAAAAAAUGCAAUACUGAUCAUCAACAUGAUAUCAGUUGUUUUUUUAUAAGCCCUUCCUUGUGAGACUUGCAUCAUAGAUGAUGUAAUCCACAACUUAUUGUUAUCACUUGAGACAAUAAAGAUGACUUUGACUUGUAUUUUGCAAGGGGACAAAAUAUAACUGGCAAGAUAUAAGGUAUAACAUCAAAACACAAAAAUAUUUAUUUUUCUCUUCUAGUAUGUUCUUUUCACUAGCUUUUUUUAGAUGGUUUUCUUACCAUUUCUGUCACUACAACUAUGAAAAAAAAUUAAUUAUUAUAUUUGUAAUUGAAUUUAGUUGGUUUGGACUUGGUACUAUAAACCAACUUAUUCUGUGAUUUUGUUUGAAUUAUUAAACAAGCUUGGCCUGAAUUGGUUAAAAAUUGGAAAAUUCGAUUAAAAACUAGUUCAUAUUGGUUGAAUGAAAAGUAAUUUUAUUAAGAAAAUUAUUUUUUUUCCAAAAAAGAAUGUAUUUUUUGUUUUCGGGAUUUUUUUUUAUUUCGAAGUAGAGUAUUACUAUGUAUUAUAGAAUUUUAAAGCUAAAUAAUAUGAUAUAUUUUUUAUGUGUUUUUUGAAUGAUAAAAACCUAUAAAAUUAUUAUUUUUAAUUCUUAGGAUUAUUAAAUUAUAACAUUAUAUACAUCAGUGCAUAACAAUGUAUUAUUUGUUAUCUCAAAUCACUAGUGGAAUUUAGUAUGUUGAUUAAUAAAAAAUAUUAUAAGAAGAAUAUAGAAAAUAUCUUUAAUAGGCACUGAAUACAAGAUUUUAAGAGUUGUUUUUAAUCAAUGUAGAAGGGAAAUAUUACAUCAUGUGAGAAAAAAUUACAUAAAAGUACAAGUUCCCAGAAGGGAUAAAUAAUAAAAUUUAAAAGUCCUCUCUAUAUAGCUAAAGGAUGCUAUUGUGCAACAAUUCCAAAGAAACGAAUUAUUAUUAUAAAAAAUAUUAAAUAAAAAUUAAUUUUAGAAAAAAAAAAUUAUUAUAUUGAAUAAAUUAAAUAUUAUUUUAAAAAAUAAAAAAAUUAUUGAUAUUUUAAUUAAUUUUUAUUAUUGAUAAAUAAUUUUAAAUUGAUAAUUAAUUUUCAAUUAAGAUUUUAAUUAUUAAUUUUAUAAUCUAAAUAAUUUAUAGUUAAAAUUGUGAUAAUUAAUUAAAUAUUAAUUUAUAAUAUAUUUAUUAAUAAUAAAAAAUAAUUUAAAUAUUACUAUUUUUUAUUUUUGAAAUUAAUAUUUAAUAUAUUUUAAAAAAAUAGUUUUUUUAAUAAUUUAUUAGUUGUUAAUGAAUAAAUUAUUUAUAGAAAGGUAUGUAAAAGUGGUUGAUUGGUCCUCCAAGACUAAACUCAACUACAGUUAUACACUCAUAUGAGCAUAAUAACAUCUAUCCAACUCAUCCAAUUUUUCUACUUUUAAAGUUUAUAUGUUUAACCUAAUAAAUUAGACUAGAUAAACUUUAAAAAUAUGAAUUUUACAUAGCAUAAUUGAUUAAUAAAUAUUAAAUCAUUUUUUAUUAAAAGAAAUAUAUGGCUGACUUUAUAACCACGCUUUCAUUUACAUGGAUUGUUUGACUUUUAUUCUUAAUUUUUAUCGUAUGUUUACUAUAUUACUAUAUUUUCACUUUCAAAUGUAAUUGUAGCAUAAUCUAUAUAUUCAAAAUAUUUAUUUAUUUUAUGUUUUAGUUAUACAAAAUACAAAUUUAUUUGUAUAAUACACAAAACUGCAGUACUAAAUAAUAUACGUCUUGUCUUAAACUUAUAUAUUGAUAAUUUUAUUUUAUUUUUACCUCUUUGAAGUCUAUUUUUAAUUUAAAUUUCAUGUAAAAGUUAUCCAAAAUGCUACCCAAUCUUUCUGAUAUGAAAUUUUAUUACCCAGAAAGUAAUUCCCUGUUAACACUCUCUGCACAAACUUCAUAAAUAAUUGUACUUUCGAUUAUCCAACUCAACUUUGUAAUUGUUGUAAAAGCUUAACUUUAUAUAUAGAGAAUAGAAAGUUUUGAAUAAGUAACAAACUGUUAAUUUACUAUAGAUAUAACCUAAAAUGUAAUUAAGACUUUUAAUAGUCAUGAGAAGGUUUAUACUAUUAUUUAAUAUAAAUUAUUUAAUUAUAAAUAAUCAGCAGAAUCUUACCUAAAAUAAUGUAAUUAAGACUUUUAAUAGUCAUGAGAAAAUGUAUACUAUUAUUUAAUUAUAAAUAAUCAACAGUAAAAUUAUGAAUCUUAAAAAAAAGUAUGGAGUGUAAAGUGUCUUGUUUCUAUUAUGCGCGAAUGUUGUUUGUCCUGAAAUUUCGGUAAUAUUGGAAUAUUAAUUUGUAAAAAAAAUUAUAUAUCUUUAUCUAUCGCUAUAUUUAUAUAUAUAGGAAAUUUUUAUUAUAAUCAUUUUAUAUGGAUAUAAAUAUUUUUUUAUUUUACUUUUAUUCAAUAUAUUUCAUAUUAGUACAAUUGAGUAUUUUGUUAUUUUAUAUGAAUUACUUAAAAAAUAAAAUUAUUGUUUAAUUUUUUAAAUUAAUAUUAAUGUACAGUUUUUAUAGGCAAAUUAACUUCUCAACUUUUUUCUUAAUUUCUUAUUUCAAGACAACAACAGGAAGGAAGAAAGAACAUACUCUCAUUCAUUCUCACACCAAAUUUCACAUAUCAAAUAACCUUCAUUUUCAAUCACUUUUUUCACUCUAUUUCAAACAACUAUAUUCUCAAAUAAAGUCAUUAUUCUUUUGUAUCUACCAUAAAGUUAGUCUUAACCUCCUUAACGUGAAUAUCAUCACACCCUCCGAUCACAAAACUACCGAUGGAAGAAGAGAAAAAGCUUGAAGAAGAAGAGAUACUCAAACUAAAGAAGAAGAAAAAAGAGGUUGUUUAAUCAAUUCAUCAUUUUUCUUUUACAUUGUUAAUAAUUUUUUCUUUUCAAUUUCAACUCAUCCAAAAUUAUUUUUGUAUGUAUGUUAAAUUUCUAUUAUCACAAAAUAUGAGUAAAAGAAAAAAAAUGUGAAUACACAGCGCAAUUGCGUUGUGUUUCCGCUAGUUUAUAUAUAAAAGGGAUUCUUCUCUUUAACUGUCAUUUUAUUUUAUUCCCAUUUUAUUCUUAUAUUUAUAUUUUAUUUUAUUAUUUUAAAAAUAUAUGAGGAAAGAUAUUUGUAAUUUUGUGAGAAGUUUUAAUUUUAUAUCUCAAAAGGAUAACAAAAGAUAUAACACCAUUUUUAAUUAUUUUUUUUUUAAAUUCAAAACUAAACAAGCAAAGUGAGACUUGUCGAGGAGCGUUGCACAAUUGCAUCUUUUUCUUUCAUCUUCUUUUAUCCCAUCAAACACCUUUUUGUUUUCUGUUUUCAUAUUCAAAAUUCAAAAUACGAGAAGUCGUAGUUUUCUUUAAGAACCACGAAACCAACCAGUAAGUGUUGUUUUUCAAUUAUAAAGUAGAAGAUGAAAAUGCAAUGUCUGAAUUUACUUCUAUUUUUUAUUCAUUUAUGCAUGUCCUUGGCAUUGUAUGAUAACAAUAUUGUUAUUAUUGUGCUAACACAGGUAACGUCACAAAAUACAUGAAAACAACAAUUUAAUCAAACUUAUAACAAAACUAUUAAAGAAAACAAAACAAAAAAGAAUAGUAGGAUUUUUUUUGAAUAAAAAAUUGAAAGGAAAAAAAACCUACCUGAUAAAAGUGCGUCGGUGAGAGUGAAAGGGGUUAGUCUAUGAGACAGAGAGGACUUAGGGAGAAAAGGGGAGGCACGUUAGUUUAUGAGCGAAAAGAGUGAGAAAAUGGAUCAAGAGAAGAAAGAAAAGGGGGUGGUGGUGAGGUGGUGGUGAUGGAGGAUAUGAAGGGGAAGUGGUUGACGGUGAUGGUAAAUGAUAUGAACGAUUUGACUAAGUCUCUAUGCGGGUCUAAGACAAAGAAAAGAUAAACAUAUUUCAUUAUAUUUUCUUCUUUUGUAUAUAAUAUUUUUCAUGAUUAAUAUUAAUGUUGAUUGAACCGUUGAUGAUGAAUUUUUUAUUAUUGCUUAAUGGUGUCACAUGUGUCAUAAUGAUACAAAUAAUACAUCGUGCUUCUGUUCAUGCUAGUGUUUUAUAAGUUGUAUUAAUUUGACUGUUAUAUUUUAACAUCAUGUGUCUAAACCUCCUUUAAUAUUGUUAUUAGGAUGUUUGAUUAAAAUUUAAUAAAGUAGUUUUUUGUGAGCCGUCUAUUAUUAACUAAAUUUUAUAUAUAUAUAUAUAUAUAUAUAUAAAUAAAUAAAUAAGAUUCUCGUCUCUAACUCUUUUUAGCUAUAUACAUUUUUUUUUCUAUUUUACCCUUAUAUCAAUAUUUUAUUCUAUUAUUUUAUUUUGAUUUUUCUAUCAUUUUAUAAUUAAUAUCCGUAGUUAUCAAUUUUUUAAAAUUUAAAUAAAAUAAUUAUAUAAAAUAAUUGAUAGAGUAGUUACAAAACAGAUUUUUUAGGUUUAAAUAAAAUAAUUAAAAAAAGAGUUAAUAAGUAGUUAUCAAACAAUUUUUUUAAAUUUAAGUUAAAUAAUUAUUGACAAAGGGGUUGAGAGAUAAAACGGUUUUUUUUUAAUAUGAUUGUUUUUAUAUCUUUUUUUUACACAAUUAUUUUUUGAUUUUAUCUUUAUAUUAAUAAUAUUUCAUUUUAUUAUUUUAUUAAUAACAUUUUUGUCAAAUUUCAAGGAUAUUAAAUAAACAAUGAUUAUGAAUCUUAAACAUGUUAACUAGUUAUUAAAGAAGUUAUUGGUGAAGUUAGUUUCAGUGGUGAAGUUAGUUUCAUUGACAAGUGUGAGAUGUUACCAGUGUGAAAAAAAAAUAAGGGUAGUUGAAUCUAUAUAAAGGAUUGAAAGAGAAAGAAGACAAAAAAUAAAAGAUUAAAAAUACAGGGAGUGAAGAAAAUUGUGGAGACUGUAAAGGAAACCGCAAUAAGCAUUUGUUCAUCUGUCUAGGUUGGAGAAGACCAAAGCCACUCUCCAUGAGAAGUUUAGUCUCUUAUGCAUUUCUGGUCAUUCUCAAUGUUCCGUCUUCAAUCAACCACAAUUUUUCUUGAUAGUGAGUAUAUGAGUGCACAUGAUCGAAAGGAAAGAACAUGACAACCCAGAAGAAAUAAGAGAAGAUAAAUGAUACUUAGAUGGAGAAGUGUCAGGCACAUCAGCACAAUGUUGCCACCAAACAAUCUUUCGUCGCUGGAUAGGCCCACACCCCAUGUACUCGGUGAAUAUAAUUAAAUGAUAACAAUGAUUGGGUCUAAUAAUGUGCAUGUUCAUUUAUCAUGAUUUGAGCCUGAGCAUGAGGAAUUUUUAGACGUGCUCUAUAAAUAUUGUACUAUUUAUUUAUUAGAGUAGUUUAUUAAUCUAUUUUUUUUUUCUUUUUUAAUUUCAUAAAAAAAAAGUAUCUAUUGGAGGGUGAUGCUUCAUGUUUCAACUUUCUCACUUUUUUCAAUUUUAUAUAUUUUAUCACAAGUAAACCUUUUUCUUUUUCAUAUUAAUAAACACCUUUUUAUUUCUAACUUCUACUAUUUUUUCUUUUACAAAUUCUAAAUAGGGUAUCCAAUUAACUUCCUACCUUUACUUUUAUAUGCGUUCUGAAAUUUUAUAUAUUUUUAUUUUAAUUUUAAUUCAAUACUUAUUCAAUUUUAUGAUCUAAUUAUAUAAUUAUAUUGAAACAAAUAUUAAUUUCAUCUUAUAUAUUAUUGAAUUUAUCAAGUUGGUCUUAUAUACUAUACAAUUAUGAGUCAAAUAAUAAUUAAAUAACUUCAAGUUCAUCCUAACAUAACUGGGUAUUUGAUAUAAGAUAAUAAUAUAUUUAGUUUUUUUAAUUUUUUUAAAAGAUAAAAGUAAAACGUUGGAUUUUUUAAGGAAAACUUUAUUACAUAUUAACAGUACAAGUUGUUAACUUUUAUAUUAACUAAUUUAAAAUUUAUAUAAUAAUAAUUCUUAAUUUAUUAACAAUAUAAAUUAUUUUACAUAAUAGAAGUAAAUUAUUAAAUAAUAAUUAAAUUUAGAGGAAUUAUUAUCAACGCCAAAAAAUAACAAAAUUGAAGUCAACUUAACACCAAAUAAAAGCAUUAAAGUGUUUUUAAUUAAAGAAAGCGAUAAAAAAAUUAUCUAAAAAAUUACAUGAGAAAUAAAUUUGCAUCUAUGGGUAUUAUCUCAAUCUGUGUGGACUUUGAUGAGAAAUAUUUGCAUACAUCAAAUAUAAGUAUAUGUAUUUUUUAAAUAGGGUGCGAAAACAUAAAUAUGUAUGUCUAUAUUCAUCUUAAAUUAUUAAAACAUUAUUAGUUUAUUAAGAAGAAACCUACAAAAUUUUAUGUUUCACUUUUAUUGGUUUUUCUUAUUUUUUUUUCAUUUAAAGAAACAUUAUUUAUUAUAUAAUUUUCUAUUUUUUUAAUUAUUCGAUAUCCAUUAAAUUCACUAAUUUUUUAAGUAUUUUUUUUUAUCUUGUCACAAUCUUGAUUAUGCAUUUUAUUUUUUCUUUAUACUAUUUCGUCGAAAUAGUAUAUUUAUCUCAAAAAAUUAAAUAUCAAUCUUAUCACAUAAUUGAAAUCCUACCCAAAACAAGAACAGUUCUUAGAAACUGGGGUGACAGUUUCAUAAUUGAUGGAGUGCACCGACACAGUCAUUUGUUGUGACAGACAGCUUCAUUCAACCAUAGGUUAUGUUCCUGUUCCUGCCAUAUCAAUAAUGUUUUUGUCUCUCUUUCCAAUGCAUCACCCAUGCAACCAUUGAAAGCUCAACUCAAACAUUUCCACUUAAUCAAUUUAACUCACUUUCAAAAGAAAUUAAAAUUUAACAAACCAUAAACUACUUUCAUUUAUUAUUUUAUUGGACAUUUUUUAAUUAUUAAAAUAAUUAAGUUCUAUCAAAGUGGUGUCAUUUUAUUUGUUGAUAUGAUUUUAAUGAAUUUGAACUGUACCAUCUUUCAAAAUUCAAUUAUAACAUAAUUAUAACAAAAUUUAUCUAUUUUGUUAAUUAUGAUAUAAAAUUACAUUACAUUGGUAAAAAAAAUCUAUUUCAUUUGCAUAUCUCAAUCUAAAUCACAAUAACUUAUGUUAUUGUCAUGUGUGUAUUCGAUGUACGUAUAUUAUCAUAGAGAAAUAAGAAAGUAUAGUUCCUUAAAAAAAAGUUUAAUUAAUGUUGAUAAGUAUUAAAUAACUUUUGUAUGAUCCAAACUUUACAAAUCCUUUACAACUUUUUCUGACUUUGUUUAAUAUGUGUAUGUUUCUACAGAUAUAUUAAAAUCAAACAACUCGAACCUAUCAAAACAGUAAAUGGUGAAUUUGAUUGUGUUUAACGGAUUUAAAUUGAGUUGAGCUUUAUUUUUUAAUCAAAUUGGAUAUAUUUUUGUCUAAAAUUAAAAACGAUUAUCAUGUCUACAACCAUAUAUUAGAAAAAACUAAAAAUAUUAAAACACCUGUUUUUAUAAUAAUUUUUUAUACUUCUACUUUUUAAUAAAGUUCGAAAAAAAGUUAGUUACCCUUUAUCGAUAAAAAGAGUCGACAUGCUUUAAUAAAACUUAAUACAUUUUUUAAAAAAAAAACUAUAGGCACUUAAAGAUAUUUUUACUUCAAGGUAUUUUUUUCUUAGGUAGUGCAAUUUUUUUUCAAAUAUUUUAAAAUAAUUUUUUUUCAAAUAUUUUAAAAUAAUUUUUUUUUCAUAAAUGAGUAAAUUACCGAUGUGAAAUACGUUUAAUGAAUACUAAAAUCACCAAUUUUAGUUAACAUCGUAUAUAAAAUAUACGUUUUUAAUUUUUUAAUAUAUAAUAAUUUUAAUAUUCGGAUUUAAUAUUUAAAAUUAAAAAAUAUAUAUAAGAAAUUAGAUAAGUUUAAUUUAUUAUUUAUAAUUAUAUAUAUAUAUAUAUAUAAUUAAAGAAAUUUAGUUUUUCAUCAAAUAUUUUUUUUAACUAAAUAAGUUUUUAUAAAAUAAUUUUUUAAUUAUAUACAUAGUAAGACUUAAUGACGGGUGGUGAUUCUAAGGAGUUUCAAGCUUUUCGGUUUUCUUGUGCUCAUAUUACCGUUGUUUGUUCGGCAUAUCAUUUAUAAGUAAUAACAUUUGUUGAUGAUAUCUAUAGUCUGCAAUAUAUUUUGAAGACUUACAAAGUUAAAUUUCAUCCAGUUUGAAAUCAAAUUUAUUGAUCUAUUUAUAUGGAACUUAAUUUAAUCUAACACUUUCACAUGUGCAGUAAGGAAUCAAGCAGACCAAGAACUAAUCAUAUAUAUAAUGAAAUUGAUGAAUCACUUUCAAAUAAGUUAAACAAAUGCUCUUACAUGAAUAAAAGUUACAGUAGAAUAAAUUGUCCAUGACCAAAUCCACCAACAUUAGGAUUACUUGUUAAUGGUUGAUCAAGUUUGAUACAUUCACCUUCUGAAACAAGAAGUUCUGGUCCUGGAGGUAUAAUAUUAAUCACUUCAUGCUAUUGACAAUAGUGUAAUGUAGACUCUUCGUAUUGUUUUUCUGAUGACAAUUAAAGUUUCCAAUUAACCUUCUCCAUUUUAAUUUUUCGAUUAAAUUUUUUGUUUUAUUUCGAAUUUAGGAUUUGACCAACAUAUUUUUUUAUUAUGAAUUAAAUUUACUUUAAUCCAUUUUUUUAAAAUAAAUAUUUUAUAUUAUUUUAUACUAUUAAAGUAUUAUGUAAUUAAUUUUGCUAAGAACUCAAAAUAUUUUAAUGUAUUUAAUUUUUAAUUAUAUAUAAUAAAAAAUUAUUUUCUAAAAAUUCAACCAUUGAUUAUAUACAAUAAAAAUAUUUUACAAUUUUUCCCAAAAUAUUUAAAAAACACAAAUUUAUUUAAGUAUAUAUAUAGAAAAAAGUUAUAAAUAAUAAAUUAAACUUAUUUAAUUUUCUAUUAUUUUUAAUUUUUUAAUUUAAAGUAUUAAAAAACGUAGAUUAAAUUUAUUAUAUAUUAAAAAAUUAAAAGCUUAUAUACGAUUUUAACUAAAAAUAGUAUAAUACACGAAUUUUAGAUUUUGAUUUUUUUAAAAUUUAUGUUACUGCAUAUUGUAAAAUUAGAAAAUAUACAAUUUCAUAUAUAAUUUUUUUUAAAAAAGUAUAUACCAUAGGCCAUUUUAGUAUUCUAUUUCACAACGUAUCUUACAUUGAUGAUUUAUCCAUUUACGAAUUGUUUUGCCCAUUUUGAAAAAUUCGAAAAAGAAUUGCACUACUAUAUAAAGAAAAAAAAAUCCAUUAUUCAAUUACUAUAUAUUCAUUUAUAAUUACUUUAAAAAUCAUUCCCGAAAUUCUUCUUCAGAUAAAUGGUAUAAAAUAUUUAUACCUUUAUAACAAAAUAAAUUAUUUAUCUCAAUUAAAUGGUAUAAAAUAUUUAUACCUUUAUAAAAAAAAUAAAUUAUUUAUCUCAAUUAUUCUUGUUCAUUAUUUUUUUUAAACAGUUACUUAUACUCAAAUAAUAGCAAUUGUCUUUCACUAAUUAUUGAACUCUAACAAUAAUUCCCUAAUGCUGAGUUUGUUUUGAAGUAUGAGAAGAGAGUGUAUAUUUUGUGUGUUUAUUUUAAUAAUUUUGAGAGUGGAAGAAUAGAUAGGGCGAAAGUGAAGAUCUUUUUUUCAUUUUUCACAUAAAGAGAUUUAUUGUGAUUGAUAUAAAAAUUAUAUAUUUUACCUGUGUAUAUAUUUCAUUAUAAUAUACAAAAAUAUUAUUAGAAUAACAAAUUUGACAAAAUCCAAGCAUUUCGAAAUUUGUUUUUAAUGAUAAUUGAGAGAAUAAUGUAACACUAGAAGCAAAAUAACCAAAUAUUUAGCAUAUGCUUCUUUUAUAUAACGAUUCCAAAGAUAAAUUUACUAGUUUUCGUGGGCAAUAUUCACAUCAUAAAUGAACCACAAAAGUGAAUAUAAUGGACCAUAGAAGUAUUGGGUUUAUAUGUGCAGUGGGCGAGAAAAAAUUUGAUGUGCAGAACCAUCCUCCUCUGCAUAUAAUAUCUUGUUACAUUCAUGCGGGUGCGGGUGUCAAAUAUACGAUCAAAUAAAGAGAUUGCUGAUCAAAUAAUCCAAUCUUGUUUGACUUAAAAACUGAUUUUCUCAAUUUAGUUUCCAAUGACAAACGCAUUUUACCAAAAAUAAAUGUUUCACAUUAAUUAGGACAAAAACCUUGAUUUCGAGUCUGAACACAAUUUCCCCAACUUCAAUCCCAAAAUAACACUAAAAUAAAUAGACUGAAAACAUGAUGAGUCUACAUUGCUUAAAAAGUAAAAAACUAGUGAUCAAAGGCAGCAGAGUAUAACAAAAUCAUAAAACUGGAAAUCAAAGCUCAGAUUCCAGUAAAUGCUUUCUUUGCACCGCUAGAAGAUCCUGCAGGAAUCACUUUCAAGACAUUGAACCUCACUGUCUUGGAGAGUGGCCUGCAUAGGUGGUAGAAAUAAACAAUCAGACAAAUGCAUAUACCUAUAAAAAUACCCCAAAACAAUUACAUUCAUAAAAUCUUACCUGCAUUGUCCAAUAAUGACAUGAUCACCUUCCUUCACACGGAAACAAGGUGAUAUAUGAGCAGGAAUAUUGGAGUGCCUCUUCUCAUACCUUAACAUAAAAAAAAAAAACAGUUAUAAUUACAUUUCUGCAAUCACAAACAUACAAAAAUAAACAUGGCAGGAUAAUACCUCUGGUACUUCUUAAUAAAAUGGAGAUAAUUCCUCCUAACAACAAUAGUCCUAUUCAUCUUAGCACUGUGACAUGUUCCUGCUAGGAUACGGCCACGAAUAGAGACAUUGCCAGUGAAGGGGCACUUCUUAUCAAUAUAGGUUCCUGUAAUUAAUCAAAGAAGUAGAAAAUGUUUAAAUUACCUAUUUAGACAACAGAACUAAACAUAUCCUUUCAUAUGAAAUAAAAAAGCAAACAGUGAUAAUGAUAUGACAAGUGCAAUGCCAAGGGUCUUUUUAUCAACACAAAUUUUGGAUGUUCAAUUGCAUAUUAUUAAGUUUGGCAUAUCUAAGAGACUAAUCCUUAAAUCGUGUACAUAAAAAUGUUCAUAUCAGAAAGAUCUCUAACGACUUGGACAUGAAAGGAAUGUUUAAACAACGAAUUGGGCAUGAAAGGAUUGUUUAAUCAAAAAGACAUUCCAACGUAUCUAUAAUAAAAAUGCACCGACUAACAACCAAAAACCUAAUUGGGUAUACACUUCUAUAACAUGAAACAUCCCAUCAAAGGGACGGAUUCAGACGAAGUAAAUUAUAAUUCACAAAUAUUCCAUCCGAAAUCUAACUUCUACAAUAAUAAAAAAAAACAUACCUUCGAUGGCUUCCCUGGGAGUCUUAAAACUAAGACCAAUGGAUUUCCAAAAACGGUUACCCCCUUUGCCAGGUCUCUUCCCCUUACCAGUUUUCUUUGAACUGGGAAAACCGGAAAAAUAAGAAAACUAAUCAGCACCAACACAUUAACAAACCACUACAUUAAAAAAAAAAAUAUUGUAGCUUACCUGAGGAACACUUUUGGUUGUUUCAGAAACGCCUUCUCGGUCUGCAAUACGAGAUAAAGAACAAAAUCAACAAAAGACCACACAGAAAUUGACAAAGCGAAAUGGAGAAGAAUCCUACUUGUUCAGCCAUGGUGGAGGGAUUGGACGGAAAAUGCUGCAGAGGAGAGCGCUGGAGUCGCCGCACACAAAAACUCUAAUCACUCCUCUCACUAGGGUUUCAAGGGUAAACGCUGCGUUUUUAGAGAUUUCCAGUUCUGGGCUUUUCAUAUUGGGCUUGCUUGAGAUUGUUUUUGAAAAACAAAUUAAUUAGUUUCGUUUUAAAUAUUUUUUAAAAAGGUUAAUAAAAUAAACUUAUUUUGUUCUAACUUUUAAAUCAAUAUAUAGUUUCUGGACAAUUCCUUCAAAAAAUUUAAAUUAAUAUCAUGUGAAGGAUUAUUUAAAAGGAUAAUUUAUUGUUAAAUUUGAAUUAAGCUGUAAUUUCGUAUUUCGUGUGUAAAGUUAGAUAUGCAUCUUCAAAUCCAUAAAUUAUGGAUUACAAGUAGCAUUUUUGUGUUUUUAUGUUUUUUAAACUGCAUACAAUUAUUUAUUAUUAAGUUUUAUUUCUUUUUAAAUAACAAAUUUCAUAUAUUAUUUAUAUAUUAAUUAUUAAUUUUUAUAAAAAAUAUAAAUAAUUAUAACAUCUAUACCUAUAUACAACGGGGAUUUACCUCUUAACUGCUCUUAAUUUUUUUUUCAUUUUAUCUUUACUUAAUAAUUUAUUGUAUUAAUUUAUUUUGGUUAUUUGAACAUUUAAUAAUUUCAAAAAUUAAUAAAAUAAUUUUUUUAUUUUAAAAUUUAUUUUAUUUGUUAUUAUUUAACUGGAGGGUGGAGAGAGUGAAGAGAUUGAUUAGUUACUGUUUUAAAUAUCUUCUUCACUAUUAAAUAAAGAAUUAAAGAUAUUUGUAAUAUUUUAUACGUUACUUUUCUGAUUUAAACUUUAUUUUAAAAUUUAUUUUAUUUGUUAUUAUUUAACUAGUGGAAAGAUUGAUUAGUUACUUUUCUGUUUUAAAGAUCUUCUUCUCUAUUAAGUAAAAAAUUUAAGAUAUUUGUAAUAUUUUGUACAUUACUUUUCUGAGAUUUAAACUGAUAUUCUUUUUUAUUAAAAUUGUAUAAUUUUAAAAUUGAUUUAAGAAACAAAUUUUAUGAUUCUAUACACAUAACCCACGUAUCCUACUUCCCACCUUCUCUAUCCUAUAUAGGUACUACUUCUCACUUUCUCUCUCCUGUAUAGGUAUCUACUCCCCACUUUCUCUCUCUACUGCACAUAACACAUUAUUUUUUUUUUACCAUACUCUCACUCUCUUUUCUCUUUCCUGUAAAAUCAUACUUUCAUUUCUUUGAUUAAUCUUUCUGAAACCCUAAUUUGACAUUUGUUUCAUGAAAUUGUAAUUGAAGUUUCUGACUAGAGGGAACGAAAAGACUCAAAAACUUUGUGAGCUUCAUCACAAUCAUAGGUAAUUCUCUUUAUAUGCAUUUCAAUAGGAUUCAACAAGAGGAGACAAAGGUACCUGAUGAAAGUCAUCAUAAGACCCUUUUUUGUAACAAUUUUAUGAAUUUAAAUGAAAUCAUAGAGAGCAUUAACUAAACUAUAUUCUCAUUUCCUCAUAUGUAUGGUAAUGAUUGUCAUAUAUUAUUGGUUGUUUAUAGACCUAAUGAAAAAUAUUGGUUUAAUUCUUAUAAUUGAUCAAAUAUUAAAAAUUAUUAAAAAAAAUAUGAAACUCAAAUUUUAUUUAAUUAUUUUUUCGUUGAGUUUGUAGUUUUAAAUAAAUUUUAACUAUUACCAAAUACAUAUAUUUUUACCCAUAAUUAAUAAAAUAUUAAAAAUUAUAAAAAAUAUGAAACUCAAAUUCUAUUUAAUUAUUUUCUAUCUUGAGAGACGGUUUUGAAUUCAAAUAGUAAUUUUAAAUUUUAAAUUUUGAAAAUUCAUUCAUUAUCUUUACCAUAUGUUACCGUUCUCACUAUUUUAUUAACCUACUCUUUAACUGUAUACUCUCUAACUUCUCAUUUGAAUGUUAUUAAGAGAAAUUGUUUUUGAAGAAUAAAAAAAUACUAAAGAAAGAGAAAUAAAAAAUGCGGAUACACACUAUUCUUUUAACUGUAUACUCUUUAACUUCUCAUUUUAAUGUUAUUAAGAGAAAUUGUUUUUGAAAAAUAAAAAGAAAAUACUAAAGAAACAGAAAUAAAAAAUGCGGAUACACACUACUCUUUUAACUGUAUACUCUUUAACUUCUCAUUUUAAUGUUAUUAAGAAAAAUUAUUUUUGAAAAAUAAAAAAAAAAUACUAAAAAAACAGAAAUAAAAAACAGUGCUGUGUUCCCGCUAGUGCUUAUAAAUUUAAUUAACAGGUACAAGAAGUAGAAAUAUAAUUUAUUAAUCAGUUUUAGGUUUUGCAAUUUAAGAUAAGACAAUAAUUCAAUUAAAAUUCAUAAUAAUAAUUUUAAAAUUUAAUUAAGUUUCAAAUCAUGAUAAAUUUUUAUAUUUCAAAUUAAUUUUAUAUUAAAAAAAAUAUUAUUUUUAAUUAAUAUAUUCAUUUAACUUCACUCACUUGUUAUGAUAUUGACAAAAUUAUCUCUUUUAUUAUUAACAAAAAAUAACACUUAAAAACAACAAUGUGAAAUAAUAAACAAUACAAGAGUCACGUCAUUCAAUUAUUUCAGAAAACAUAAACAAAAAAUUCAAUUAAAAAAUAUAUAUUUUAAAAUAUUUAAUCAAAAUUUGAUUAAAAUAUUCAAAUUUAUCAAAAACUUAAAAUCUAAUUAAACCUAAUUUCAACAAUAAACUCUUAACCUUAACAAAAACAUAAAAUAAGUGACUUUGACUUGAUGAAAAAAGUUUUUAUUAAAAUGACUAUAUUUUUUCAUGGCUGGUAACUAAUAUUUAAAACUAUAUUAUUUAUUUUGAUAAUUGAAAGUUAUAUCAUGGUUGUGGUACAGAAAUGGUAAUGAGUAGGAUUUGAAUAAAAUAUUUGUUGAGAGGACCAUCGAUCCCUUCCAUUUUCUCUGCUUCGGUCCCUCACCCUCAAGUUUUCAUUGAACUAAUUGGAGAUGACACUCUCUUAUGCUUUCACUCCCUCACCCUCAAGUCCGUUGAACCAAAUAGAGGUACUCUCUUAGACUAGGUUUGGAUUGAAGAGGGAAUUUGUGAGGAUUGGAGAGGAUGUGUGAGGAUAUGUGAGGUUGUUUGAAUUGAGGGAUGAUAUAGUGGAUUUGUGAGGAUGAUUUAUUGUAAAUUUACAAAAUUAUAUUUAUUAAAAAUAUUUAAAUAAUGAAUUAUGAUUUUUUUUUAAGUUUGAAUUAAUUAAAUAUUUUUAAUAUAUAAUAUCCAUAAUUAUUUAUAUUUUUAAUAAAAUAAAAUAUAAAAUAUUUUAGUGUUAAAUUGAAAUAUUUUUAUUAUAUAUAUAUAUUGUUGAUAUUAUAAUUUUAUUUUAUUAUUUUAUUAUUUAUAAUUAUAUAUUGUUAUUAAUAGUAUAAUUAAAUAUUUUUAAAAUUAUAAAUAAUAAAUAAAUUUAUGUAAUAUUUAAUUUUAUAUAUUAAAAUAAAAUAUAUGCACAAGAGUAUUUUAGUAAAAUGCUUACUAAAUCUUCACAAAUUUCUUUAUUCGGUGAAGAACGAAAAACACCUUCCACCUUCUCUCCACUAUCAAAAUCAUAGAAACAGAAAAAAAAAUUGGAAACAAAUACAUACAGUAUCAGCCCAUAACCAAAGUGUAAAAGAUUUAAUAAUUAAUCUAAUUAUUCGCACACGUAAGUUUUUUUCUUUUAUUUAUUCCUACUGAAAAGAAUUUAUAUACGAACGUAUGGAUUAAAUUUUAAAGAAAAAGCAAAGAACAAUAUCUAUAGUUAGAUUCCAAUAUCUAUUGUUUUACUCCUAUCAUUUGAAGUAAAUUCUCCCCCAACAAAUCUCGCUAACUUCAAAUUAAAAAGUACAAAUUGUUUAUUUUAAUCUCAAUUGGGAUAUUCACGGAUACCUAUAAAUUCAAAUGAUCCAACACACACUUUGAUUUGAUUAUUGGUUAUUCAUAUUUUACUCAAUUCAACACAAUCUAUCCCAUUAAUCAUUAGAUUGAUUUUAGGGCUCAAAAUGCAAACUCAAGACAUAAUUACAUAACCACUUAUCAACACUGGUUAUUUGUUUUGUUGUGAGGUGACCAGAUUUUCUACCAAUCCAUCUUGAUUCAAUGAUCUAGAACGAACUUCAAAGAAAUCUCAAACCACGAGAUUGUUGAAACGAAACAAUGCAUUUUGAAGUAAUUUAUUAAGAAAAUUAUUUUUUUUCCAAAAAAGAAUGUAUUUUUUGUUUUCGGGAAUUUUUUUUUAUUUCGAAGUAGAGUAUUACUAUGUAUUAUAGAAUUUUAAAGCUAAAUAAUAUGAUAUAUAUUUUUAUGUGCUUUUUGAAUGAUAAAAACCUAUAAAAUUAUUAUUUUUAAUUCUUAGGAUUAUUAAAUUAUAACAUUAUAUACAUCAGUGCAUAACAAUGUAUUAUUUGUUAUCUCAAACUACUAGUGGAAUUUAGUAUGUUGAUUAAUAAAAAAUAUUAUAAGAAGAAUAUAGAAAAUAUCUUUAAUAGGCACUGAAUACAAGAUUUUAAGAGUUGUUUUUAAUCAAUGUAGAAGGGAAAUAUUACAUCAUGUGAGAAAAAUUUACCUAAAAAUACAAGUUCCCAGAAGGGAUAAAUAAUAAAAUUUAAAAGUCCUCUCUAUAUAGCUAAAGGAUGCUAUUGUGCAACAAUUACAAAGAAACGAAUUAUUAUUAUAAAAAAUUAUUAAAUAAAAAUUAAUUUUAGAAAAAAAAAUUAAUUAUUAUAUUGAAUAAAUUAAAUAUUAUUUUAAAAAAUAAAACAUUAUUGAUAUUUUAAUUAAUUUUAUUAUUGAUAAAUAAUUUUUAAAUUGAUCAUUAAUUUUCAAUUAAGUUUUUAAUUAUUAAUUUUAUAAUUUAAAAAAAUUAUAGUUAAAAUCAUGAUAAUUAAUUAAAUAUUAAUUUAUAAUAUAUUUAUUAAUAAUAAAAAUUAAUUUAAAUAUUACUAUUUUUUAUUUUUUAAAUUAAUAUUUAAUAUUUUUUAAAAUAUUUUUUUUAAUAAUUUAUUAGUUGUUAAUGAAAAAAUUAUUUAUAGAAAGGUAAGUAAAAGUGGUUGAUUGGUCCUCCAAGACUAAAUUCAACUACAGUUAUACACUCAUAUGAGCAUAAUAACAUCUAUCCAACUCAUCCAAUUUUUCUACUUUUAAAGUUUAUACGUUUAACCUAAUAAAUUAGACUAGAUAAACUUUAAAAAUAUGAAUUUUGCAUGGCAUAAUUGAUUAAUAAAUAUUAAAUCAUUUUUUUAUUAAAAAAAAUAUAUGGCUGACUUUAUAACCACGCUUUCAUUUACAUGGAUUGUUUCACUUUUAUUCUUAAUUUUUAUCGUAUGUUUACUAUAUUACUAUAUUUUCACUUUCAAAUGUAAUUGUAGCAUAAUCUAUAUAUUCAAAAUAUUUAUUUAUUUUAUGUUUUAGUUAUACAAAAUACAAAUUUAUUUGUAUAAUACACAAAACUGCAGUACUAAAUAAUAUACGUCUUGUCUUAAACUUAUAUAUUGAUAAUUUUAUUUUAUUUUUACCUCUUUGAAGUCUAUUUUUAAUUUAAAUUUCAUGUAAAAGUUAUCCAAAAUGCUACCCAAUCUUUCUGAUAUGAAAUUUUAUUACCCAGAAAGUAAUUCCCUGUUAACACUCUCUGCACAAACUUCAUAAAUAAUUGUACUUUCGAUUAUCCAACUCAACUUUGUAAUUGUUGUAAAAGCUUAACUUUAUAUAUAGAGAAUAGAAAGUUUUGAAUAAGUAACAAACUGUUAAUUUACUAUAGAUAUAACCUAAAAUGUAAUUAAGACUUUUAAUAGUCAUGAGAAGGUUUAUACUAUUAUUUAAUAUAAAUUAUUUAAUUAUAAAUAAUCAGCAGAAUCUUACCAAAAAUAAUGUAAUUAAGACUUUCAAUAGUCAUGAGAAAAUUUAUACUAUUAUUUAAUUAUAAAUAAUCAGCAGUAAAAUUAUGAAUCUUAAAAAAAAAGUAUGGAGUGUAUCUGUCGGAUAAGGAAAGUGUCUUGUUUCUAUUAUGCGCGAAUGUUGUUUGUCCUGAAAUUUCGGUAAUAUUGGAAUAUGUAUUUGUAAAAAAAAAAUAAAAAAUAAAAAAUAAAAUAUAUAUAUAUAUAUAUAUAUAUAUCGUUAUAUUUAUAUAUAAAGGAAAUUUUUAUUAUAAUCAUUUUAUAUGGAUAUAAAUAUUUUUUUAUUUUACUUUUAUUCAAUAUAUUUGAUAUUAGUAUAAUAGAGUAUUUUGUUAUUUUAUAUGAAUUAUUUAAAAAAUAAAAUUAUUGUUUAAUUUUUUAAAUUAAUUAAUGUACAGUUUUUAUAGCCAAACUAACUUCUCAACUCUUUCCUUAAUUUCUUAUUUCAAGACAACAACAGGAAUGAAGAAAGAACAUACUCUCAUUCAUUCUCACACCAAAUUUUACAUAUCAAAUAACCUUCAUUUUCAAUCACUAUUUUCACUCUAUUUCAAGCAACUAUAUUCUCGGGUAAAGUCAUUAUUCUUUCGUAUCUUCCAUAAAGUUAGUCUUAACCUUAACGUGAAUAUCAUCACACCCUCCGAUCCCAAAACUACCGAUGGAAGAAGAGAAAAAGCUUGAAGAAAAAGAGAUACUCAAACGAGAGAAGAAAAAAAAGAGGUUGUUUAAUCAAUUCAUCAUUUUUCUUUUACAUGGUUAAUAAUUUUUUCUUUUCAAUUUCAACUCAUCCAAAAUUAUUUUUGUAUGUAUGUUAAAUUUCUAUUAUCACAAAAUAUGAGUAAAAGAAAAAAAAUGUGAAUACACGGCGCAAUUGCGUUGUGUUUCCGCUAGUUUAUAUAUAAAGGGGAUUUAUCUCUUUAACUGUCAUUUUAUUUUAUUCCCAUUUUAUUCUUAUAUUUUAUUUUAUUUUAUUAUUUUAAAAAUAUAUGAGGAAAGAUAUUUGUAAUUUUGUGAGAAGUUUUAAUUUUAUAUCUCAAAAGGAUAACAAAAGAUAUAACACUAUUUUUAAUUUUUUUUUUUUUAAAUUCAAAACUAAACAAGCAAAGUGAGACUUGUCGAGGAGCAUUCCAGCAUCUUUUUCUUUCAUCUUCUUUUAUCCCAUCAAACACCUUUUUAUUUUUUGUUUUCAUAUUCAAAAUUCAAAAUACGAGAAGUCGUAGUUUUCUUUAAGAACCACGAAACCAACCAAUAAGUGUUGUUUUUCAAUUAUAAAGUAGAAGAUGGAAAUGUAAUGUCUGAAUUUACUUCUAUUUUUUAUUCAUUUAUGCAUGUAUUUGGCACUGUAUGAUAACAAUAUUGUUAUUAUUGUGCUAACACAGAUAACGUCAUAAAAUACAUGAAAACAACAAUUUAAUCAAACUUAUAAGAAAACUAUUAAAGAAAACAAAACAAAAAAAAAAUAUUAGGAUUUUUUUUGAAUAAAAAAUUGAAAGGAAAAAAAACCUACCUGAUAAAAGUGCGUCGGUGAGAGUGAAAGGGGUUAGUUUAUGAGACAGAGAGGACUUAGGGAAAAAAAGGGAGACACGUUAGUUUACGAUGUUUGAUUAAAAUUUAAUAAAGUAGUUCUUUUGUGAGCCGUCUAUUAUUAACUAAAUUUGAUAUAUCUAUAUCUAUACAUAAAUAAGAUUCUCUUCUCUAACUCUUUUUAACUAUAUACAUUUUUUUUUUCUAUUUUACCCUUAUAUCAAUAUUUUAUUCUAUUAUUUUAUUUUGAUUAUUCUAUCAUUUUAUAAUUAAUAUCUGUAGUUAUCAAUUUUUUAAAAUUUAAAUAAAAUAAUUAUAAAAAAUAAUUGAUAGAGUAGUUACAAAACAGUUUUUUUAUGUUUAAAUAAAAAAAUUAAAAAAAGCAGUUAAUAAAUAGUUAUCAAACAAUUUUUUUAAAUUUAAGUUAAAUAAUUACUGACAAAGGAGUUGAGAGAUAAAACAGUUUUUUUUUAAUAUGAUUGUUUUUAUAUUUUUUUUUACACAAUUAUCUUUUGAUUUUAUCUUUAUAUUAAUAAUAUUUCAUUUUAUUAUUUUAUUAAUAACAUUUUUGUCAAAUUUCAAGGAUAUUAAAUAAACAAUGAUUAUGAAUCUUAAACAUGUUAACUAGUUAUUAAAGAAGUUAUUGGUGAAGUUAGUUUCAUUGACAAGUGUGAGAUGUACCGGUGUGAAAACAAAAUAAUGGUAGUUGCAUCUAUAUAAAGGAUUGAAAGAGAAAGAAGAUAAAAAAUAAAAGAUUAAAAAUACAGGGAGCGAAGAAAAUCGUGGAGACUGUAAAAGAAACCGCAAUAAGCAUUUGUUCAUCUGUCUAGGUUGGAGAAGGCCAAAGUCACUCUCUAUGAAAAGUUUAGUCUCUUAUGCAUUUCUGGUCAUUUUCAAUGUUCCAUCUUCAAUCAACAACAAUUUUUCUUGAUAGUGAGUAUAUGAGUGUACAUGAUCGAAAUGAAAUAACAUGAUAACCCAAAAGAAAUAAGAGAAGAUAAAUGAUACUCAAAUGGAGAAGUGUCAGGCACAUCAGCACAAUGUUGCCACCAAACAAUCUUUCGUCGCUGGACAGACCCACACCCCAUGUACUCGGUGAAUAUAAUUAAAUGAUAACAAUGAUUAGGUCUAAUAAUGUGCAUCUUCAUUUAUCAUGGUUUGAGCGUGAGCAUUUUGAAUAAGAAUAAGCUAUUAUACACUACUUUGUGAUAAUCGAUUUUAUGAAUGUUUUAUGAACUUAAGUAAGAAAAGAGAAGAGAAGCGCGUUUUAAGGAGCCGUUGGCCAGCCUUGUGAAAAUCCAAGCACAUUUUUGCGUUCUGACAAUCCUGACUUUACCUCCACUAACACUAACAAGUGCAACAAAUAUAAAUAGAUAAAUAAAUAAUUAAAUAAUAAUAUUUUUUACUGUUUCUCUUUGUGCUUCUGCUGCAUUGGAGAGUGAUGCUUCAUGUUUCAACUUUCUCACUUUUUUCAAUUUUAUAUUUUUUAUCACAAGUAAACCUUUUUCUUUUUCAUAUUAAUAAACACCUUUUUAUUUCUAACUUCUACUAUUUUUUCUUUUACAAAUUCUAAAUAGGGUAUCCAAUUAACUUCCUACCUUUACUUUUAUAUGCGUUCUGAAAUUUUAUAUAUUUUUAUUUUUAUUUUAAUUCAAUACUUAUUCAAUUUUAUGAUCUAAUUAUAUUAUUAUAUUGAAACAAAUAUUAAUUUCAUCUUAUAUAUUAUUGAAUUUAUCAAGUUGGUCUUAUAUACUCUACAAUUAUGAGUCAAAUAAUAAUUAAAUAACUUCAAGUUCAUCCUAACAUAACUGGGUAUUUGAUAUAAGAUAAUAAUAUAUUUAGUUUUUUUAAUUUUUUUAAAAGAUAAAAGUAAAACGUUGGAUUUUUUAAGGAAAACUUUAUUACAUAUUAACAGUACAAGUUGUUAACUUUUAUAUUAACUAAUUUAAAAUUUAUAUAAUAAUAAUUCUUAAUUUAUAUAAAUUAUUUCACAUAAUAGAAGUAAAUUAUUAAAUAAUAAUUAAAUUUAGAGGAAAAAAUAAUUAUUUAUUAUAUUAAUUAAUUUGGAUGUUAUUUUAAAGAUUAAAAAAUUAUUUAUAUUUAAAAUGAUUCUAUUAUAAAUAAAAAUUUAUAAAUAAUUUUUAAAUUAAUAUCUAAAUUAUCUAUUAAAGUUUUAACUAUUAAUAUUUUAAAUUUUAAAUUAAUUUAUAAGAUUAAUAAAAAUUAAUUUAAAAUAUAAAAUAGUAAAUAAUUUAAAUUUUGUUAACUUAUAAUUAAAUAUCAAUUUAAAAAAUAUUUUAUAAACUUUUAUUUUAAAUAUUAAUAAUAUUUUUAACUUAGGAAAUAAUAUCUAAUUUAAUUAAUAAUAAUUAACUAUUUUAAUAUUUAAAAUUAAUUUUUAUUUAAUAAUUUUCUUCUACUCAAACUUUAAAAUAUAUAACCAUUAAACACAGUUUUCAAAUGUGUUAAGUUACACUACUUUCAAAAUAAUAUAUUAUGUAUAUUUGACAAUAUUUUAAGAUCACCAAAUCAACAACUGUGGACGUUAACAAAAAAAAGUUAAUUGACAUUCUAAACUGUAUAAUGCAUGGAAUAAAUACUUAUUUCAUUAUCAGAUAAAAAUGUUUUAUAUGAUUAAAUUUUACAGUAAAUAAAUAUUUUUAAAUAUAUCAAAUCUAUUUCUAAUUAUAUAAGAAUACUUUGAAUCAUAUAAAUUAUAUGUGUGGUGUUAGAUUACUUAAGAAGAGUGAAACUAUUAAAUUUCAUAAUGAAGUUUACAGUGUAGGAAUAGACGUAUAAAUUAUAUAAAAUCAAAAUUAUAAUGAUCAAUACGUAAAUAUUUUAACAUAAAAUUAUAUUUUUCAUAAUAAAACAAAAAGACAUGGUUGUUUAUUUAUUCUCUGAAAAUAUGAAAAAUAUAUCAGUUUUAAAUUAGUAUCUAAAUAUUAAUAUACUAUAAAAAAAAUAGGCUUCUUCUUCCUGCAACUCCCAUGUUUUUCUUCCUUCACCCCCACAAUUUUAAAUAUUCCAACAUUAACCUUGAGCAAUAAUUUGAAAAGGGCAACGUUCAGCCCUUCCACAGUCACUGCUCAUGUUCAUCCUUGGGUAUCAACUGUUGUGGAGGUUCUUCAUAAUUGUUAGGAGCUAGGAGGAGGAGUACACAACGUUGUCGAAGUGUUGUUUGAGUUAUAGAGGUAAGAUUUAAGGUUUUUUUUAAGGAGCACGGUGGUUAUGGAAAUUUUGGGAUUACCGGAUAUCAGGAUCCGGUAAUAUAUUCCAGAUUCAUGCAUCCGAAAUUAAUUAAAUUAUGUGUUUCAGAUGAGGGGGUGUUUCGGAAGGUAAAAUGUCAUAAUAUGUUGUUCUCCAGAUUUAUGAAUCCGAAAGCUUAAAUUUCAUUACAUAUGGUUUGAUCCGGUAUUGUAUUUUGUGUUAUGGAUUCAUAAAUCUGGAAUGCAUCACUUGCAUUAUGUAUUUAUGAAUCCAAAAUUGUAUUUUGUGUUAUGAAUUCAUGAAUCCGGAAUGCGUCACUUGCAUUAUGGAUUUAUGAAUCCAGAAUUGUUUUUUUGUGUUAUGGAUUCCUGAAUCCGGAAUAGUCUUUUUGAAUUAAGGAUUGUUGGAUCCGAAAUGAUUUUUUUAACUUAUGGAUUCAUGGAUCCGGAAUGCAAUAAUUUUGUUUCAUUUUUUUUUAUUCGUAGAAGCAUGGACAGUAGUGAAGAUUUUGAACAAGAAUUAUAUGAUGGUGUGAAUGUGUGGGAUGAUGAUGAUAUUGAGAAGUCAUUAUCUAAAUCGAAGGGAUAUGAAUGUACAGAUGCGUUUACUACAAAUGAGGUAAAGUUAAGUUUGUAAAGUAUGUUUAAGUUGUUUGCUAAUUACUAAACAAUUUGUUAUGAUAACUUUUGUACGUAUUUCGUACUCGGGAUGAGCUCCUAAAAGUGGGUUAGAAAAGUUGCGUUUGACAUUGGUUUUUGUAUUGUGAUAUUGAGAUCGGAUACUUCAACUGGCCAACGAGGAAGGAAAACAUUUGUAUUAUUAGGUUGUGAGAGAGGAGGUCAAUACAGNNNNNNNNNNNNNNNNNNNNNNNNNNNNNNNNNNNNNNNNNNNNNNNNNNNNNNNNNNNNNNNNNNNNNNNNNNNNNNNNNNNNNNNNNNNNNNNNNNNNAGGUUAUUGAGAGUGGAAUUAGGAAAUGUGCUUGUCCUUUCAGAUUACGAGGGUAUCCAGUAAAGAGUGGUGAAGGGUGGAUAUUGAAAUUAAUCUGUGGGUCUCAUAAUCAUGAGUUGGCAAAUACAUUGGUUGAUCAUCCAUAUGUUGGUAGGUUCACAUGUAGUGAGAAGUCAAUGCUUAUGGACAUGACAGACAGUUCGGUGAAGCCUAGAAAUAUUUUGCUGACAAUGAAAGAGCAUAAUGAGAAAAAUGUGAGCACAAUAAAACAAGUUUAUAAUGCACGAUAUAUGUACAAAAAAUCAGUACGAGGUGAUAGAACUGAAAUGCAACAAUUGAUGAUGUUACUUGAGCGUGAUAUGUAUGUCCAUUGGUCUAGGUUUGAAGAAGGGACGAAUGUUGUGCAAGAUUUAUUUUGAACACACCCUGAUUCAGUGAAGUUAUUGAAUGUCUUUAACAUUGUAUUGAUGAUGGACAAUACCUAUAAAACUAAUAGGUAUAGGAUGCCCUUGUUUGAAGUUGUUGGUGUAACCUCGACGGGAUUGACCUUCAGUGCUGUAUUUAUGUUACUCGCAUCAGAACGUCAUCAUAACUUUGUAUGGGCCCUUGAGAAGCUGAAAGGUUUGUUUUUGAGAUUUGAUUCAUACCCGAAGGUUGUGGUUAGUGAUAGAGAUAUUGCUCUAAUGAAUGCAAUAAAUGUUGUGUUUUCCGAAACUGCUAAUUUGUUAUGUCGUUUUCACAUUGAUAAAAAUGUUAAAGCUAAAUGUAAAAUGAUUGUUCAUCCAAAAGAGGCAUGGGAUCAAGUGAUGGAAUCUUGGGGAGCAAUUGUUGAUUGUGAAAAUGUAGAGUCUUAUGAGCAUCGUGUUGAGGCACUUAAUGUUGUUUGUUCACCAUGGCCUAUAUUUACUGAAUAUGUUAUUAGUACUUGGUUAAAUCCACAUAAAGAAAAGUUUGUUAAGGCUUGGACGGAUAAAGUCAUGCACUUAGGCAACAUGACAAGUAACAGGGUUGAGGCUGCACAUUGGAGUUUAAAGAGGAUCCUUGAGACGUCAAUGGGGGACUUAUGCUUUUGUUGGGAAUCCAUUAAUAAGAUGAUCAUUUUGCAACAUAAUGCAAUUAAAUCUUCAUUUGAAAAGAGUUUGCAUGUAGUGAGUCAUGUCUUCAAUGUAACAAGAUAUAAGAAAUUGCUUGGCUUCGUAUCGAAAUAUGCCUUGCAGUAUAUUGCAGAAGAGAGUGAUCGAGUUGAAUAUGUUGGUUUAGAUAAAUCUCGUAGUGGGUGCACCAUCAGAUCUACUCAUUGCCUUCCUUGUUGUUGUGUAAUUGGCUUCCUUUGGUGUGGGUAGCAUACCAUUGCAAUCAGUGCAUCUCAUUUGGACACGAUUAAGCUUUUUAGGUAUUUCAAGUGAUGAUACUUCAGCAGAGUUGUCCAUCCAACAAGAGUGGGUUGUCAUUAUGAAUCGGUUCAAUGAGGUUGACAUGGCUGGUAAGAUUAACAUCAAAGCCAAAUUACGUGAGAUUGCCUAUCCAGAUAACACAUAUUUAUGUCCACCAAGGGAGAAAGUCAAAACAAAAGGUGCACUAAAAGGGCGUCAAAGUAAAUUUGGUAAAUCAACGAAGCGAAUUCCUUCUUACUUUGAACAUGUUGAUGCCAUUCUUUCACAACAUGAUAGUUCAUCUAGUUUGAAAUGUAGCAAGGGAUUUAUUUCGGAGACUCCUCCGACCAAAUCAAUACCAAUGCUACAACAAUUUCCGGUGGGAAUUCAUCCUUACAUUGUUGAUAUUGUUGAUGUUAAGGCUGACGGUCAUUGUGGCUAUCGUGCUGUUGGUGCAUUAUUGGGUAUGGGAGAGGAGUCCUGGGCUAUUGUACGCAUGAACUUGCAUAAAGAACUUUGUCAAUGGCGUCAAGAAUAUAUUGAUUUGUUUGACGGGGAUGAACGAUAUGAAUUUUUGAAAAAUUCACUUCUAGUUGACCACAUGGUAAUUGUAUUAAUUAUGAAUGAUGUUACAUUUUCUUUUGUUUGCAGAUAAGUGGAUUAACUUGUUACAUUUUCUUCUGUUUGCAGAUAAAUACAGAUAAGUGGAUGACAAUACCAAAUAUGGGAUACGUUAUUGCAAAUCGAUAUAAUGUGAUUGUUGUGUGUUUAUCUCUUAAACAUUCAUUGACUAUUUUUCCAUUAAGAUCCCAACCUCCAACAGAUUUUAAGCAUCACCGCAUCAUCUGUAUUGGACAUGUUCAUGGAAAUCAUUUUGUUCAGGUUUGUUAAACUUCAUUAUCAAUGAAUUUUAUGAAUCAUAGAAAAACAUAAUUAAUGACAUUGCUUACAAUUUUUAACAGGUUCAAUUGCAAGAAGGUUUCCCAAUUCCACCAACAGAUAUUUUAUGGUCUACUUAUUGUUAUCCAAUUGCCAAAACAUGGUGUUCAUAUUAUAUUAGUCGGAUGCAAAUGUUUACACAAAUUAUGUCCAUUAGACGAUAUUUAUAGUUGUAAUUGUAUUGACAAAUGAAUAUGUUAACAUUCUGACUAUCAUAAAUGCGGAAGAAGAAUUGUCUAAUUUCAUAACCAAAGUGUUCAUUCAUCAAAUUAAAAAAUAAUUGUAAACUAAGUCUUUGUUCACGAAAUUACAAAACAUAACAACAACUAAAAUGAUGAUGAUCAUCAUCGCCCGUGUCGUCGUCUGCGGACAUACACAGACAUGUCCUCAGUGGCUGAUCGGGCUAGCAUCAAGGCUGUUUGUGUCCCUUCCCAUGCAGGUGAAUACUCGGUUAGAUGACCAUCAUCUAUAAUCAACUGCAAGGUGGAUGCUAUUCUUCUACAAAGACCCUAUAAUUAUAAACAAAUUACAUUAAUUGCAAUUGAGCAUGUAUUAUUUAAAUAAGCAAGUAAUAAGUUCUUACCACUGCGGGAUGCUCAGAGAUAGUAUCAUUCCCGCCCUGACGUCGUCCAUUAUGGGUAAUCACCGGAGGUCGAUUAUCCUCAGCCAUCUGGAUGAUAUAUGGGUGUGAUAUAGACCGAAACCACUCCAAAUAUGCAGGAACACAGGUUCCAACAUCAGCUGCUAAUACUGCACCCUGUACGAGGUUAGCAUUAAAAUCUAACCAUCGAUGGUCGAUAUCAGAUGUGGAUGGAUCGCCAUGAGGAACGGUGGUUGGGUGACUAGGGAUACAUUGUAUAUAUCCAAACUGUCUGAGUACACGUUCAGGCAAAUGCAUUUGCCUACAACCCCUCAACCGAAUGUACCCUGCAAAUAAUGAAAUCCACUCAAAAGGACGCACCGCUCUAUGCUCUUCACAGGACAUCCAUUGAACAACACCUACACAAAGGCUAUCUAAUUGCAUCCGAACUGAGGCAAGUGUGGACAACCUACUCCCGACCACAUAUUUCAUACACCGCGGCUGAUCCUCAACAUAGUCAUCCUGAAGCUGUCAGUGCCCAAUACUCGGAAAGUGCUCAUAUAUCCAUGAUGAAAAUAACGUGACAUACCCAGCUAACUGUCUAGUAUUUGCAUAUGAACCAUCUCCCAACUGCUCAUACAUGUGGGUUAAAGUAGCUGUUGCCCACGAGUAUCCUCCGCUGUGCCUUAAAUCUACAAAUAAUACCAAGUAGGAUACACUAACCGACGUAGCACUCUUAUAUGCAAAGAUGGUGCAACCUACUAGGUGUAGCAAAUAUGCCCGUGCAGCAAUAGUCCAUUGUCUCCUGGUACAUGCGUCCUCAUACAUCUCCCUCAACCAGCUUAGACGCACAUGUCCACCCCUACAAUGACGAGUCUCAACAGCUGCUACUCCCCGAUCUACACGAAGUGAAUCAACAAGCAAAUCGGUUGCCGCAGCUGCAUCCAAGCUCGGAUACGUGUAGAAUUGCCCCAUAAUUGGGAGGUGCAACAAAUUCGACACAUAAUCCAAUGUAAUGGUCAACUCACCUACAGGCAGAUGAAAUGAAUUUGUCUCUGGGUGCCACCUUUCUACAAAGGCACACAACAGUCUUUUGUCUAUCGUGUCAUAGCUUGCCCCGACAAGUGCAGCUAAACCUGACAACUCCACUGCAGGUAGUAUCCGAGGAUGAGGAGCACCCAUCUUAUUCAUUUUUCGGCCAUGAGACACCAAUUUUAACUCUCCUCCAUCCUAAUUUAACCAACCAAAAUCAUAUAAAAUAUACAAUUUAAUCAACGCAAAUCAUAUCAAAUUAACAGGGAACAAGUAUCAUAUUACAACAUAUUUACUUACCACACCAUUUCAUAAUUGCAUGGCCACAUGGGCUUCAUAACCUGUCAACAGUGUCCUAUCCCGUGGACCUCUGGGAUAACCUUCAUCUUUUACUUCAGGUGUGUCUUCAUCCUUCACCUCCAUUUGGGGUUCAGCUUCUUCAGGUUCAACAUGUUCUGCAUCUUCAUGUUCAACAUGUUCUUCAUCUUCAUGUUCAACAUGUUCUUCAUCUUCAUUCACAUGUCUUCUUCUAACAGAGGCUGUGGGACGUAGACGAUCACCUUGUGAACCUCCACCCCUAGUCUUCACCAUUUUUGUUCAAUUACACCAUUCAAAGUCACCAAUAUUCAUUUAGUCACCAAUAUUCACCCCUAGUUGCAUGAUGUUGACUUUCAAAAGUAUGUUUGCACACAUUAUCCAAAGAUUCACUAAGACUUAGUUGGGAGAAAACUACGAUAUUCAGUCAUAUUCUUUAAUUUACACAAGGUUAGGUUUCAUAAUCAACAUGAAACCAAUAAUAAAGUUAACUAGCAUACAAAAUUAAUCAUAAAUAUAGCCAAGCCCACUCAAGUGAGAGUACAAUACUAUAUAAUACUAAGCAAAACACUACAAAACCUUGACCCAAUACAAUUGUUGUUUAGUAAUUCGAGUAACACAAACACAAACAACAACUCAUUAGUCCGGACACAUCAAUCCGAUACAAUAACGGAUCCAAAAAUUUGGUAGCUUACCGGAUCCAUAAAUUCAAAAGCUUACCGGAUCCCGAAAUCCGGAACAUUCCCGAAAUCAUAAAUUCAGGAUUUUAUCGGAUGCAUCAGUUCGGAAUGUGAAAAAAUGAUUACGGAAACAUAAAUCCAUGGAAAAAACGGAUGUCUAAAUCCGAAAACAGAGAAAUUUACUUGCCUUUACCAAGAGAAGGAAGAAGAAGCCUCACAAAAAAUGAUUGUGUGAGAUUCAAAGGAGAAGAGGAAGAGGAAGAGGAAUGUGGAGGUGUCGCCGCUGCUAUGGAAGAGGAAGAAAAUUGCGCGCGUAAAAAUCAGAACAUCAACACUGCCUUGAGUUUAGGGCUUUUUUAGAUUAGGGAUAUGUUUGGAAUUUUAGAAACUAAUGAGGGUGAUUUCGUCUUUGGCGGUGCAGGAAGAAAAAAGUGGGGGUGGAGGAAGAAACAGAACUUCCGUUUUUCAAGUUCCUUACUGACAAGUUCUUAUAUAUUAUCAUUAAAGUAUAUUUUACUCUAUGUCUAAAUUGAAACUGUAUAUUUUACAAAGUUCUUAUAUAUUAUUAUUAAAAUAUAUUACUGUCACUAUUAUUAGUAUUAGUAUUUUUUUCAAUGUAAUGAAUGAAAAGUUAGAAAAGUGAAAGCAAACACAGGGACCGAGGUUCAUGAGUGUGGUAGAAAAGUUAUCUGCAGCAUAUCCAAUCACUUAGGUACAGGAGUUCCUUAAAAAAAACAAAUUUGAGCAUUGUCUAAAAUUUUUUAGUUGAUACUGUAAAAUUUAAGAAUAAAAAAUAAUAUUUUGUAUGGGUUUAUAGUUAAGAGUAAAUAAAAAAUAAAAAUCAUAAAUUAUUUAAAGUUUAUUAUUUUUAUUAAAAUAAAUUAAGUAUAAAUUACUUUAUUAGUGAUGUGAUAUCAUUAGUUAAUAAAUCAUAUUUUUUUGUGUUAGGGUAAGAAAUUUCAUUUUAUUUGAAGUGCGUUUCACUGUGUAACUUAUUUUAAAGAUUUUUUCAAUAAAUUUUAUUUUACUUUAAGUAUGUUAUAUUGUGUGGCUUUAUUUUUUUAAAUAAAAAUGUUUUAAUAAAUAUAUACUGUUGCAGUUGAAUUUAUUUAUUUUUAAAUUCCAGACCAGCUCUUGUGACCCACUGGAUCUGAGUAAUAACUGCUGCAGAAUUACUGGAAGUGGUUCACCAUUUUUGUUUGUUUCUCUUUUUCCAACUUUUUUCCAUCUCUGCACUGCACAAUGCUCCUUGCUCAUUGCCCGGGCCUUCUCUGCAGAAUCCCUGCUACAAGCUUAUUUCAUACAUACUCAUAAACUACCACCACACACUGCUACGCUUCAGGUUUCCCUUGAAGCCUUUAUUUUGAUGACUUUUACCUACCCUCAUUUUCUCUGUCUCUCAGAAACUAGCUUAAUAACUUUACCACCACCAAUUCUCUUUCUUUUCCUUACCUGCCUCUAACAAAGGGUCUUGUCCCUUUCCUACUACCCUAAGACCUCUCAUUUCCACAGUUGCUGCAUCACCAUGCAACCUGGGUGCUCACUGCUUCUCUGUUCACCGCUGUCUGAAAUAUAAUAAAGAUCACAUUUUGACCAAGGAGGUUUUGCUUUUCCAGCUGUCGAGGUGAAAGGUGAUGAUAUCUUAGUUUUCAUCCUCAUUGGGUUGUUUUGUUUAAAUUUUUUUAAAGUGGGCCUUUUCCAAUGUGGUGUGAGAUUAUGAAUGUGGAGCUAUGAAGAAAUAUUCAUGGAUUGUGGUGAGGGUUGUCAAAAUACAGCCUUUUCUAUGAAUGAUCAGUGAAUAGAUGUAAUCUAAUCUGAUAAAAGGGGGGAAAUGGGUGCUACGAACUCAAGAGCAGAAAAGAAUGAAGCUUUGAGUUUGUGCAGGGAAAGAAAACGGUUCAUCAAGGUAGCUAUUGAUUCAAGGUAUGCUUUAGCAGCUGCACAUGUUUCGUACAUUCAAUCUCUUCGAAAUGUUGGCACUGCUCUCCGUAGGUAUGCUGAGGCAGAUGUAGUGGUAGAGUCAUCUCUGUCUAUAUCUGACAAAACCCCUUCUCAAACUAGUUACCCUUCUCCAUCACCUUCACAUGUUGCUGAGGUUGAGGUUUCGGAGUCACCUUUGCACAAUGAGAGUCCUCUUUCGCCACCUGUGGCCACCACUCUCAGUUACAUGAGGUCAGGGGGUAGUGCUGCUGUUACUGUUACUGUCAAUGCUUGUGGAAACAUCAACUAUUUGGAUGAUGAAUCCACUGUGGUUCCAAUGCCUCCACCUCCACCACCUCCUCCUGAGUCAGGUGCAUCUUGGGAUUUCUUUGAUCCGGGGGAGGAUAGUGAGAGCUUCAGGUUUGCGGUGCAUUGCAGUGAGUCCAGAGAGUGUAGGGAUGAAGAAAAUGGAGAUCAAUGGUUACAUAUUGGUUCAGAUGGGCAUUGCAUGAUGCAACCUAAUCUGGAUGAGAAGUUUGGAAAGUUCAGCAGUGAUGCAAUGGGAAAUGAGGGUGGCAAUUGUUAUGCACCCUACCUUGAUCAUUCAAUUGUUUCAAGAGGAGUUGAAGGUGGCAAACAAAUGGUUGAUGGAGAAGUGGAAGAGAUAGAGUUGCCAAGUGUUGCCGGUGAAGUAAGCCCGGUUGUUGCACACAAGGGUGCUGGUGGAAGAUCCAGUUCAAAGAAGGAGAAGAACAUGGUUGGAAAAAAUGUGUGCACAGAAAGAGAGGAUCCUUCAGAGUUCAUCACCCACAGAGCUAAAGAUUUUCUCUCUAGCAUAAAGGAUAUAGAGCAUCGGUUCAUUCGAGCUUCCGAAUCUGGUAGGGAGGUCUUGAGGUUGUUAGAAGCAAACAAGAUCAAGGUGGGAUAUUCUGAAGCAAAAGGUAAUUUCUUGAUAUGAUAUUCUGUUUUCCGGAUGCUAAACUUCGUGUGAAUUUUGUAUCUGGUAGUGCAAGAUACAACUGGUUAGUCUUCUUUAUUAUUACUAAUCUGCUGCUGUCUUCUGUUAGUGAAAUCAUCUACUGUGGCUAUGCUGUCAGCUUUCCAGCCUGUUUGUUGCGGUGGAAAGGCUUCCCCUGUUUUCCAGGGUAAGUUGUGUUGAUUCUGUAAUUAGACACCGAUUAGUGACUAAUAUAGUCUGAUUUAGUCCUAAAUAUUAAAUCCUUCAUGAUUUGGGUUUGCUAAUUAUUCUUUGGGUUAGGUUUGUUACUCUCUUGAAGAUUUCUAGAUGCUUGAUUAGCUCUUGUUAGUUUCUCCAUCUCCUAACAAAUGAAAUGAAACUCUUCUGGAUGUCACAAACUGUUAGAUUCUCAAUUUUCUGAAUGUUGUAAUAUUGGUGAUGAAUAUGGUUUCUUAGUUCUUACAUCUUGGAUUAAGGUACUUUUUGUCUGAACCAACCUGCAGUAAAGUCCCUUUCAAUUCGUGAGGUUUAAAUUUUGUCAAUUAAUAAAUAAUGGUUAGCAGUAAAGGUAAGCCAUGUUGGCUUAAGGUUUUACUGUGUAAUGAGUUUGAGAAUAAAGUGGCAUACAGUAUUGUUUUGUAUUUGAAACAAUCUAUCUUUUUAAGUUCAAUAUUUCUCAAAUUUUUUCUUGGCUAGUUUUUACUAUUUAACUGUGAGGUCACUGUUUCGGUUGAAUGUCAAAGUUUGAUUCUUUAAAGAUUAAUAUUUAUGGAAUAACGAUUCUUUUUUUUGCAGAACCUGCCCAAAAAAUUAUAAGUUGGAAAAGGACAGCAUCUUCUCGGUCAUCCUCAUCUAGGAAUGCUUUGGCUACAAAAUCAAAGGAAGAUAUUGAUGAUAGUGGAAGUGACUUUGUUGAAGAAGUCUGCAUGAUUGCUGGAAGUCAUUCUUCCACCCUUGACAGACUAUAUGCAUGGGAGCGAAAACUCUAUGAUGAAGUAAAGGUAUUACAAGUUGCAUAGAAACUAAUAGUCAAGGGACUAUGGUGAAAACAAUGAAGUAUUCACAUUAAAUUGUGGCUUAAAUGGAUAAACCUGACGCUGCCUGAUAUAUGAAUAUGCUAAUUUACAUAUUAAGCAAUUGGAAUCUAAUAUCUUCAUAAUAUCCAGUGAGUGAGUCGAUUACAUCCGAGUUCCUUGGACAUUUAUGCCUAUAGCAGAGGCCACAUUGAAACCAUAAUCUGUGGUUAUCUUUGAGAUGCUGGUUAUUAAAUGAUUGGGUUUAAGACAUGAAAAAUUAUGAUCCCAUGUUCCUUGGAAAUUCUUGGGCAGAUAAUGCCUAGCCUACUUCUGGUAUUUGAAAAUGCAUAACCAACAUAAUGUUAAUUUGCUGUGCUUAUUCUCAUUUCAGGGCUAAUUUUGUAUAUAUCUUAUGGUGUUGUAGAGAACUGCAUACAAAACAAGUUGUAUAAAGAUUUUCUUUUCAUUCAUUAUUCAUUGGGAAUCUGGUGUAGAAAUUAAAAAUAACGUUGUUAAACUAUUGUAGCAGAAAAUUACUGCAUUCUCCAUUUGAAUCAAAUCUUAGUAAUAUUUACCUUAAAUAAUACCUCACUACUUCAAUUCAAAUUCUCGGGUGGGUUCAUGCAAUUUGUCAACAAUAAUCAAAGUAAGUGUCGCCUGUAAUUUACUCAAACCGUUUGACAGAUAAAUAACUGAUACUAGCCCAAAUACGCCGUUAUUCCUUUCUCUCCAAAUGAUUCCUUUCAAGGGGACGAGAGUUAUUAUUUUGUCAUCAAUGUGUGCAAUGUGUGUGCUUGUUAAGUGUAUUGCACCUGUUUUGUGUCUUUAUUCCUUGAUACUUUUGACCACUUAUUGUCUGUCUGCAGGCUAGUGAAUCCAUCAUGAAGGAGUACGAUCGAAAAUGUCACCAGCUUAGGCAUCAAUUUGCAAAAGAUCAAGGCUCUCAUGUGAUUGACAAGACCCGGUCAGUUGUGAAGGAUCUGCAUUCACGGUUAAGAGUGGCUAUAUAUUCUGUUGAUUCAAUAUCUAAACGAAUUGAGAGAAUGAGGGAUGAAGAAUUGCUCCCACAACUUUUGGAAUUAACAGAAGGGUGAGUUAGAGGUUCUGGAUUUUACAUGAUAUUAUUGUUGAAAUUUACUAUCUGCUAAUUUUAAACAACUAUUCCUUGCCAGUUGAGUGUUAAAGCUAUGAGCCUAUAACCACUAAUGACUUGAGAAACUACUGGUUGUGCAGAUUGAUCAGAAUGUGGAAGGCCAUGCUGGAAUGUCAUCAUGCACAGUACAUCACCAUCUCCCUGGCAUAUCAUUCAAGGAGCUCAACAGGAACAUUGUUGCAAGGAGAAGUGCGCCGAGAGAUAAUGAGCCGGCUUCUAGAAGAAGUUGAGUUGUUUGGUCUGAGUUUUGCUAACUGGAUUAACAGCCUCACUUCAUAUGUGGAAGCUCUCAAUGCAUGGCUGCAAAACUGUAUACUGUUACCAAGGGAACGUUCCAAGAGCAGAAGACCGUUCUCCCCUCGCAGACUUCUGGCACCGCCUAUAUUUGUCCUUUGUCGGGACUGGUCUGCUGGGAUCAAGGCUUUACCCUCUGAAGAACUGAGUGAGGCAAUCAUAAACUUUUUGUCCGAUCUUCACCUGCGGACCGAGCAGCACAAUGACCAACUUCUCAGGAAACAGGAUUCUACAAAUGCAAGAACUGCAGAAACCGAGAGCAAAACUAAUGAAGAUAAUGAAGAUGAGUCCGCAAAUUUGAGCUGUAUUCAUGCAAGAUUAACCAAGGUUCUUGAUCGACUUACGAAAUUUUCUGAGGCAUCAUUGAAAAUGUAUGAAGAUACCAGGCAAAAAAGUGAAGCUGCUCGAAAUGCAUAUCAUAAUUGCAGAAUUAUCAGGGCUGAGAAAGUUUAAUUUUCAAGUAUAUGAAAAUUUUCUGCUGUGCUUGCUUGACAUUAAUUUAUAUAAUUGGAAAACGUCCAAAAACAAUUAUAAACACAUGAUCAUGAGCCUGUUGGAAAAAGAAAUUUGAGAUGAAAAAGAGGUGUUAGUGUCUGUAACUGAGCUUUCAGUACAUGUUAUGAUGAUGACUAGCAAAGCCUGUCUUGUUUUUGUUAGUAGAAUCUUGUGGUACUUAGCUGGGGGUGUUCGAGACACUAUCCUCCAUUUUUAUUUUUUUUCCAUGCAUGUGGAUCAUUGAAACUGCAUCCAUUGGCAUGACAGCGUAAUUGAUUAAAUUCUCAUUACUUUGGUGUCGACGUUGAUUUAUUAUUUAUAAAUUAAUUUCUUUUUACACAUAAAAUUGACACAAAAUCAACUAUACCUUUAUAAAUAUCUAUAUACAAUCAUUUUUUAUUUCCACAGAUAAUCUAAUCUUCAACUGAAACUUCAUUGCAUGACGCUUCACUUAUGGCUGUGCAGAGUAUGGCGAUCUUGGUGACGAGCAACCACUGGUAUGCCACAAUUUUAACACUGGGCCAAAAGAAUUAUAGUGUAAUUCCCAAAAGAAAAUAUGAAUCUUUUUGCGCCCUUCGUUAUUAAAAUCCCACAUAUUGUGUGUACUGAGAGUAAGCUCCUGAGCGCUUGGCAAUAGGGGCCCGUGUAACAUGAUCCGGAAGAUCAAAUGCAUCCACAAGUUCCCUUGCAACAUUCCUCACUUGAAAACUAAGAUACUCCGCAAGUUUAUGGAUAGCCUGUGAAAUGAAAAAACUUCAAUAUCCAAUAAUAAAAUUACAGCGUAAAAAAAGGCAAGGUCCUUGCAUAUCCAUCCUCAGACAAAUGCACUACUGUUAUCUUAAGGUUUAAAAGUGAUUGCCAAAGACCAAAACUUUUUAACAAAGCCAGCUCACGCUCAUUAUUGAUUUAUGUUUUGUAGAGCGAGAGGGAAAAAAGUGUAUCGACAUGAAAUCUUCAUAUCCCAAAUCUUAUUUUCCUUAUUAUUGAAAUUUCUCACGGGUAAGAAAUGAAGUUAAAAAAAAGUGCUUAAGUAGUUAAACAAUGAGCGACAUUGCCCAUUAUUGGAUAAAAAUGUCAUUCAAGGUUUCUAACGAAGGUUAUUCAAAUUUUCAUGAACAUCAUUCACUUUUGUCCCUAGCAGACCUAGUACUCUGCACGUAGGUUUUUACUAGUUAUUCUUGCCUUUUUAGAACGGUUCCCCGUAGUGGUUAUUACACCAUUCAUAUUAAGGGUUUCUGAGCUGUUAGGAAAACUAGAAACCGAUCAUUAAUUUGUGUCACUUGAGCAUUAAUUUCUUUUUCAAAACAUUACACCAAUUUUAUUUCAAGGAGAUUUGUCUAUACCUUAGCUUUGUUAGGAGCCACAUAGUCAACAUUUCGAUAGGUUCCAAUGUCAUUCCAUAUUCGAUCCAGAGCAUAAAGAUCACACACGAGCUUCAGAGCAGCUUGCGAGCUUGGAUCGGGACAGCUGGCACAUAUAUAGGUCAAGAUAAAAUUGGAUAAAACGCACAAACUAAGUAUACAAAGGAGAUAAUACACAAGUACAAGGAACUACGAAAGCACCUCUGCACGGCUUCAAUAAAUUUAGCAAGGAUGACUGAUUCAAUAUGUGACUCUGCAAGUGUCAAAAGGUGAUUUAAACAUCUAUUCCAUGCACCAAACUCCCCAAGGGAUUUAGAAUGCUUUCGGAGUCGUACAGCAACACUUUGAAGUAAUCUAGAUGUUCGAUACUGCAGAGUAAAAGUCAAUAUAAAUUGUUGAUUUACUUGUGUCAGCAUGAACAAUGUUUAGUCAUUAGUCAAGGAAUGAAGAUAAUACUCACUCUGAAGGCAUCCAAUUGAAAUUUAGGAUCUCGUAAAUGAUCUCCGCCUUCCCACCGAGAAGUAACCGGAUUUGGCUGUGACAGAUAAGUAUUCAUGGAUUCUCUCAAGUAGUUCCAUGUCACAGCCAAAGUUCCUCCUGUGAACUUUCCCUUGUAUUGUUUCAAAAGAUCAGCUGCAACCUUUAUUUGUAAAGGAAAAAUACAAACAUAUCAGUUAACGUGCUUCCAAUACAAGAACAACAAAACCAAACAAAAUGCAUAGUGCAUGGCCUUAGAGAUGUAAAGCUACAGUUGCCAUCAGACAAAGGUUAAGCUUUUCCAUAAUUCCUCGCGGUUUUAAGUAUGAACUUGUACCCUCCCCGGGAUCCCAUCCAUUGCUUGUACUCUCAUUGUGUUUCACACUUGAGACUAGAGAACUGUGUACCUUUCCCAGGAUUGGAUACUGACCCUAUCCAUCAAUUGUAGCCUUGUCAUGCUUGGCAGCACUUGAGGCUACGCACUCUACUUGGGAUAUGUUACUGAUCCGAUCCAGAGUCAAUAACUUAGAAUCCUUUGCAACUAGCAACUAUUACAAAGGUCGGAUAUCACGACACCUCUAUCCGAUAGUUAAGGAUCAAACUGUCAAUCAAGAUCUCAGGAAGCAUGACGCUGGCCCAAUAUCUAAUAUACACAGAACGAAUAUGAGGGAUCUUGGCACAAUAGAGUAUAUGGUGUAAUGUCUGUAGCCUGAAUAUGUCAGUCUGGACUGGCUGGUUUGGUAGGAUAAAUAAGGGGGAUCACGGGCCAAAGGUAGGUUUUUAUCAUCUUACUUUUUAAGAGAGAACACAAUUUGAACGCCCUAGCUUCUGUCACCUUGAUCUACAAGGAGAUUUGUCCUAGAACAAGAUCUAUUUAAAGUGAUGGUGCAAAAAUAUCUUUCUACCAGCAAUCAAAUAACUCAAUGGAUUAUUUUAUUAGAUUGCUUUGGCAUUUUCAUUUGGAGACUAACAAAAGCAAGACCCGGAAAAGCUUUAGCAAUAGUUAACAUCAGAAGAAUGCAAAUGACCGAACAAGGUUAAAGUGGUAUUCAAUCCAAAGUAAGGGCAAACCAGUUGCAAAUAAUUCCAACCAGCUGCAACUUCCCUUUAUUGUUCUUUUAUUUGAGCAAAAUUUCGAAGAGGCUUUGUUCAUUGAUAGGAACUUGGAUAUUAUGGGGUGUUUAGGUCACACAUUGAGCAGAAUGGGAUGCUCAUUGUAGUAUGCGGUUCUCCCCCUUAAUAGCUAAUCUUUUAGGGUGAAGUAAAUGCUUUGGGUGCUCUCCAACUAAAUUUGAUAGAUAUCAAAAAAAUAAUGAGUACAAUACUGGAAAUUCACUGUAUCAACUUAAUUCAGUUCUGUUGCAAAAGUGAUACAUGAUCUGAUCAAAGGAAAACUGCAGAUGAAAUAUAAUACUUGACAGUUAAAGAGGUGUGCCUAUUCUCUCCUGAAAAUCCUUGCUCAUCUUUUUUCUGGCAUUUUCUAUUCUGCUAAUUUAUGAGUUAAAAUUUAAUAUUUAUAUUAAUUUUAAUUUUAUAGAUUUUAAAAGAAAACAGUUUACAUUUGAAAAUUUGAAAUUCAAAGAACACAUCACAUACCAUUAUCACAAUAGGUUCCACCAAACACAACUGCAUUCUCAUUUUGCUAAAUCUAACUGCUAUAGUGUAGAAGACAGUAAAUACAUUUGUUAUACGGGAGGCACCAACCAAACACAGACACUGAUUUAAAUGACCGAGUUCUAAGGCCCUUCUUUCCAAAUUGGAUAUCUGAUUAAAACAUACCAACAAACUACUUAUAAACGUAGACUCGGGCGGAGCGAGUGGGAUGGCCGAAGGGAGCCACAACCACCCCAACAUUUAGAAAUUCAAUUACUAUACAUGUAUAAAAAUUAAUAUGGGUCCUUCUUAUUGACAUUGAAAGAUAAGUGGCUUAUUGAUGGUCUUGUAUUUUAUACAUUUCAUCUCUUUUUCGAAAAUAAGGGAUGCCAUGUUUGUAUUUUGUUUUGAGAGGGUUGUUGCUAAUACUUCUACUUUCUUGUAUUUUCUUUCCAUUAGCCAUUGGGUGUUGCACCUAUGUACUACUCACACUGAUUAGUUACUAUCUCAUAUACUCAAUAUAAUUAUAUAUUUAGUGUGUACAUUAGAAAAUUUAUUAAAUUUUAUUCAUAUAUAAUGAAUAUCAAAAUUUAAUUGUUCUUUUUAAGUUAUGAUAUUUUAAGUUGGUCACCCUAAUCUAAUUCCUGACUUCCCCCAUGUAGGCUGGUUAUUAUUAUCUGAGCGAAAAUAAGGCCCAACCAGCUGCAACUCGCCUUUAUUUAUUGUUCAGGUAUUUGAGCAAAAUCCCAAUUCAGCUUUGUUCACAAUUCCCUACAGCACAGAGGUGCAGAAGAGUGCAAAUAUCUUUUUUAUAUGGGAAGCAACAAACAUAGUCCCAGAUUUAAAUGAAUGAAUUUUAAGACCAUUAUUUCCUAUUUUAUGUUGGUUAUCUGAUUAAACAUACCAAUAAGCCUAAUUACAAAGGUAAGGGGGUAUUAAAUAUUAAAAGUGAGAGUUAGGCUUUGGUAAAAAAACCUGUUGAAGCAGAACUGUGUUGUCUCCUUCAAAUGUCUGAAAAAUGUCAUGAUCGUUCCUCAAAAUACCAAACCGGUUUACAGCAGCAUAACCAUGACCUCCACAGGCUUCCCUACAGAUGCUGAGUGACUUUGCAGUAUAGGAUGUUAUAUAAGCCUUUAGACCGGCUGAUAGAGCAUGGACAUCUGCAACUAAUUCUUCAUCAUUAGUUUUUUUCAUUUGAGAGUAUUUCUCCACCAAAGUUGUUGUUGCAAAAUAAAAAGCAUACGUUGAAGCAAGCAUUGGCAUAAGCUUGUGCUGUUGAGACUGGUAAUCAAGAAUACUAACUUCAGGUUGGUUUGGAGGUCCAAAUUGCUGACGAAGUAGAGAAUAUCUGAUGGCAAUUGUGGCCGCAACCUUCAGGACACUUACUGAAGAAUAUGCAAGACCUACCCUACCACCAACAAGUUCACCUAGAGUUGCACCAAAUCGCUUAUUAACUGUAGGAAGACUACUUGUGUAUUUUCCAUCACGGGAGACAUCUCCAAAACGGUUUAGAAGAUUGUCUCGAGGAAUUCUUACCGAGCGGAAUCUCAAUGCUCCAUUAUCCACACCAUUGAGGCCAACUUUAUGGCCACAAUCAUGUAUCUCAAUCCCAGGGAGUGGUUGAUGGGUCUUCAUAUCCCUUAUUGGAACUAUGAAAGCAUGGACACCCAUGUCAGUAACUCCUUUGGUGUCAUAAGUGGGUAAUUUCAACCUAGCGAAAACAGUGGCAAACUUUCCAUGCACUGCAGCAUUACCAAUCCACCAUUUGAUGGCACCAUCAUUUGGUGUGUCAAUGAUAAAUUCAUCAGUGAUUACAUCAAAGGUGGCAACAGUUUGGAGGCCCUGCACAUUUGAACCUUUUAAAAGCACAAAAAGGUAAGCAAUUUAGAAAUGUGUACCUGUGGUGGUAGCAUGUUUGAGUAAAAUUCCAAGGAAAAAAAAAGACUCACAAUCCAAAGUAGUUUAAGUUGGGAAUGGAAAACAAUCUAACUAAGGAAGCAAGGGUUGUUGGUUAAAGACUUGAACUCACUUUACUGGCAAUUGAACAUACAUGAAAACUGCCAUUUGUUAGAUUAUAUCAAAUAGGGUUCAGUGACAUCUUACAUUUAGCAGUUUAUAUUUUUAUUUCUUAGUAUUCACAAAUAAUUACAAAAUUAAAUAUUGUUUUCACUUUUAUUACUUAGUUUUAAAGAUAUGUAAAAGAGUAAACAGAGUCCCUGUUAUAAAUGCUUCUGUACAAAUCCCUGUGUUUUAUCUGUCCAUAGAAAUUGUUGUAAACAUUUUAAAAUUAUUUGUAAACACAAAAACCUUCUCUCAUAUCAAUCAAGCCUCUCUACCCUAAAUUGAUGGCUACAUUUCUUUACUACGAGUUACAAGUUCAACAGUGUCCUCAUAAGUUCACUCCAUCAUCACGAGUCAGUGACACUAACCAAACCAAUGGAAUGAAAAAACAAAGCACACAAUUACAGUAGUCAACAACUUCACCGACAUAAAGAAAAAGAUGGCAUUACCAUGGUGAAGCUCGGUCAUAGCAAAACAACCGGGGUAGUCCAAGUUAUCAAUCCCAUCAAAGUACUUGUCCUUAUGCUUCUUUGUCCCCAAAUUGAGAACAGAACCACCCCAAAGACUGCGCAAGAAGAGUAGUCAACAAAAACAUGCACACUAACAUGAAUGAAAAAUAGACUCAUUCCAUUUGACAUUAGCGAAAGCAGUGAGUUACCUGUACUGGACCCCCAUCUUGAUCCCGAGCGACAUGUCAACACUUCCAACUGCUUCCAAGAUGGCGAAGUACUUGGCGGGCUCGUUGACCACGUAACGGAGGGGUCGAAUCCCCGCUUCUCUGACGAGUCCCGUUAACUGCUUCAUGCACAACUCUCGAUGUUCGUCUUUCGAGAUCUCAACGGGCGUUUGAAGGUGCGGAUUGGCGUUGAAGUAAUCGAGCACCUUCUCCUGAAUGUCCCAGUGCUUACCUCGUAUGUAACUCGACAGAGAUGGCGUGUCCACGCUCAGCUUCCCUCGCCCGCCGCACGCUGCCAUCUCCAACUGCUCCGCCGCCACGCAGGCGACGGGGUUCAGGUGCAGGGUCAGCCUUCGAAUUCUCCGCUCUGCUUCGGAGGCUGGCUCGGAGUCGGAGUUGGGUUUGGAGUUUGAAAUUUGCAUUUUGGUUUGGAGGAAUUGGAGAGAAGAAGGAAAAAGUUGUUGGUAUUGUUGUUGUUAAAGGACGAGGAAUGUGGUGGGGCUUAAGGGGGUGUUUGGUUGAUUUUUAUGUUGGAUUGGUGAUGGUCGUUAUCCAAACGUGGCUUUGAAGCAACUAUGGAUAAACUCGGAAUUUGUCAGAUCUCCAACGUUUCUUACCAACAAAAUUGUCAUCUUAUCAUUUAUUUAACUUUAAAUGUUAAAGUAAUUGUUUUUUGCUCUUUCUUCUUUUUUAUUUGUUUAAAUUAUAAAAAGUUUUUUUAUAUAUACUUUUAGAAUUUUAAUCAUAUUUUUUAUUAUAUGUUUAGCCUUUACAAAAAAAAUUAGGAUGUUUUAAAUGAACUCAAAAUCAUUAUAUUUUUAGAUUCCUGUAACGUAAUCUUAAAAGACAUUAAAAGAAUGAGUUGUAACUAAUUAAUUUAAAAAAUUCAAAUCAUUUUAAAUGUUGAUAAAUUUUGAAUAUAGUGUUAUAUAUGUAUGAAUUUUUAAUUUAUUUGAUGUUUAAAACGUGCUGUUAUAUUUUGUUAAAAAAUGAAAAUUAUUUAAAUUGAACCGUUUCAAUAUAAUGCAGAACAAGAUAGAAUUUUUCUAUUUUUUUUUUAAAAGGAAACACAGAAUUGGUUUAUCUUUGAAUGUUCUUUGUGAAGAAAAAACAAAAAAAACUACAUGGCUGUGACUCACACGGAAUCUUUUGUCUCUUUAACACGUUACAUCAAGAGUCAACUUUCUUGCACGCAUAUUCACACAGUCAUUAAUACAAUAUGUUUUGUAUUAAUAAAUUUUAAGAAAAAAAUUAAAUAUUAAUAACGAAAAUCAAUUUAAUACAUAAUUAAAUAUUGAUGUUCGUCUUUCUUUUCUCCUUUGUACAUGGAUGCUCACUUGAAAAUAUCAUUAAAUAUCACUAAAAACCACGCAUUUUUUACACAUAACAAAGAUAACAAGGUAAAAUAACACAAUCUAAGUAAAUUUCAUUUAUGUUCUUUGCAACUCACCACGGAAGAAAAAAGUAAUUGUACCAUCCCGGGAGCAUACCCGGUGUUGGGUCGACCGACCGAUGCCAACUGGGCCAGCAUGAGACAUUAUUGAUCUAGGCCUGAUGCAUCGAAGCCGACUGUUUCUUCCUGCACCUUCUGGCACCUCCAUACACAAUAUGAAAAUACAUUUUUAUCCUUCUUGUGCUAUCUCCAUAGAAUAAUUUCCAGAUUAUGUAAUUCGGAAACGCAUUUGAAAAAAGACUUCUGGAUUACAUAAUCCGGAAGUUAAAAAAAACUUCUGGAUUAUAUAAUCCGGAAAGUAAUCAUGCAUCUGAAAAAAGAGUUUCGGAUUAUAUAAUUCUAAAGCUAAUUACAAAUUUAAAAAAUGACUUCCGGAUUAUGUAAUUCGGAAUGUUACAGAGGGAUAUUUUUGAAAAUACGAAAAUCUAUGGAGGUAAGAGAAGAAGAUAUGGAGGUGCAGGAAGAACCAGCCAUCGAAACCCCUAGCUAGAGAAUACGUGAUUUGGCAGUAUACAAUGUCAAUAAUUAUCUCAUGUUCUGAUUUACUUACACAAUAUUCUUAAUUACACAAUAUUCCUAAUUAUAUUAUAUUGCGUAAAUGUUCUGAUUUAGUUACACGAUAUUCUUGAUUUACUUACACGAUAUUCUUAAUUAUAUUGCGUGAAUGUUCUGAUUUUAUGACACGAUCCUACAAUAUGUCUCAUUAAAGCUUGAAAAAUCAAUAUCAAAGGGUCAAGCGCAUAAAGGCUUAUAAAAAGACAAUCAAUCACAGGAAUUUCCUCAACUCACAUUCUGACACUAAUUUCACUGAUGCACUUAAGAUUUUGGUGUUCUAACUAAAUUGAACAUCGGCAUGUCAUCACUGAAAGAACUCCUCACGUUUUUUUUGAAGGUUGACCGCUAAGACUUGGAAGGAAACCACCAGGAAUUCGUCUGGAUUCCGACACAUUUCAAGCCGGCAAAAACUGUAACAUAAGUCCCAUUUGGACAUUCUGUUGAAAUGAAUUGAUACAAACACAUGCAAUCUUUACAAAUUUGUUCUCGCUACAGUGGAAAGUUAGAAACAAAACAGGAUUAGUUGAAAGUACUGAAUUUAAAGUAAAUAUUCAAUUCUGUUCUUAUAAAAUUGAGACUAUGAUUAAUAGGUAUUUAUUAAAUUUGUAUAUAAAUAAAGUUUUUAAAUAUUACUUUGGCGUCAAGGUUUAUUUAUUAUUUAUAAAUUAAUAUGUUUUUACACAUAAAAUGUUGCCACAAGACCAACUAAACCUUUAUAAAUAUCCGUUUCAAUUCCACGGAUAAUCUAAUCUUCAACUGAAACUUCAUUGCAUGACGCUUCAUUUAUGGCUGUGCAGAGUAUGGCGAUCUUGGUGAGGAGCAACCACUGGUAUGCCACAAUUUUAACACUGGGCCAAAAGAAUUAUAGUGUAAUUCCCAAAAGAAAAUAUGAAUCUUCUUUGCGCCCUUCGUUAUUAAAAUCCCGCAUAUUGUGUGUACUGAGAGUAAGCUCCUGAGCGCAUGACAAUAGGGGCCGUGUAACAUGAUCCGGAAGAUCAAAUGCAUCCACAAGUUCCCUUGCAACAUUCCUCACUUGAAAACUAAGAUACUCCGCAAGUUUGUGGAUAGCCUGUGAAAUCAAAAAACUUCAAUAUCCAUUAAUAAGAUUACAGCGUAAAAAAAGGCAAGGUCCUUGCAUAUCCAUCCUCAGACAAACUGCACUACUGUUAUCUUCUCAAGGUUUAAAAGUGAUUGCCAAAGACCAAAACUUUUUAACAAAGCCAACACACGCUCAUUAUUGAUUUAAGUUUUGUUGAGAGAGAGGGAAAAUUUUAUUUCAAGGAGAAUUUUCUAUAUCUUAGCUUUGUUAGGAGCCACAUAGUCAACAUUUCGAUAGGUUCCAAUGUCAUUCCAUAUUGGAUCUAGAGCAUAAAGAUCACACACGAGCUUCAGAGCAGCUUGCGAACUUGGUUCGGAACAGCUGCCACAUAUAUAGGUCAAGUUAAAAUUAGAUAAUACACAAGUACAAGGAACAACGAAAGCACUUUUGCACGGGUUCAAUGAAUUUAGCAAGGAUGACUGAUUCAAUAUGUGACUUUGCAAGUGUCAAAAGGUGAUUUAAACAUCUAUUCCAUGCACCAAAGACCCCAAGGGUUUUAGAAUGCUUGCGAAGUCGUACAGCAACACUUUGAAGUAAUCUAGAUGUUCGAUACUGCAGAGUAAAAGUCAAUAUAAAUGUUGAUUUACUUGUGUCAGCAUGAACAAUGUUUAGUCAUUAGUCAAGGAAUGAAGAUAAUACUCACUCUGAAGGCAUCCAAUUGAAAUUUAGAAUCUCGUAAAUGAUCUUUGCCUUCCCACCGAGCAGUAACCGGAUUUGGCUGUGACAUAAAAGUAUUCAUGGAUUCUCUCAAGUAGUUCCAUGUCACAGCCAAAGUUCCUCCUGUGAACUUUCCCUUGUAUUGUUUCAAAAGAUCAGCUGCAACCUUUAUUUGUAAAGGAAAACUACAAACAUAUCAGUUAACGUGCUUCCAAUACAAGAACAGCAAAACCAAAUAAAAUGCAUAGUGCAUGGCCUUAGAGAUGUAAAGCUACAGUUGCCAUCAGACAAAGGUUAAGCUUUUCCAUAAUUCCUCGCGGUUUUAAGUAUGAACUUGUACCCUCCCCGGGAUCCCAUCCAUUGCUUGUACUCUCAUUGUGUUUCACACUUGAGACUAGAGAACUGUGUACCUUUCCCAGGAUUGGAUACUGACCCCAUCCAUCAAUUGUAGCCUUGUCAUGCUUGGCAGCACUUGAGGCUCGAGAGCUAAGCACUCUACUUGGGAUAUGUUAUUGAUUCGAUCCAGAGUCAAUACCUUAGAAUCCUUUGCAACUAGCAACUAUUACACAGGUCGGAGAUCUAGAAUGAACCAUUCUAUUAUAGUUAGCCAUUCACGACACCUCUAUCCUGAUAGUUAAGGAUCAAACUGUCAAUCAAGAUCUCAGGAAGCAUGACGCUGGCCCAAUAUCUAAUAUAUGCAAAAACAACCAAAUGCGAAAGUUAACACGCAUACUCUUCUUUCUAAAAUUGAAAUUCAAAGAACACAUCACAUACCAUUAUGACAACACAAUAGGUUCCACCCACCACAACUGCACUCUCAUUUUGCUAAAUCUAACACCUAUAUUGUAGAAGACAGUAAAUACAUUUGUUAUAAGGGAGGCACCAAACACAGAUACUGAUUUAAAUGACUGAGUUCUAAGGCCCUUCUUUCCUAAUUGGAUAUCUGAUUAAAACAUACCAACAAACUAGUUAUAAAUGUAGACUAAGGGGCAGAGCGAGUGGGAUGGCCGAAGGGAACCACAACCACCACUACGUUUUGAAAUUCAAUUACUAUACAUGUACAAAAAAUAAUAUGGAUCCUUCUUAUUGACAUUGAAAGAUAAGUGGUUUAUUGAUGGUCUGGUCUGUAUUUUAUACAUUUAAUCUCUUUUUUUAAAAUAAGGGAUGCCAUGUUUGUAUUUUGUUUUGAGAUUGUUGCUAUUACUUCUACUUUCUGGUAUUUUCUUUCCAUUAGCCAUUGGGUGUUGCACUCAUGUACUACUCACACUUGUUAGUUACUAUCUCAUAUACUCAAUAUAACUAUAUAUUUAGUGUGUAAAUUGAAAAUAUAUUAAUUUUUUUCAUAUAUAAUGAAUUUCAAAAUUUAAUUGUUUCUUUUUAAGUUAUGAUAUUUUAAGUUGGUCACCCUAAUCUAAGUCCUGACUUCGCCCGUGUAGGCUGGUUAUUAUUAUCUGAGCGAAAAUAAGGCCCAACCAGCUGCAACUUGCCUUUAUUUUUGUUCUGGUAUUUAAGAAAAACCUCAAUGCAGCUUUGUUCACAAUUCCCUACAGCACUGAGGUGCAGAAGAGUGCAAAUAACUUUUUUAUAAGGGAAGCAACAAACAUAGUCCCAGAUUUAAAUGAAUGAAUUUUAAGGCCAUCAUUUCCUAUCUUAUGGUGGUUAUCUGAUUAAACAUACCAAUAAACCUGAUUAUAAAGGUAAGGGGGUAUUAAAUAUUAAAAGAGACAGAGUUAGGCUUUGACAAAAAAACCUGUUGAAGCAGAACUGUGUUGUCUCCUUCGAAUGUCUGAAAAAUGUCAUGAUCGUUCCUCAAAAUACCAAACCGGUUUACAGCGGCAUAACCAUGACCUCCACAGGCUUCCCUACAGAUGCUGAGUGACUUUGCAGUAUAGGAUGUUAUAUAAGCCUUUAGACCGGCUGAUAGAGCAUGGACAUCUGCAACUAAUUCUUCAUCAUGAGUUUUUUUCAUUUGAGAGUAUUUCUCUACCAAAGUUGUUGUUGCAAAAUAAAAAGCAUACAAGCAUUGGCAUAAGCUUGUGCUGUUGAGACUGGAAAUCAAGAAUACUAACUUCAGGUUGGUUUGGAGGUCCAAAUUGCCGACGAAGUAGAGAAUAUCUGAUGGCAAUUGUGGCCGCAACCUUCAGGACACCUACUGAAGAAUAUGCAAGACCUACCCUACCACCAACAAGUUCACCUAGAGUUGCACCAAAUCGCUUAUUUACUGUAGGAAGACUACUUGUGUAUUUUCCAUCACGGGAGACAUCUCCAAAACGGUUUAGAAGAUUGUCUCGAGGAAUUCUUACCGAGCGGAAUCUCAAUCCUCCAUUAUCCACACCAUUGACGCCAACUUUGUGGCCACAAUCAUGUAUCUCAAUUCCAGGGAGUGGUUGAUGGGUCUUCAUAUCCCUUAUUGGAACUAUGAAAGCAUGAACACCCAUGUCAGUAACUCCUUGGGUGUCAUAAGUGGGUAAUUUCAACCUAGCGAAAACAGUGGCAAACUUUCCAUGCACUGCAGCAUUGCCAAUCCACCAUUUGAUGGCACAAUCAUUUGGUGUGUCAAUGAUAAAUUCAUCAGUGAUUACAUCAAAGGUGGCAACAGUUUGGAGGCCCUGCACAUUUGAACCUUUUAAAAGCACAAAAAGGUAAGCAAUUUAGAAAUGUGUACCUGUGGUGGUAGCAUGUUUGAGUAAAAUUCCAAGUUAAAAAAAAGGACUCACAAUCCAAAGUAGUUUAAGUUGGGAAUGGAAAACAAUCUAACUAAGGAAGCAAGGGUUGUUGGUUAAAGACUUGAACUCACUUUACUGGCAAUUGAACAUAAAUGAAAAGUGGCGUUUGUUAGAUUAUAUAUAUCAAAUAGGGUUCAGUGACAUCUUACAUUUAGCAGUUUAUAUUUUUAUUUCUUAGUAUUCACAAAUAAUUACAAAAUUAAAUAUUGUUUUCACUUUUAUUACUUAGUUUUAAAGAUAUGUAAAAGAGUAAACAGAGUCCCUGUUAUAAAU
rnacentral:lncRNA from 1 species